CUUCCCACGCCAUUAACAUCAUCUUCUUUCUUCUUUCUUCUGGGGAAGAAGAAGAAAGAAAACCCUAAAUCCAAAUGGAACCAAUCUGAAUCUGAGAGGUUUAUUUCACUUGUUUCUCUCUCAGCUCUCAGGCUCCCAACUGGUAAAGGUCAACUCCAGGCUGAGCCUCCAUGUUUGUCCCCUUUAUUUCUCAUUCUUUACUCUCUUUGCCUAUUUUUUACCAGUAAUAAGAGAAGGUUUGGUUUGGUUUAAUGUGAAUCUGUAAUCCGUGGCAAAAAAUUAAUAUAUAUUUUUUAAUUUAAAAUUUUCCAUAUGCGAAGGGAAGAUUCUGACAUAAUUGAUUGAACAGUUGAUUAUGAAAUAAUUGACUAAUUAAAAUGUUGAUUAUUCUGUCUUGUAUUUGGUUGGUGAAUGUACUCGUCCUUCAAAUUUUAUUUCAAUAUUUGACGUUUACUAUUUUGCCCUCGUGUGAAGAAUCCUAUUUUAGCUUACGGUCAUUUGGACCAAUUCCCGUGUUUAGAUAAAAAAAUAUAUAAAAAUAAAAAAAUUUCGCGUGGGAAAAAAACAUAGAAUUUGGAAAUCAUAAAUCCUAACUUUAAAUUCUAUCUCAAAGUUGCUCCCUAAGCCGCUGCAGUCGCUCCUGCUCCUGCUCCCGCGGCAGCCGCCGCCCCAACUGCCGCUCUUGCUCCCGCAGCAGUCGCGGCAGCCGCUGCAGCCACUCCUGCUUCUGCUCCUGCUCCUGCUCCCUAAGCCGCUGCAGCCGCUCCUGCUCUUGCUCCUGCUCUCGCGGCUGCAGCCGCUCCUGCUCCUGCUCCCUAAGCCGCUGCAGCCGCCGUCGUACCUGCCGCUCCUGCAACCACGGCAGCCGCUGCAGCCACUCCUGCUCCCGCGGCGGCAGCCACUCCUGCUCCUGCUCCUGCUCCUGCUCCUGCUCCUGCUCCUGCUCCUAAAAAGGUAAGAAAUUUAGUGUGCAUGAAGAGACUCAAACCUUGACCCUCAAAAGAGGAAAGUCUCGUUCACAAACCACUUCACCAAUCUUGUUUUUGUGGUAUUUUAUCAGUUACGCAAUAUUUAUAUUAAUAGUCAAUGGUUUGUUUUUUUUUAAAGAAAAUUAUUUCCUUUAUUUUGUUCAGUUAUUCCCAUAAUAUAUAUACAAAUGAUAACUUUUAAAUUAAUAUUUCACAGUCCCAUUCUAUUGAGGGAUCCCUCAAAUAAUUUUAUUUGAGGGACACCAUUUAGGAUACCCAACAAUUUUUUUUUCAUUAAUCCAAACCAUCUAUUUUUUAGGUCUUCAUUCAUAGAUCAUCCUUACAAAAAAUUAGACAAAUUGGAAACCGUUUCAACAUCCAAUUGUGUCCUACAAAAUCAAUGAACACGGUACUUUAAGAAAGUACUAAAAUUUCAAUAACUCAAUUGAAUGGUCAAAUGAUAUCGGAUUCAAGUGAUUUUUCGUAGAGAUGAUCUUUGAAUGUGUAUCUACAAAAUAGACAGUUUGGAUUAGUGAAAUACAAUCUGGAGUGGACCCUACAAGGGGUGUCCCUCAAAUAAAUUAUUUGAGGGAUUCCUCAAUAGAAGCUUUCUGUAAUAUUUCAAGGUUAUAUAUGUGCGUGUGUGUGUGUAUAUAUAUAUAUAUGUAUGGAUGAAUAUUUUGGAAAUAAUUUACUUUAAAUCGUAAUUAAAUUGGUACCUCUACCUCCUGAUUAUCGGGAGAUGGUGUAUUUGCAGGUGCAUUAUUCUCCGGGUUUGGAUGCAACAAAGUUUCUUCCGUGCUACAAACCAACAGAUUGAGAAAAUAUUUUCUAUCAGUGGAAUGGAAGCCAUGCAUACACAUGAAAAAGCAAACAGAUAAAAGAAAGCAAUCUUUUACAACUGUCUUGUUUAUUAAAGAUAGAGAGCUAGCUUAAUUAGCCACUCUCUCUCUAUCCGCUCGCACUUUAAUCUUUACAUUUUGCGCUUAUUGAAAUAAAGUAGAAUUCUCAUGUGAUAUGAUAUCCAAUAAAAUCUCCCUUAAUUAUUUCUUAAAAUUUCCAUCUCGUCUCCAUCCAAAAAUAAAUAAAUAAAUAAAGAAGAAGAAGCCUUCCUUUUGUAUUAUCUCAGACUAAAAAGCUGCAAAAAUAUUUAAUAUGCAAAUUAAUUAAGCAGCAUAUGAGCAGUGUAAUUCGUGUUUACCUUGAAGUAUUGGCGUUCAUUCGCUUAUUACUUAGUCUUGAACCAACUAAACAGAUAAGAAAUAUGGCAGGCAAAAGGGAUGCUUUCAAAGGACUAUCAGCAUGCCGAAGGCAGUAAACAUACUGAACUAUAGAGCAAAUGCACUGUGAGAUGCCAGCAGCUAGUCCAUAAAUGUCAGGAAGAGUACCAAAAGGCGCAUGUCGAGGAGGUGGUGGAUGAUAAAACCACCAGAGCAUUCCCCGUCUCCUCAACACAACUCUUUCCCUUUUACCUCUGUAAAUUAGCUCCCCGAUGGAAAUGAACACAGCUGCAAUAGCCAACAACAUACCAAAUAGUGCAAAGUGGGGUCUUCUUGGGGAGGAAGCCUGAUCACAAGCAGCUGACAAGAUCUCUAGGACAAGGUAAGUGGCUAAAAAUAUCCACUCUACUGAUGCUGAAGUAGGCCUCAUCCCUGGAACUCAAGGAGGGUCUGUAAAGAUUACUACUAGGUGUUAAAGAUGGGUCAGAAGAAGACUGAUCUCCACGAGGAGUAUUUGUAAACUAGGAAACCAAGCCAGUGCUUUUCUUUGAGACAUAUACCUCUGGUUGGUUGCUGAGAAAGCAGAGGAAUUUAUAUAGAAAAAGAAAGGAACUUUCGAAGAUGGAUCCUCUGUUUUCUUUCUUUAAUUAUCUGAUUUACAUCCCGCCUAAACUGAAAACAAUGAGAAGAAGAUGGCCCACAUGGUGUCAUGGGUUUAGUGGAGAAGAGGUUCUAGUGAGGUAGUGUUUUUGCUGUUGCUUACUGGUUCAUUUGGAAAUGGAGGUGUUGUUCUAUCUUUGAGCCUCAGUUCCAAAUGCCUUGUCGUCCUAAUCAGAGUAUUGUUGAGUAUCUUCUGGAAUGGGAUAAGGCUAAUAAUCUUUUAAAGAAGGCUACCUCUCAAACUCAGAUGUUUCUUGCUUGGCAGCCUCCUCCUUGUGGCUUCUCUAAGCUUAAUAUUGAUGGUUCUAGAGUGAGUGCCUCUGGGUGCAUUGCUGCAGGAGGUAUAAUUAGGAAUUCUGAGGGUAGCUGUAUAGCAGGAUUUUCUGCUAAUCUUGGUCAUGGUGAAGUCUUGGUAGCUGAAGCUUGGGCUUUAUAUUAUGGUCUUAAUCUUGCUUGGUAGAUGGGUUUGCGCCAGAUAACUCUUAAUUCUGAUUCUGGCCUUGUUGUUGAUAUGAUUAAUGGAUAAUGGGUGGACUCUCAUCCUAUGUCUGUGUUGCUUACCAAGUGCAGAGAGCUUUUGAAAAGCCAGUGGAAUUGCAGCAUUCUCCAUGUCUAUAGGGAGACCAAUUUUACUGCUGAUUUUCUAGCUAAGAUGGGUCAUCAUAAGGAGUUGGGUUACCAUGAGCUCUCUUCUCCCCUUGAUAUGAUGCAGCCUAUUUUAGAUGAUGAUAAGAAUGGUCUGUUGAGGCAUGGAUUUGUUUCUGUGUAAUCUUUUUGUUCUAGGCUUUGCCCCCUAUUUUACCAACAAAAAAGAAAAAGAAAAAAAGAAAACAACCUUGUCAAAGCCUUUUAAGGUAUGAUACCUAUCCUACAUCUCACCUAUAGCGUAGACUUGACUAAAAUUCACAAAAAAUGUAACGGUAUGACCAAUUUGCCGAUUAAUAUAAAGUUGGUGGACCAUUUGAACGAAUAGUUUAAUUGAGAGACCAAAAUGCAAAUCGGGUAUAAGUUUGAGAACUAUUUGAGUAAAUAACCCUAAAGAAUCAUCUGUUUUAGUACAUUUAUUUCUCAAGGGCAUUAAGGAACUUUCAAAAAUUUACCCUUCUUUUGUCUUAUUGGUAAGAAGAUAACAAAAGCGAUUGAUGAAAAAACAUUUAUGAUAGAUUAUGGAUCCUAAAACCCAGAAAUUAUGGAUCCUAUUUUAGCUUAGUCUCAAUCUUUUAAAUGUUUCCAUUUUUUAACCCUUUUGGAAAUAUUAAAUUUGUUACGUUCCACAUCAAUUUCUUCGUUACAUGCCACUAUGUGACAAAUGUAGUUCUUAUCUCUCACAAUAUUUACAGAAAUUUGAUGUUUUAAUUAGGAAAUCUACUUUCCUUUUUUUCAUUAUGAAAAAUUUGACUUUUGUUUCAAGGGUGAUGUGUCAACUUUAAAUCCUUUGGAUUGAAAUUUAAAUGAUGUGGCGUGUGGGGAAUGAAAGUCUAGCAUAUCCUAGUAGAGAAAUUCAAAGUAGAGGAUCGGAAUUCUGUUUUGCUUAUGAUUAAUUUGAUCGGUACCUGAUUCUCAUCCCCAUGGGAGCACCCAUCCAUUAAGAGACAUAAUAUAAUCAUGAAUUAAAAGUGAUUAAUAGAUUCAAUUAAUAAUAGGAAGCUUUCAUUUUAAUAAAAUAUAUAUUUUACUAAUUUGGAAGAUAGGAAUACAAUUUCACCUAAUUAGCAGAGGGUCAAACACCAAAAAGUAGUACCUAAUUUUAUAAUAAUGUAAUUAAAAAAAUAUCAAAAUUACACAAAAUGCCACUACUACGAAGUCAUGCCACAUGUCCACCUCCGUCAAUCUUCCUUUGGCCGCAACUGCUGCGGCAGGUCCAGAUACUGCAGAUGUGGCAGUUGAGGUAGAUGCGGGAGCAGCUGCAGUCCCAGCUCCAGAUACCGCAGCUGUGACAGGUCCAGAUACCGCAGCUGUGACAGGUCCAGAUACCGCAGCUGUGACAGGUCCAGAUACUGCAGCUUCUUCAGAUACCGCAUGUCCAACUGCGGCUCCAGCAGCGGCUCCAUCACUUGUUGCUGGUAACCAACUAUAUUGUCCUCAACCUUUAAAAAAAGAAGAAAUUUAGUGUGCAUGAAGGAACUCAAACCUUGACCCUCAAAUGAGGAAAGCCUCAUUCACAAACCACUUCACCAACCUCGUUUUUGUGGUAUUUUUUCAGUUAUGCAAUAUUUAUAUUAACAGUCAAUGGUUUUUUUUUCUUAAUAAAGAAAAUUAUUUCACAUAUGGGCCUCCUCUUUGGCCUAAUUCAAAACAAAAUUUGAUUCAUAGAUAUUAAAAUCCAAACAGAAUUACUCUGUCUCAAAUCCUAAUUAGUUGUUAUGUCUAAUACCUAAUUUUUGUUUAUUGUAUUCAAUCCCAAUGUGGCCUUCCCAAAGUGGGCUCCAAAUUGACAUUCCGUGAUACAUAUGGGACUUCAUCAUCUUCAUCACGUAGGCCUUCAUAUGAGACUUCAUAACUUAAGCCUUUUGGAUACAUCAUGCGCUCCCGAAACAAAAGAUAUGUAUAUGUAUAUGAUAUGUAUACAAAUACAAUGAAUAAAUAAAAGAUAAAUUUCACUUUACUAUCCAGAGAAAGAUAGAAACAUAAUUUCCUUUAUUUUGUUCAGUUAUUCCCAUGAUAUAUAUACAAAUGACAACUUUGAAUAUUUCAAGGUUAUAUAUGUGCGUGUCUAUAUAUAUAUAUGUUCUAUAUAUGUUCUAUAUAUAUAUGUAUGUAUGUAUGUAUGAAUGUUUUAGAAAUAAUUUACUUUAAAUCGUAAUUAAAUUAAUACCUCUACCUCCUGAUUAUCGACAAAUGGUAUAUUGGCAGGUGCAUAAUACUCCUGGAUUGGAUGCAACGAAGUUUCUUCCACGCUACAUACCAACAGAUGGAGAGAAUAUUUUCCAUUAGUGGAAUGGAAGUCAUGCAUACAUAUGAAAAAGCAAACAGAGAAAAGAAAGCAAUCUUUUAUGACUGUCUUGUUUAUUAAAGAUAGAGAGCCAGCUUAAUUAGCCACUCUCUCUCUAUCCGCUCACACUUUAGUAUUUACAUUUUGUGCUUAUUGAAAUAAAGUAGAAUUCCCAUGUGAUAUGAUAUCCAAUAAAAUCUCCCUUAAUUAUUUCUUAAAAUUUCCAUCUCGUCUCCUUCUAAAAAUAAAUAAAUAAAUAAAUAAAGAAGAAGAAGCCUUCCUUUUGUAUUAUCUCAGACUAAAAAGCUGCAAAAAGAUUUAAUAUGCAAAUUAAUUAAGCAGCAUAUGAGCAGUGUAAUUCGUGUUUACCUUGAAGUAUUGGCGUUCAUUCGCUUAUUACUUAGUCUUGAACCAACUAAACAGAUAAGAAAUAUGGCAGGCAAAAGGGAUGCUUUGAAAGGACUAUCAGCAUGCCGAAGGCAGUAAACAUACUGAACUAUAGAGCAAAUGCACUGUGAGAUGCCAGCAACUACUCCAUAAAUGUCAGGAAGAGUACCAAAAGGCGCAUGUCGAGGAGGUGGUGGAUGAUAAAACCACCAGAGCAUUCCCCGUCUCCUCAACACAACUCUUUCCCUUUUACCUCUGUAAACUAGCUCCCCGAUGGAAAUGAACACAGCUGCAAUUGCCAACAGCAUCCCAAAUAGUGCAAAGUGGGGUCUUCUUGGGGAGGAAGCCUGAUCACAAGCAGCUGACAACAUCUCUAGGCCAAGGUUAGUGGCUAAAAAUAUCCACUCUGCUGAUUCUGAAGUGGGCCUCAUCCCUGGAACUCAAGGAGGGUCUGUAAUGAUUACUACUAGGUGUUAAAGAUGGGUCAGAAGAAGACUAAUCUCCACGACGAGUAUUUGCAAACCAGGAAACCAGUUGUUGCUCUCUCAAUUUCCACAGCUAAUAAGCCAGUGCUUUUCUUUGAGACAUAAACACCUCUGUUUGGUUACUGAGAAAACUGAGGAAUUUACAUAGAAAAAGAAAGGAACUUUCCAAGACCGACACUCUGCUUUUUUUUUCUUUAAUUAUCUGAUUUCCAUCCCGCCCAAACUGAAAACAAUGAGAAGAAGAUGCUAUAGUGUUAUGGGAUUAGUGUAAAGGCAAUAAUGGAAAGGAGAGAGCUUCUUGGAAAAUCGCUGUGUGGUGGAGAAGCUCUUCCGAGGUGGCCCACACGGUCUAUCUUUCACUUUCCCAGGUGGCCCACACGGUUCCCUCCUUUUCCACAGAAGAAAGCAAAGCUUGUAGUCCCAUAUGAAAAUUCAGAGAGCUGCAAUUCAUCUUUGUGGAGCCCAAUUCAGAGGGACACAGGAGCAGAAGAAGAGAGUGUUUUGACCAACUGGUUUCGAUUUGUGGUGCCGCCAUGGCUGGCCGGCUUUUCAGUCCACUGUAAAGUUGGGUUUUUUAGAAUUUUAUGGGUGCACUGAAUAUAUCAAUGGGUGCGUGUAUAAUUUUCUGUUCUCCACCCUUCUCUGUCCCGUGGUGCCGUUGACUCUCCUAGUUCUUCUCAUUUUCUAAUUUCAAUUCUGCUUCUUAUAAGCCUCAGAGCUUCACUGAGCCCAGGUAAUCGUCUAAUCUUCUUUUAGUUGCAGAUUUUUUAAAUCAACAUUUUAUUUCUCAGGUUUAAUUUUGCGGUAUAAUUUAAGGUGUUGUUUGAUUAGUAUUAUUAUUAUUUUGUGCAUCAGCUCCUCAAGUUUUUCAUCGCGGUUUUUGGAAAUGCACGUCUGAUUUGGCUGUGGAUUAUGAAGGGGUUUGUUGGUUUUCAAUUAAUAUUUUAGCUUAUGGGAUAAUUAGAGCUGCUUUAUCAACAUUUAAAAGGAUAAAAGAAACGAUCGAGAUUCCAUUUCAUUGCCUUUCCUACUCCGAUUCUCAAUCCCUUAAGGCCUGUUGGGUGGGCUGGCUUCGACGUGGGCUUUUCUCUCCCUCAGCCUCCUUUGCUUUCGUCUCUAGUUUGAGCGAGCUUCUCUUUUCUAAAUCCCUUUAUCUUAUUUGCUUUCUCCACCAUGGUUUCAACGCCCCUAUGCGUCUGCUGUGAUUUUAGCCACUGUUGCAAGGUGGCUUCUUUUUCUCCAUUUCAUGGCUCUUUCCAAGACUAACCAUCAUGUACUUCCAGGCAAUUGGGCCUUCUGGGAGAGUUUGAUUGUAUAGGCUGAGGCUGAGUCUUGUGCAUUUGAGGCUCUUUCCAAGUCUUUUGCAGUUAGGUCUUUUACUUUUAUGUAUGCAUCAAUUUUGUUUGUAUAUCACCUUCUGUGUACCAAUUAAGCUGUUUUUUAAUUGCCUAUAGUGAACCAGUGCCGUAUGGAUUUAAUUUUGGGAAGGAAAUUGUUGGGAAUGUGCUGGUAGCUCCAUUGAGUUCAUUCAGAUCAUUGCUAAUUCCUAUUAUCUAGCCUUAAUGAUAUGAAUGUCCAUGCUUCAUCUGAGUUACCUGAUAAAAGUCUACCCAACAUGUUAAUAGACUUGCUAAUUUUUAUUAUCCAGCCUUGGUUUACUUUAUUGGGCUGCUGAGUCACUAAUGUUGCAGUAACCAUAUAUGAGUUUGAUGCAGUUGCUAUUCCCAUUGGGUCAAUGGUAUUAAACCUUUCACUCUUAACUUAAUUUGUUGUCAUGAAUCAUGAUCACCAUCUUUAAACAUUCAUGCUUCUUUAUUUUUAUUAUUUUUGAAUAAGUUGUGUUCUUUGAUGCAAUACAACAACAUAUGAAUGAAUAAUCUCUGGCCUUUUUUUAAACUUUCAUAUUGGGGUCUGCCAAUAGCUCAAUCAACUCUUAUGCAAACUCCAGAAUGCUAAUAUGAGGAAAUGAAAAUAUUAAGAAAUGAUAUACAAAGGUGCCACAAUCUUUAAAGCUGGAAACUUUGGUGUGUAACAACAAACAAGAACCACAAAGUUGAUCCACUUUUUUCAACCGAAAGUCAUACGUUUGAUCACAGGACAAGAAUAAAGUUUAGUUUAGUUUCUAUAUGAGCUUAUGUUGUCACAGUCGAAUCAGUUAGAUCACUUAGCGAUAUAAGUUAGAAGUUGUCAUUAGUUAGAGAUGUGGCGGGAAGAGUGAAAUGGAUCCUGUAUAAACAUGAGCACCAUUGCAACUCUACAAGAAUAAAAGACAAUGAAAAUACAAUUUCCAGUGCUAAGCACAUAAGCGUUCAAUUAUUCAACGGGCAAAAAAGUUAAUGUGAAUUUGUUAUCCGUGGCAAAAAAGUUAUUAUUAUUUUUUUAAAAUUUAAAAUUUUCCACCUGCCACAGCUGCUUCUGCACCUGCCGCAGCAGCCGCUGCUCCUGCUCCUUUAUGUUGCUCUCAACCUAAAAAGGUAAGAAAUUUAGUGUGAAUGAAGAGACUCAAACCUUGACUCUCAAAGGAGGAAAGCCUCGUUCACAAACCACUUCACCAACUUUGUUUUUGUGGUAUUUUAUCAGUUACGCAAUAUUUAUAUUAACAAUCAAUGGUUUUUUUUUUUUUUAAUAAAGAAAAUUAUUUCCUUUAUUUUGUUCAGUUAUUCCCAUGAUAUAUAUACGAAUGACAACUUUUAAAUUAAUAUUUCAAAGUUAUAUAUGUGCGUAUGUGUGUAUAUAUAUAUAUACAGUAUAUAUAUAUGCAUGAAUGUUUUGGAAAUAAUUUACUUUAAAUCGUAUUUAAAUUGGUACCUCUACCUCCUAAUUAUCGAGAAAUGGUAUAUUUGCAGGUGCAUAAUACUCCGGGAUUGGAUGCAACGAAGUUUCUUCCUUGCUACAAACCAACAGAGUGAGAAUAUUUUCUAUAAGGGUAAACUUGGAAAACAAAAACUAACUUGUGCGAUGCAUUAAUGACAUUGUUUUAAGUGUAAGGAAAAUGACACUUGUCAUAAGGAGAAGGGAGAAGGUCCAAAAAAGAAUGUUAGAGAAAAAAUUGCUAGCAUUUCUCUUAUAUUAAAAUACAACAAUGCGCUGUCAAAUACAGCUGUAACAAACUAAUUAUUUUCUACUUUUAAUAUCAUCUUCUUUGCCUAUCACUACCAUUUUCAAAACAAAAGAAAAAGGAUCUGCGACCCAUCAUGGGAACAUAAAGUUUACACACGGUUUGGUUGCACCUGAGAUUAAGAAUUAAAGAAACAAGGGUCAUAUCAUCUAUUCAGCACCCAUUUUCAGGGAAUCAUGCCAAAAAUCAUGUGCCCAUGCUUAGUUUCCUAUCGGAGUCGAUUUUAUCUGUUUACACGCUAUAAAAGAAGCCAAACAUACACUUGCGUAUUUGACACGCAAGAAAUCUUUUGCAAUAAUCUUCACUCAUUUGAUUUUCAAAUUUUAAAGCGAUGCCCAUGAUUUUCACCACAUAAAACCAUUAUAACAUUGUCUCUUUUAAUAAGGAAAAAUAACAAAAGGAACAAAGCAAAAUCAAGAGGCAAGACUGAUGGAUGGGCCAUUAUUUCAAUUUUAGUAUUUAUAUUAAUUAUAAUUUUUGUUUUCUUGCGUUGCAUUUUAUUCUUGGAUCCGGUAUCUAUAUAAUAAAAAACACAAGAUUGGGUCCAUUCAACCCGCCAACCCCUGUCCGAAUAGAACCAUACGGUGGUACGUGUCCUAAGACCGAGUGGGCCCCUCCAAGCAGCAACCCCCAUAUGGGACCCGCCCCAGGUUCAUAUGAGAACUGUUGACUCAAACUACGCUUUCCACGAGCGAAAGACGCCGGGCCAAACGGGAGCCGCUAACGCGUCCAUCUAUCUUGGUUAUAUCGUAGUUGGUUCAACCUCACUAGAAUCUUGUUUUUCUUGCAAAUUAGUUCUAGAUUGUUAUAAAAUAACCUGGGAUAUGUGUGAUAAUUCAGAGCUGCACGUAAAGUAGAUGAGACACAGCAUUUAACGAGGUUCGACUAUGCCUACGUCCUCGGAGAGCAGCAGCAGUAACUUUUCCACUAUGUAAAAUAAUAGGGCUACAAGUUUAGUGUUUACAAUAUAUGUAGCUCACUGAAUUUUCUCUCUAGGAGAAUUUCUCUCUGCUCUCUCUUUCCUCUUUCUUUCUCUUUUUUCUUCUCUUCUUCUUUCCGUUUCUCUUCUUAUUUAUAGGCUGAAAUAAUCACUAUUCAUCACUGUUCACCCGUGACAGACAAACUCUAUCAAAGCCGCCAAAUGAACAGUAAUGAACAGUAACUCUAUCAAAGCCGCCAAAUGAACAGUAAUGAACAGUAAUGAAUAGUUAGUGGGCUCCACAUGUUUAUUUUUAUUCUUUUUACAACACUCCCCCUUGGAGACCACUAAUGAUAUGUCGGUUGUAUCAUUGAAGACUUGCUUGGAGAAAACCUAGUAAGGUAGAGAACUGAUGGAAAGAAGAGUACAACAAUUUGUAUAGCAUACUUCUGGAUGCUCCCCCUGAUUAAUAUCUCCCCCUGAUGUCUUCAUGACUAUCUUUUGGAUUGAGAAUCUUUCGGAGUGAGUGGAUGAUGUAGCCACCAACAAUUCAUAUAGUAAAUAUAUUUCCAGUGAGCUAUCUCUAUGUAAAUCAUAGAAAUUUUCAGAGUCCGCAUAUCUAAUAACGCUUGGGCUAUUUAUAAGUUCACUUGAAAGAAUAUGCCCAUACAUGGUGUUAUGCGGAAAUAGCAUCAAAUAUACCUCACAUCAUCCCAAAAUGAUGGUGAUGGAGUUGAGCCUUAUCUGAAAAUAUGAUGUCCGGUCCAACAUACUUCCGGAAAAUCCUUAAAGUGCCCAACGGAUAAUCCUCAUAAAAAUGCUUCAAUACUUUCUUAGUAUAAGCAAGUAUCUCGUUGGCAUAAUGCUCGAUCUUUAAGUCGAGACAAAUAUUUCUGGAAUUCUUGAGAAGCUUUAAUGUGUUGCAAACGCAUUAUAAUCAAUAUACUCACUGAGGCAAUUUAUGUACAUUAACAUUGAGUACAGAUUUUGUGCUUCAGGCACAUGUCCACAGACUUGCUUCAUGCAAUUUCAAUCCUUUCAAGGAUUUUGUUUAAAGGGAUUAAACUCUAUGACACAUUAUAUAGCUUUAACCCAGCUAUUUAUACAUCUUUAGGGAAUCACUUCAGGUGAUAUGCUCUGUGCAUUUAAUAACCCUUAAAGAUAACAUGUUGGUCUCCGUAAAUGUGCAAUAAAGGGGCACAAUUGAAUCUAUAAAUAUGGAGAAAACCCAACAUCCCUUGUUUAUGUCAAAAAACAUUGUGUCAUACAAAGUAGGUAUAUUCCCUUUUUAUUCCGAACACCCAAGUAUAACUUUUAAUAUUAACAUCUUUUAGGGUUCGUACUGUGGGUUUGUUCUUUCACGUUCAUUCUCAUCUAUAAUGGAAUUGCCUCAUUUCAUUUUGGCCAAUGAUAUUGUCGACAUUUAAUAAUUGAACGUGGUUCCAAUCAACACAGCUCAUUGAUGAUUUGAGUAGCUACUCCAAAAUCAAAAAUUUGUCAUUCAUCAAUUUAUGAUCCCACCAUUCUCAUGUGCAUGCGCAUGCAUCAAUUAUAAGCAUUUCUUUGCUUUUGGGUACCCAAGCCACUGCAGGGGGCUUUUAUUAUGUGAGAAUGUAGAUUAUAACCUCCAAUGGAGCGUUAUUUUAUAGCAGGGCGUGGAUAAUCUCCAUUUAGGGAGUUGGAACAUUUAGAACCCAUAUAUCUGUCAUGCUGCAGGCAUGACACAGAUUAAUACAUACAUGUCAAUUAAUUUAUGGGACUUUAACCCAUAUAAUUUGCUACACAUUAGGCGUGCAUAAUAUCAAUAUUGACAUGUCAAAGGAUUGUCCUUUCGGGACUUCAAUCCACAUCAUUUGCUACGCAACAGGCGAUUAAUACAUACAUGUCAAUUAAUUUAUGGGACUUUAACCCAUAUUAUGGGACUUUAACCCAUAUAAUUUGCUACGUAUUAGGCGUGCAUAACAUCAAUAUUGACAUGUCAAAGGAUUGUCCUUUCGGGACUUCAAUCCACAUCAUUUGCUACGCAACAGGCGUGCAUCAUAUUGAUCACUGCUAUACCCAUAUUCUGUUCUUAUGGGACUUUAAUCUGUGCAGUGUAUUAUCAAUGUAUCCAACUUGCAAUUUGUAAAAUUUGCGUUAAUAAUUCAUGGAUACAUACAAGCCAUUCUUUUGGAACGGACUUAUCUCCCUAUUUGGUUACCUUUCAAGAUAAAAUAUCAAAUAAGUAUAUAAGCAUAAAACAACACAAGUAUUGCUUACAUCUUAGGUGGGAGAAACUUUUCUCAAGUAUCAUUCAAGCUCGUAUCGGUCCAAUAACGCUUGAUGAUCUAGUUAUAUCCUGCAAGAGCAAAAAGUCACAAUUCUUCUCUCUGUCAAAAAUAAAUAAAUAACCCUUAGAGUUAGGAUCACCGUAUGGAUUCUUUCUUUGGAUGUUCGUUCUAAAGAAAUAGAAUCUCUUAUGAACAGAGAGUUAUAAAAAGAAAGAAAAGAUACAAAGAUUGUGAUAUUGAUUGCAAGGUAAGGUAAGCAAUCAGGGAAGGAAGCUGGUGGGAGCAGACAACAUGCUCAGCAAUCAAGGAAGGAAGCUGGUAGGAGCAAACGACAAGCUCUCAUUUCUUCUAGUUUAGAAGAACUUCCGGAGAUUAGAGCAUAAGGCCGCCUUCACAGUUCCCUGAUCUUGCAGAAACAUGAUCAGGGAUAGUCUUGCUUCCUGAAUGGAUGAUCAGAGAUAGUCUUGCUUCUCAGGCAUAUUAAGUGUUUACUGAUAAGAAAAACAAGUAGAUAUCGCAUCACUAGGUAUGGAGUAAACUGGAUGUCUUCUGCAAAGAAAAUUUCGUUAGUAACACAUUUAUACACAAAUACAAUGAAUAGGUAGAACCGGUGAAUUUCAAAUUAACCAUAGGAAAAUUGCGAGAUUCUCGGGAUGCUGUUGAAAAAGUGCGAGAUUCUCGGGAUGCUUUUGAAAAAGUAGCUCCGUGAAAUCCGUAAAGCAAGAUCGGCUUUGAAAAUAAUGCUUGAAAAUGCCGAAAGUGCCGACAGGCAUUAUUAGAGGCCACGUGAAGUUUUGAACUCUAGGAAAGAAAAAGAUAAUAUGGGGAUUCGAGAAGAUAUUGGGGUCCUGAAAAACAGUAGCCAUAUUUCCUCCUAUAGAUAUGGCCUUUGUAAAACUUGAUUGGAGCAACUGCGUUUCAACUCAAAUUUCUUCAUUUUCUGAAACUUUAGUUUUCCUAAGACUUUCUUCGAAACCUUCUCAAAAAUGGCUUCCUCUUCUUCCUGCCCAAAUUAUUUCAAUUUAAAUGAUGCUCCAACAGCAAACAGUGACGCCAAAGUUUGGCGUCCAUCCUUUGUAUCCAAAAAUCGUCAUCUCACAGUUAAUGAUUCUGUGAUGAUGAAUGAUGCUACUGCUGUCAUAGUAGCUAGGAAUUUCAUUACUCCAAUGGAUGAAAUACUGUUAACAGGGAGGUCUGAGGAAGAGGCUAUUGAUGACUCAAUGGCUUUUAGCAUUCAGAGUGCUGCUUCUGUUUCUAACAUGGCUGAUCGUUUGCGUGUUAGAGCAAACGAGGUUGAGAAGCUGACAACUGAAAAUUCGUCUCUCCAAAGAAUGCUUCAUGAGUCUCAACAGGAGGUUGAGAAACUUAAAGGAGAGAAUAAUUCCUUGUUGAAACUGGUGAGUUCGUACUCAGUUGAUACACUGAGAAGGCUAGACAUGCUGCAGGUCUCCAAUGAAAGAAUUUUGGGAGACCACGAGAAGCUCAUGGCUAAGCUUAAGAGGCGCCGUCCUCUUCCUUCAGAGGCUUCCAGAACAUAAUGUAAUUUUAUAGAUUUUACAGGGCCUGCACCUUCAUUGCAGGUGGAAAAAAUCUAUCUGUUGUAUGUUUCUGUAAUAAUAAUUGCGCACAUUCUUAAACUUGCACCUGUGGUUUUUACGUCUUUUCAAAAUGACGGUUUGGAACCUUGUGCCUUAUAGGUUCAAAUAACCACUUUGUCUCUCCCAAAUUGCAUGGUAGCCCGGAACUUUUGGCCUGGGCACAAACUCAGAAUUUAUUUGCCCUUUUCAAAUGGACAUGAAAUAUGAAUUGAGUAAAAGCCACGAUAAUAUCGCAAUAUAGUAGUGAAGAGCAUUAACUACUAUAUACCCACAACUUCAAGUUCAGGAUCUCUCAUAUAUUUGGAUCCAUGGGCUUCCGGCCCAGGUAUAAUAAAAUAUGUGGGGAGCCUCAAUUCAUUAUUUGAGGUUUAUAUUGAUAUUAUCCAUUUCGCGGUGUAUUCUUAACAACCGGAAUUCACAAAAUAUAUUUCUUCCUUGAGGUGUCGAUUAUAACAGAAUCGAACUUUAUUAAAUUCAUCAUCUUCUUAUGUCAAAGAAAUAUGUGGUGUACCAUAAUUUGCAAUAAUACCUCAAGGGUUGUCCAUUUAAUUGUUGGAACUUCAGGUUCUCAAUACUCUUAAAUUUUGAACUUCAGGCCAAAGCCACAUAUUCUCAUGGUAUGGACAUUUUUACAAUUUUCUGUACAUAUUCUGGGACUUCAAGCCCUUACAUAAUUGUCCAUAUUUUGAGGAACUUCUGGCAUCUCAUUUAAUUUCUCAUCCAAUAGUACUGUUCAUCAAGUCAUGAAUACAUAUCUAUUCAUGUGUACAUGAAUUUAAGGAACUGCAGGUUCCUUUUUGUAUAUAGUGACGGUUUAUCCAAAAUGGUUAAUAUUUAUGCAUACGUCACUAUUCAUGUGAAUAGUACUGUUCAUCAAGUCAUGAAUACAUAUCUAUUCAUGUGUACAUGAGUUUAAGGAACUGCAGGUUCCCUUUUGUAUAUAGUGACGGUUUAUCCAAAAUGGUUAAUAUUUAUGCAUACGUCACUAUUCAUGUGAAUAGUACUGUUCAUCAAGUCAUGAAUACAUAUCUAUUCAUGUGUACAUGAGUUUAAGGAACUGCAGGUUCCCUUUUGUAUAUAGUGACGGUUUAUCCAAAAUGGUUAAUAUUUAUGCAUACGUCACUAUUCAUGUGAAUAGUACUGUUCAUCAAGUCAUGAAUACAUAUCUAUUCAUGUGUACAGUACAUCUGCCAGUACAGUUAUCAUCCAUGGCUCAUAUUUAUGCAUACGUCACUAUUCAUGUGAAUAGUACUGUUCAUCAAGUCAUGAAUACAUAUCUAUUCAUGUGUAUAGUAUAUCUGCCAGUACAGUUAUCAUCCAUGUGUACGGCACUAUGAACCAAUACGGUACUAUUACAUCAUUAAGGAACCCCAGGUCCUUAUUCACAUGUCAGGGAUCAAGGACCUUUAAGUCCAAUCACAUGUUUACAAAUACAGUACCGGAGAGACUGCCAGCUCUCAUUUUAAUAUCAUCAUCAAGGAUCUUCUAGUCCUGAUGUAAUUGUAUGAUGAGGAUCAAGGAACUUCUGGUCCUGAUCUGCUUACUGUAAAAAGAACUCAUCAUACAGCACAUUUAGUCCAUAAAAUAAAUUACUGGUAUGGACGAUAAACCCGCACCAUACAUUUAAAUAGCAGUAAAGGCGUGGACGAUAAACCCGCACCAUACAUUUAAAUUUCAUAAAGUAAAGUGUUAGUAUUAGCAACGGUCUCCCACUGAUAAUAUGUUUAGUAUUACCAAGGGUCCAUUUUUGUUAAUGGUUAGUAAUAGAAAAGCAGAUAAAUAUAGUAUAUUAUGUUACACUACUACAAAAAAGCAAAAAGACGACGGUAAAUCACCGUCGUGUAUUCGAUUUUUCAAUGGUCGUGGAAUCCACCGUCAUCUUUUCCCUCAUAUACCACGACGCUAAAUCACCGUCGUUGUUAAAAUAUACAACGUCAUCAACAAAUACAAAACGACGUCUUUGUACUGCAAAAAGAUCUAAAAAAGCAGUCGAGGAUGAGAAUAGACGACCAACUCUCUAAAAAAACCGUCGUUAAAAAGGAAAAAUAUGACACAUAUUAAGAGAACAAGGCCGCAAGAUAGACAUACAACGACGGAAAUAAAAAAACGACGCCGUUAAAUAUCAUUUUCACGACAAUAAAAAAUUUGACGUCUUUAAAUACAUUAGAAGACGACGUUAUUGAUACCUACUACGUCGCAUAUAUAAAAACAGCCAUCGUAAAAUUAAUUUUCCACUUCGAUUUUUCGAUAAAAGAUGACGUGGAAAUAGUUGUCAGUGUCAUUAUUUACGACGUAUGUAUUUAUUGAGUAGACGUUGAAAAACGAAACAACGUCGGUUACAAAUAUAUGAGAGUCGUAUUACAAAAUUUAUACGUCAUAUUUUCAGAAACAAACAACGACGAUAAAUAUUAGACGUUGUUAAAUAAAACAACGUCGGAAAACAAUAAAAACAGACGUGUUUAGUCUGCUAAAGUUCUAGAAAAUAGUCGAGGAUGAGAAUAGACGACCAACUCAAACAAAUCACCGUCGUUAAAAAGGAAAAAUAUGACACAUGUUAAAAGAACAAGGCCGCAAGAUAUACAUACAACGACGACAACUAAAAUUUUACGCCGUUAAAUAUAAUUUACACGACAAGAAAAAAUAUGACGUCUUUAAAUACAUGAGAAGACGACGUUAUUGAAAUAUACUACGUCUCUUAUUUACAAACAACCGUCGUGAAAUAAAUUUUCCACUUCGAUUUUUCUAAAAAAGAUGACGUGGAAAUAGUUGUCAGUGUCAUUAUUUACGACGUAUGUAUUUAUACAGUUGACGUUGAAAUGCGAAACAACGUCGGUGGCAUUUAUAUAGUCGACGUUGUAUUUAUAUCUAUCAUCAUUACUCACGACGCACUUAAUAAUAUAGACGACGUUGAACUUCUAAACAACGUCGGUUCCAAAUAAAUGAGAGCCGUAUUACAGAACAUAUAGACGGCGUUGAUUAUGAUGAGAGCCGUAUUACAAAUAACGUCGUUUAAUUGUUAUUAGACGGCGGUUAUAAUGAAUUUCCGUCGGAAUUCAUUUCGUUCCUCUUCGUUUAUAAAAGAACUUGCGACGUGGAAAAUGUAUGAUGACAUCGUAUUUUUUAACGUUCAGAUUAUAUAUCUCGUUUUUUAGACGUCGGUAUUAUGGGAUUGGAGUCGUGUUAUUUUGAAUUACAUGGCGGUUCUUAAUCCUUCCCCGACGUGAUAUCCUGAAUAAUUGCUUCACAAUAGCGUCGUGGUUCUUCAUUGUUACGUUGCUUUAAGACGUCGGUAAAUAUGCUGAAUAACUGAUUCACAAUAACGUCGUGUUUUAUUUGAACGUAGAAAGUGAAGAAAUCACAUUACAAUAUAUUACAAAAUUAAUGUCAUACACUGCCAAUUACAUAAGCAUCAUUCAAUCCAUAUAUCUUCACACCCAUCUCGAAUAUUUUGACCGCCUAACUCACCCACCAGUUCAUCAAAUGUGUCAACAUUUGGCAUCCCUCUAGUAAAUGGCUCACACUCAAUUAUCACAUCACCUAAGACUUCAUCACCAAUAACAUCAUUAUAUUCUCUAUUAGGCAUUGAUAACACUACCGACCAACCACGAUGCAUCGGGUCGUCAACAAAAAAUAUUUGUUUGACUUGAGAAGCCAAAACAAAUUGGUCAUUCCUAUGUCCAAUUUUACUCAAAUCUACAAGGGUAAAUCCAAGUUCGUCGACUACAAGACCAGAACUAUCUAUCCAAUCACACCUAAAGACUGGAAUUGUAAACUUUUGGUAGUCAAGGUCCCAAAUUUCUUGAAUGACACCAUAGAAACCCAUAUUUGAGAGAAUUGGGUUUUUAUCCUUGGCACUAGCAACUUGCAUGGUAUGUGCAAGUAAAUAAACUCCACUAUUUUGAGUUGUCCGCACAUCAUCUUGUGCCUUGAUAUUGAAUUUAAUACCUUUAAUAAGAUAGCUCCUAUAUAAUGGCACUGACAUGUUUGGACCAGCUGCUAGCCACCUUAAAUUUUCUGAUACGCCAUGAUUGUCUUCCUCAACUUCACUUUGAACCUGCAAAUUAAUCAUAUCUUAAUUCAUCCUAACAUAUAAAUAAGAAGAAAAUUAAAAGAGAAAUACGUUAUUCAACAACAUAUACCUUGAAGCGUAGCCAUUGAAUGAAAGUGCUAUUGUGCUUAUCCUGCAGCCACUUUGUUCUCUUUCUAAAUUUUGGAUAAGCAGUCUUGAUGUGAAUCAUAUGUUGCCUACAUGACACGAAAAAUUCAAGCAUUACGGUCCCAAAUAUAUAAGAUAAACAUAAGAAAUAAUUUUAAAUGGAAACUUAAAGAAUAAAACUCAUACGUACUCGAUAUAAGGUAGGACUUCCUCCGUAUUCUCCAAGACAUAUAGAUGUGCUUGAUUCAACAGGUCCUGAUCAACUACGCUCACUGUGCAACCUGAUAAUGGCUUUGAAACUCCCAUCUUUUGGCUUGAAGGCACUCCAACUGUACUAACAUCAGAUAAAUGCUGAGUACAAAACUCUACCGCUUCUUCAGCUAUAUACCGCUCAGCAAUGCAACCUUCGGGACGAGUACGAUUCUGAACAUACCCCUUCAGCACUUUCAUAUAUCUUUCAAACGGAUACAUCCACCUAAAAUAUACUGGCCCACAUAGACGAACUUCUCUGACAAGAUGUACUACUAGAUGAACCAUGAUAUCAAAGAAUGAAGGGGGAAAGUACUUCUCAAGCAAACACAGAGUAACUACUACAUCUUCUUCCAACUUAUCUAGCUUGGAAACAUCAAUGGUCUUUGCACAUAUAGCAUUGAAGAAGAAGCACAAACGAGUUAUUGCAUACCUUGCAGGCUUCUCCAAAACAGAACGAAUUGCCACAGGGAGCAAUUGUUGCAUUAAGGUAUGACAAUCAUGUGAUUUAAGGCCAAGAAGUCUUGAAUCUUGUACAGAUACAAGAUUUUUAAUAUUUGAAGAAUAACCUUCAGGGACCUUCAUACCAUAGAAAGAAUUGCAAACCUCUCUCUUCUCUGCUCUUGACAAAUUCCAAGGCCCAGGAGGCAAACGAGUACGUCUUUCUCCAUACUCGGGUUGCAAAUCAGUUUUGACCCCCAUGUUCAAUAAAUCUAAUCGAGCAGCAAUCCCAUCUUUAUUUUUUCCAGGGAUCUCCAGCAAUGUACCAAUGAUACUAUCGCAAACAUUCUUCUCAAUGUGCAUAACAUCUAGGGCAUGCCUUACAGGAAGGUAUUUCCAAUACUCGAGAUCAAAGAAUAUUGAUUUCUUCUUCCAACAAACUCUGUCACCAUUUUCAACCAUAUGCAGCACUUCUUCUCCGGUUAAUGGCUCGGGAGGUAUGCCAUAUUCAGGUUUCCCAUUAAAAGCUGCACGUUGCCUCCUAUAUGGAUGAUUGAUUGGUAACCAUUUUCUAUGCUCAAUGUAACAAAUUUUGUGGCCAUUUUUCAACCUGUGACUAGGUGUAUCAUCGCCGCAUAUUGGACAAGCUUUAUAUCCUUUAACAACACAACCAGAUAAGUUUCCAUAGGCGGGGAAAUCAUUAAUUGUCCACAUUAAUGCAGCUCUGAGUGUAAAGUAUUCUCCAUUAUGUGCAUCAUACACUCCUCUAAUCCCAACCCACAAGGAUUUUAAAUCAUCAAUCAAAGGCUCCAAGUAGACGUCUAUAUCAUUUCCGGGUUGUUUAGGACCGGAAAUCAAUAAGGUUAACAUCAUGAACUUUCGUUUCAUGCACAGCCAUGGAGGGAGAUUAUAUGUAACUAAGAUAACCGGCCAACAACUAUAUCUGCUACUUAGAGAACUGUGGGGAUUGAAUCCAUCAGAUGAAAGAGCCAAUCUCAAGUUUCUCGGCUCAUUACCAAACUCAGGCCAUUUAUCAUCAAGAAGUUUCCAAGACGGGGAAUCCGCCGAAUGAGACAUCUGACCGUCAAUUGAUUUUCUAGCAGCAUGCCACCAAGUCAAACUCUUAGCUGUCUCAUGUGAUUGAAACAUCCUUUUAAACCUUGGAAUUGGGGGAAAAUACCACACCACCUUCGCUGGCACACCCUCUUUCAAGAUUGAAUCUUUGCCUUCCUUCCACCUUGAGAUACCACAAGUAGGACAAUUAGUUGAAUCCUCAUACUCCUUCCUAUACAAGAUGCAAUCAUUGGGGCAUGCGUGCAUUUUCUCAUAACUCAGCCCCAAUGCACACAAAGUCUUUUUAGCCUCAUACAUGGAGGUUGGUAUUGUAUUUCCUUCUGGAAGCAAAUCGCCUUGAAGUAUCAAUAAUUCUGUAAAACAGACAUCACUCAUCCCAUGUUUUGCCUUCAAAUUAUACAACUUCACUAAUGCCGAUAACUUCGUGUACUUUCUACAACCAGGGUACACUAGUUGAUCUCCAUCCCCAAUCACAUUGGCAAACUCAUACGGAUCUGAACCAAAAUCACCAAAAUCAUUAUCAUCCAUAUCAAUUUCUUCAGACACAAAACUGUACCUACUAUGACCAUCAUCUUCUUCAACAUUUCUACUAGCAUUAGUAGUUGCUUCCCAAGGUUCUCCGUGAAAUGUCCAAUUCUUAUAGCUUUGGUCAAUUCCAUUAAAGUAUAAGUGAUCCCUUAUAAUUCCAACCCCAAACAACUUCAAAUUAACACAUUUAACACAUGGACAACGGAUAUGUGUUGUAGUUAGAAGAUUUUCUACAGCAAAGUUCAAAAAUGCUUCCACCCAAAUUCAUAUGCCUUCGAUCUUCUAUCCGAGUGCAUCCAUGACUUAUCCAUCUCCGACACUAUAACCUAUUAUCUAUAAUAAAGUGAAAAUACAGGCAAUGACCAUCACUAUAGCAGAUUAUACAAUGAUCUAAUCGCAAGUAAUACACAACAGAGACGACGGGUUUUAAACAAAAACAGACGUAUUUGGCAUAUAUAGACGACGGAUUUUCAACAGACGUCGUCUAUUAUAAGUAAUACAAACGACGGUUUAUGAAAAAACCGUCGUGUAUAAGUAAUACAACGACGGUAGUUUAAAAACACCGUCGUGUAAUCGUCGUCGUAUGCCUUAAAAUUCGUCGUGUCUCAGUUUAUUUUCAAGAACAUAAAACCCAUUAAGAACACAACAUAUAUAUGAAACCAAGCAAGAAACCAACAUAUACAUGAAACCAAGCAUGAAAACAAUAAAUCCAUUCCCAAUUCAACAUAACAUAGGGUGAUUAAAAGAUACGACAAAAUUAAAUCCAUUCCCAAUUCAACAUAACAGAUAAUGUAAUCCAUGAACCCAUUAAACAGAAAAUCCAUGAACCCAUACCUAUAAGCACAUUAUUAACAGAUCGCAAAGCAUACACAUAAAACCCUUUAACAAAACAACCUAAUAUAACUCGAAUCGUUACUAGAAUCAUCACUCGAAUCCCCAUCUUCAUUAUCAGUUUCUUCCUUCGUAGGUACUAUUUGCUCCCCAUCAUUUUCUCCAUAGCAGAAGUGAGAGAGCGAAAUGUUAUGUCGCGCGAAAUCUGAAAAUUUUAGGUUUCAGGGUUCGAAGUAUAAGAAUAAGAGCCAAAUCUAAAAAAAUUUAGGUCGCGCGAAAAUUUUUAGAGUUCGCGCGUUUUAAAACGUCGAAAGAAAAACCAAGGCGAAAGUUCUACACGUACCGACGUAAAUUUAAUAUUCCACGACGGAAACUUCAUUUUUCGGAUUAAGAACGUAAGGCCGUUCAUUUUGAAGCUUCAUUUUUCGGAUUAAUUUUAAAUUUAUUUUGAAUUUUUUAUAUAACGACGACUGAAAAACCACGUCGGUGUUAAGAAAUUAAAGACGUUGUAAAUUAUAUAAACCGACUUACAUAUUAAAAUGACGUCGUUUAAAGCGUAAACCAUGUCGUAUGUUUUUCUGUACGACGUAAAAUAUGUAUUCCACGACGCAACCACCGUCGUUAAAAAUUAAUAUCCUAAACCCAUAAAACUAAAUUAUACAAUUUAAAAAAUUAAGUUUAUAAAAGGUUUUAUGGUUUUAAAGCCUAACAUAUACCCUAGACUACCCAAAAAUUAUACUUUAAAAAUAAACCCCAAUAAAUAACAACCCUAAUCUCUAAACCCUAGACUCUAAACCCUAAACCAUAAAACUAGAAGUGAUUUUAUGACUCAUCAAAACAAUUUUGUUUUGGAUGGUCAUUUUAAAUUUUUGUUAUUCAAAAUGAAUUUUUUCAAGGUUUAUGUGGAAGAAAAUAUAUCAAUGACUUCAUAGGAGUUGACUUUUCAAUUUUCUGAUUUAUUUUAAAUUUAUUUUGAAUAUUUUGAUAUAAAAAUAAUAAAAUAUUCUUACCACAACAACAAACCACGUCGGUGUUAAUAAAUUGUAGACGUUGUAAAUUGUAAUAGACUACUAAGUCGUUAAAAUGACGUCGUUAAAAUGAGAAACCAUGGCGGCUAUUUACCUAUACGACGUAAAAUAUAUAUAUCAACCACUUAACCGCUGUCGUUACAUAAACGUCGUCGAUGAUACCCUGAACCCUUAAGAAAUUGAAGAUGUUGUAAACCAUAAACGACUGAAUUGUUCAAAGAACGUCGUCUAACUAUAUUUUUACGUCGUAUUUGUUUAAAACACGAAACAACAAAAUACGACGAUUUUUGACUUUAUUAGGUCGUUGGAAAAGUAUUACACGUCGGUUAAGCAAUUUGUAUGUUUGUUUUUUUUUUAAUUUAAGAAAACCUCAACAAAUUUUUACAUUACAUAUUAUAGAGAAAAUUUGUACAUUAUACAUAAAUAUCAAGUGUUCAAUAAUUGCCCUGUUUAAUAAUUUGGAAAACAAACUCUGCCCAUUCAUUCCGGACUUCAUCAAUGGCUUCUUGGGGGUAUGAAGCUUCCUGGUUUCCCUUGGCAUACUGCAUAAACAAUGACUAUUAGGGUUUUAAAUAAAAAGAAAUUCAAUCACAGACGACGAUAUUUUUCAUAACCGACGUAGUAUAUCCAUUCAACGACGUUAAUUUUACAUGACUGUCGUUGAUAAUACAAAAAACGACGUGAAAUGUAUGAAGGUAAUUUCUUCUUACCUUAUUCUCAAACCCCAAGGAAGGAUCCAUGAUGAUGUCCCUCAUGAAGCGCAUCACAUAAUACCCGCAUUCGACAUUGCUGGGUUGCUUUGGUGUGCCUGAGAGAGUUUUCCAAAUUACAUUUUUACGUCCUGCUCGGGCUAUGUGGGUAUUAUAUAUUUUUAAAGCACUGUUCACGAUGUUUUUGGCCUCUUCGUCGACCACACGAUGACCUGGCAGAGGAUCCAGAAAAUAGACGGUCUCCUUCUUUGCUCUUACAAUCAGCAAGAUCCAAUGACGGCUGCACAAAAUUAAUAUAAAAACGACGGUUAUUUACAAAAACGACGUAUUAUAGUAUUUCACACGACGAAAUAAAGUAGAUAACGACGACAUUAUAUAUUUAUCACGACGACAAAUAAAUACCGACGUGGUUAGUAGUUUCAAACGACUAAAUAAAAUAAAACACCGACGUGGUUAGUUUAUAAUCUGUCAUUUAUUGAAAAUCAUAAAAACAAAAUCCUAAGGAGACUAACCCUGGAUUGUAAGGCAUCAUGAAAAGCUGUUCACCGUCUGUCUUCUGAAGUCGAGCUGCUACCAGUCGUGAUCUUUCAGUUAUUGUGCCAGAGUUGGCACUAACUGUAGCAGGGUCAAUAAAGCCAACCAUGCUGCACAUAUUGGCUUGUUUCAAAACAUCGUGUAAGUACCUAAAUACAUAAAAUAAUAUAAACAAGUCAGCAAAAACAAACACGACGGUUAUGUAUAAAAAAACGACGUAUUAUAAUAUUUCACACGACGUACUGAAAUAGAUAAGGACGUUAUAAUAUAUUUAUCACGACGGUAGUUAGUUAAGACGACGUGGUUAGUUAGUUAAGACGACGCAAUAUAUAAACCAACGAGUUAUUAUCUUAGAAGUACAAACCUCAUAUAUACAGCCAAUACAGUAGCUCCAAUUUCUUCCAUGCCUGCAAAUUGUGUAAUAUCUUCAGGCAGGAGGAAGGUAUCGUGCUCACCACCAAACACCUCCAUAUCAAUUGUAAAUUGGAGUGUCUUAUCCUCAGGCAGGAGUGUCAUUUCCACAAAACGACAAAGGGUUUUUAAAGAAGAUGGCGCCUCCAUAUUUGAAUAAUCACCAACUUCAAUAACCUGUUUAAAGAAAUAAAAAAAAUGACGUGGUAAUUCAAUAAAGACGACGGUUUAAGGAAUAAAACGUCGUCUUAAAAGGAUUUAAACGACGGUGAAAAAACUGUCGUGGUAAUUCAAUAAAGACGACGGUUUUAUUAAUAAAGCGUCGUCUGAAACCAUUUAAACGACGGUGCAAAAACCGUCGUUUAAAUAUUUUAUUACGUCUUAAAAAAAGUCCGCCGUCUAAGUUUUAAACAAACGACGGAUUAUAUAAAAAUAUCGACGUCUGAAAUUUUGAAAAACAAAUAAAAAAGGCAAAGUUAUGUGAACAUACCUUGUCGUCAUGCUUUUCUUCAUCUUCUUUCUCCUUUUCUUCUUCCUUCUCUUCAUCUCUUUUUUCUUCUUCCUUCUCUUCAUCUGGCUGAUGUUUCCCCAUUUUGGCAGUAUCAUCCUCCAAAUGUAGGGAUCUCACAUAACCUCCAGAGCAGCUAGCUUUGUCAGACAUUGGAUUUUUGGGGCUUUGGCUAAUUCUUGGUUUAAGCAUGCUUGGAUCAAAAUUGGGAAUUAAUUGGGAAAGCUGACUCAGGAAAUGCUCCCUCUCAGCCUCUACCAAUUGUUUUGUCCUAGCCUCCAUCCUUAAGGCCUCUUCCCUUGCCUUAGCCUCCAUCUUUUUAGUCUCUUCUUGAAGGAGAACUCUUAAACUGUCCUUCAAACGGUCGUCAAAGCUCACCCUCUGUGGUUUGGGCAAAUUGAAAUAUUGCCUUGGGGAAACACCAGCACCAACUCCCCUCAGUCUGCAUGGAUGCUCGGGGCCCAAAGCCAUGGUCAGCACAUCAUUGCUGCCAUCUACUCUGACUUUGCCUUCCGAGACUUGUUUCUGCAAUUCAUCCUAAAAAAAGAUAAACAAAAAAACACACGACGGUUAUUUAUGUACAAACGACGUAUUAUAUAAUUUCACACGACGCAAUAACGUAUAAACCGACGUUAUUAUAACUUAUCACGACAGUAGUUAUACCGACGUGGUUAUUUAUUUAAAACGACGAAAUGAAUAAACAACCGACGUCUUAUGCUAUAAUUAAAGAUAACAGAGUAGUGAUUCCUAUUUAGACCGUUAACGACGUUUUUAAAAAAAUUUCGACGUGGUAAUAUCAUUCACACGACGCGAAAAUGAACCACCGACGUCUUAUGCUGUAAUUACAGAAAACAUAGUAGUGAUUCCUAUUUAGACCUUUAACGACGUUUUUAAAAACUUUUCGACGUGGUAAUAUCAUUCACACGACGAAAAAUAUAACAUACGACGUAAUAAGAAUAAUUCACAGUUUAAUAAAAAUUUAAAACAGAGUGAUAGUAGGCUUACAAUUAAUUUUGCUUUCUCUGCCACCUUUGGAUCAGGGAUGUUACCAUGUUUGUCCUGUCUAGCUCUCUUCCAUAAGGUAGAUCGAUCAAUUUCUACCCCAGGCAUGGUUUCCUCCAAUUGAUCCUCCAAUCCAGCAUAUCCUUUUCGAGACAAUCGAUGAUUGUACUCGAGUUUCUCCCUAAUCUGUGCAUGUUGAGAAUGCACAGACUCAAAAUCUUUGGAUAGCCUUGAAGCUACAAAGGCAUCCCAUUGUGCUUUCUCUAUGAAUUUAUAUGUUUCAGGGGGUUGGCUUAAUUUCUCCCUGUCAUUGGUGUAUGGAAGGAUAUAAUACCUCGUUAGUGUAGACUUGAAAUCCUUCCAUUUCUUGGAAGCAGAAGCUAAAACAGAGGUCUUGCCCCCUUGGCCUACGACAAAAGCCAUGUCAACUGCUUCCCAAAUCUGCUCCUUUAUAUCCUUGGGGAUUUGGGACCAUUUCUUGUCCACAAGUGGGAUCCUGGAGCGUGCCAACACACCAAUAUACGACUGCAUCUCAAUAUGUGCUUGGCCAACACCUUUCCCCCUUUUAUUGUACUCAACAAUUGGCCUCAGUUUCUGAAGCUUUCUCUUCACAACACGAGGCAUUGUGCUCAUACCUCGACCAGUCUUUGAAUCAUCAGAGAUUGUUGUCUGGCUGGUUUGUUCUGUCUCAGCAGAUGAUGAAGCAAACUUCAUCUUCUUCGAAGACUUCAUCUCCUUCGAAGACUUGUCUUGAGUAGCUACCAUUCCAAGCUUCUUGGAGCCAGAAUCCUUAGUUUGUUGUUGAGAAACCAUUUUAACAGACAAAACUGCAAGUGAAAAUAUUUCAGGAAAACAUUAAGAACACAAACGACGGUAUUAAAAAAAUACGACGUAUGAUAUGAUUUUAGACGACGCAAUGAAAUAAUCUCAGACGUAAUAAAUGUUUAAAACCAUUAUUUAUAUAACGUCGUGGUAUAUAUGUUCACACGAUGUCAAUAGUAAUACACCGUCGUGGUAAACUAUUAUUUAUAUAACGUCGUGGUAUUUAUGUUCAUACGACGUCAAUAGUAAUACACCGUCGUGGUAUUAACAUUCACACGACGUAAAACAAUAAGAUAUUUUGUCGUCUAUAUUAGAUACCAACCCUAGUUUCUUUUUCUUUAUAUUUUAUCAAAUAAGGGAAAAACAAAAACCAUUGUUCAGAGAAAUCAAACCUGCAAUUAAACAAGCAUAUAAAAAAAGACUAUUAUUUUAAAAACAACUUUGUCAAUUUUCAGACGACGCUAGAACAACUGACGAACCGUCGUGGUCUACCGUCGUCUUAUUUAGUUGAUGUAGUUGUCUUCAAAGUUGGAAACUUUCCCUCUUUGUCUGUAUAUUUUAUCAAACUUGGAAAGAAGUAAAAUGAUUUUGGCCAGAAAAAAGGUCAAAAGAUUUUUCAAACAAAAAACGUAUGAGCAUGCAAAACAGUAACCAAAAUAGUGAAAAUGAAAGCUUACCUUUUGCAUGCAAUGAAAGCAAGAGGAAGAUGAUCGAUGUUUAAGUUCAGAGACGACGAAGAAGACGAGAGGAAGACGAUGAGAAACUCUGACAAUGCUCUGACAAGGAAAAAAGACGAAAAGGUUUCUCUGGGAGAUUGAAAUUUUUAAUCGGGUUUGGAAACAGUGCAUAUGUAAGUCGAAAAGUUGCUUACAUAUAAAACCAUUUCAAAAAAAUAAUACGGCGGUUACAUUUAACUACGUCGUUUUUAACUAACACGACGCAAUAUUUUUCGUUCGACGUGGAAUCAUUUCAUUUAACGUCGUUAGGUUUAAUAUAACCGACGUGGAUUUUAAUUUUUAAAUUAUGAAAAGAAUUUUUUUUCCCGUGACCUUUCAGUUUAUUUUUCAAUUACAGUGCGUUAUAAAUAGAGUUUUUUUUCCGGAGGAAAUUUAAAACGAAGGAAAUUAAUAUUCUGCAAUAUGUAAAGUUUCUUUUUUGGAUGACAGAUUUAAAUAAAAUAAGAAUAUAAAAACAACAAAUGUGUAAGUCAAGUAGACGAAAAGUUGCUUACAUAUAAAACCAUUUCAAAAAAAUAAUACGGCGGUUACAUAUAACUACGACGUAUAAAUUACAAAAUACGACGGUACAUUUAACUUCGGACGUGGUAAAUAAAUACGACAGUAGUUUGUAGGUACCGUCGUAGUAAACUCAAAAAUUAAAGUACAUAAGUAAUAACUCGCGUCAUGGUAUAUUAUUUAACACGUCGUUUUUAUUAAUUUACCGACGUGGAUUUCUGUAAUAUACGUCGAUCAUACCGACGUUGAUUUUACAAUUUAAACGGCGGUUGUUUUGUAAGGACCGCCGUUGGUUUUAAAAAUUUAUUCUAUAAAUUUGUCGCUUUCAUUCAUUUUCGGUUUACAUUUAAGGUUCCAAGUUCUUCCUCUCUCAGUCUCUCAUGUCUCAAAGAUAAUAAUUUGGAUGUUUACUAGCCUUCUCACUUCCUUGAUCAAGCCUGAUAGGACACUUAGUGCUUCUGAAUACUCCUUGCUUUCCAUCAAAAGAGAUGCAAGCCUGGCCUCCACUCGCUGUCGAAGGAAAGUUCGCUUCUCAGGGAAAUCUGAAGAUCAGAUGUGCCUGAUCCUCUGCUUGAUUUUCUUGCCUAAGAAGAUCCGUCGGAUUUGUGAUAGCCUCUUCCUUUAUCCGUAGAGCUUCAGAAGAAGAAGAUGGGUUUCAAGAAUGCGAUAAAGAAUAGAAAUGGCUUCAGAUGGCCUCUAAAGCAUGAGCAAUUGAAUCAGUAGUUUCUGGGAGAUAUGAUGAAGACAUUGUCAAUGCUUUGAACUACACAAGUCCUGCAGAAAGAUAUGUUAAAGAAACUGAAACAACGGCGGUUUUCUGUUCUACCGUCGUCUUUUCUCGUCGUCUAUAUUAAGUUAAGAUGGCGGUAGAUUUAUAAUUACCGACGUAGAUUAUUUUGUUAAACGUCGUUAAGUGUACUACAACCGACGUGGAUUUUAAUUUUAAAUUAUAAAUAGAGUUUUUUUUCCCGUAUUCUUUCAGUUUUAGUUUUCAAUUCCAAAGCGUGAUAAAUAGAUUUUUCUUUCCCGAGGAAAUUUAAAAUGAGGGAAAUUAAUGUUCUAGAAUUUGUAAACUAACACGACGCAAUAUUUGCAAAUCUGUGUCAUCUGUUAAGAUUAUGAUGUGGAACAGAGUUCCAUCUGGUAAGAUUUCGUAACCCUUGGGAUCUCAGACAAAUCUGAUUAUGUCGGCGGUGUUCUAUAUAAACCGUCGUGGUUAUUUCAAUUCUUGUCAUUAAGUAGAUCUACCGACGUAGGAUAAGAAAAUCAAAGAAAAAAAUUGUUAACAAAAAUUCUUAUUAAGACGACCGUUAAAAUUAAAGGUACGACGUAUAAAAUGAAUAAAUACGACGAUAAAUUUUAUUGUACGAUUUAAAGAUAACGUCGUAGAACUAUACGAGAAUGACGUCGUUAUAUUUAUAUUUUCCGUCGUUGUAAAUUAAUUUAAUACGGCGAUAUUUUGUAUUUUAAAGCCGUGGAUUUGUUUGUAAUUAUACGGCGUCUUAUACGAAAACCUCGUCGUGUUAUUUUAUGAGUAAAAACGGCAGUUUUUAUUGAAAUCGUCGUCUUUACUUUCUACGUCGGUCGAUUCAUAACUUCUGCCGUUCUUUGUUGGCAUUGAUUUUACACUGCGGAAAUCUGUUUCAAAUAGACGUCGGUUGUUUAAUUAUGUACGUCGUUGUUUUUGAACAGCCAUUUGAAACUCCAUUUUUUAGUUGUCUAAGGUUGUAUUACACGACGGUGUUUUUAGAACCGUCGUCUUUUUAUAAACCACGACGGUUUUCACUUAGACCGUCGUUGUUUUCUGGUCGUCUUUUUCACUUUUUGUAGUAGUGUUACCAUCAACUUUUCAUAUAUAUAAUAUAUAUAUAUAUAUAUUAUACUGAUAUAUUAGUGGAAAGCUAGAUGCGUUGGCUUUUCUUCUUUACAUCAACAUAAUGGUUAUUAUUAUAAAUAAUAGUGCAGCACAAAAAUUAUACCUGAGAGCUUCUCGUGCUGAUAACGUGUUAUAAAAUAACCUGGGAUAUGUGUGAUAAUUCAGAGCUGCACGUAAAGUAGAUGAGACACAGCAUUUAACGAGGUUCGGCUAUGCCUACGUCCUCGGAGAGCAGCAGCAGUAACUUUUCCACUAUGUAAAAUAAUAGGGCUACAAGUUUAGUGUUUACAAUAUAUGUAGCUCACUGAAUUUUCUCUCUAGGAGAAUUUCUCUCUACUCUCUCUUUCCUCUUUCUUUCUCUUUUUUCUUCUCUUCUUCUUUCCGUUUCUCUUCUUAUUUAUAGGCUGAAAUAAUCACUAUUCAUCACUAUUCAUCACUGUUCACCCGUGACAGACAAACUCUAUCAAAGCCGCCAAAUGAACAGUAAUGAACAGUAAUGAACAGUAACUCUAUCAAAGCCGCCAAAUGAACAGUAAUGAACAGUAUGAAUAGUUAGUGGGCUCCGCAUGUUUAUUUUUAUUCUUUUUACAACAUAGAUGACAAUUUUUUUAAAGUACAAUCUACAUAACAGAAGAUAUUUCCCAGGAACUGUUUUUAGAAGAAAACAAUAUUUUAACAGUUGUGGAAACUUAAAUGUUCUCAAAAAGAGAACUGCUUUUUCCUAUUUACUUUUUAUUUUACAGUUUAUUACAUCCGAUUACAAAUGCAAAAGCAAACAGUGGAACUAAUUCCCUUCCAUCCUAAUUAGUAAUUCCCAACCAAACUAUGUACUAGAGUCUUCUAUUCUUUGUUUAAUUCCAUUUCAUUGCCUUUCCUACUCCCAUUCUCAAUCCCUUAAGGCCUGUUUGGUGGGCUGUCUUCGACUAGAUCAGUUGGGCAUUGGCGACAUCUAUGCACCAACGUGAGGGGGAGUGUUGGCGUGACUUGUGGAUAUUGACUUACUUUCCUUACACACCAAGAAUUCCUAUUAUAAUUGUAAUUGAUUUACUUUAAUUCCUGAUUUCCUACUGCAAAUAGAUUUAGGAAUUUAUUAUUUACUUCCCAUUCAGGUUUCGUUGUAUUAUAAAUAUGACCUCAUACAAGGAGAAGAAUACACAGAAAAUUCCCACAAACAAAUAUUCUCUCAUAGUUUUAAUAUUUUAGCAUGAGCGAGCUUCCCUUUUAUGAAUCUCUCUCUCUCUUAUUUGCUUUCUCCAUCAUGGUUUCAACGCCCCUAUCUGUCUGCUGUUGCAAGGUAGCUUCUUUUUCUCCAUUUUCUUAUCCAUUCGAGUUUGAUUUUUCUUGAUUUCCAUGUUUAAUUCUAACAUUUGAACUCCGUUGAUUUGGCUGCUUCAGCCUCCUUUGCUUUGGGUUGUUUUUUCUCUUAUUGGGUACGCACUGGAACGUUAAAUGGUUUUGAGGAAAUUUCAUGGCUUUGGGCAAUUGCGACUCCACAAGAAUAAAGGACAAUGAAAAUACAAAAAUUUUCCUUCAAAUUUUAUUUUAUUAUUUUGUGCUUACCAUUUUGCCCUCAUAUAUUAAAGAAUCAUCUGUUUUAGUACGUUUAUUUCUCAGGGGCAUUAAAGAACUUUCAAAAUUUUAACCCUUAUUUUGUCUGAUUGGUAAGAAGAUAAUAAAAUCAACUCAUGAAAAAACAUUUAUGAUAGAUUAUGGAUCAUGAAACCCAUAAAUUAUGCAUCCUAUAGUCUCAAUCUUUUAAAUGUUUCCAUUUUUUAACCCUUUUGAAAAUAUUAAAUUUGUUACGUUCCAAGUCAAUUUCUUCGUUACAUGCCACUAUGUGACAAAUGUAGUUCUUAUCUCUGACAAUAUUUACACAAAUUUGAUGGUUUAAUUAGGAAAUCUAUUUUUUUUUUAAUUAUGGAAAAUUUGAGUUUUUUGUUUUAAAAGUGAUGUGUCAACUUUAAAUUUUUUGGAUUGAAAUUCAAAUGACGUGGCAUAAGAGGAGUGAAAGUCAAGUAGAUCCUAGUAGAGAAAAUCAAAGCAGAUGAUCUGGAUCCUCUACUCUGAUUUCACUGCUAUGAUUUGCUUUACUUUUGUUCUCCAUACGCCAUCUUAUUAAAAUUUAAUAUAAGGGAUUUAAAAGUUGACGCAUCAUCCUAAAAGUAAGGCAGAUCAUGACAGAGAAAAUCAAUGCAAUGGAUCCAGAUCCCAUGGGAGCACCCAUCUAUUUAGAGACAUAAUAUAAUAAUUAAUUAAAAGUAAUUAAUAGAUUCAAUUAAUAAUAGGAAGUAGAUGCCACUACUUAGAAGUCAUGCUGUAAGAAAAUUAUAAUAUUUAUAUUUGAUUGUUUAAUAAUUGAAUGGAAAUUAAAUUGUGGGACUCGUGACUUUAAGUGCAUAACUUUUACAAAUUGGUAUGUAUUUAUUGAGAAUAGUCAUGUUCUUAACCGAGGAAAUAUAAAAUAUUAUUCAUUUUGUUUGUAAAAUAAUACUACUUUAUGUGAUAAGUUGCAUUGUUUCAUAUAUGAAUAGUUGCAUUGUUUCAUAGAAAUUAAAACAUUGCAUCUUGGCUUAAGUUGCAUUGUUUCAUAAUAAAUGAAACACUGCACUUCUUAGCUUAUGGUUGCAACAUGAAACGACACAUUUGUUGAUAUUUUUCAGUCACAUCUUUUCUGAACAGAGGCCUUAUUGCCUAUAAAUAGAGAAGAUCCUACAACAUUUCAUUCAUCCAAUUAUCAUCCCAUAGUAGUUUUUAGAGCAUUCAUAGCAUUAUAUUUUUUAGAAAUAUAGUGAGUUAGUAAGAGACAAAAUCAUACACAAGUUUGAGUUCGCUUUUCUUGGAGGCAUGUCCACCUCCAUCAAUACGCCUUCACUACUUGCCUAUGUCGCAGGAACUUCUGCUACUCUUGCUCUUGCUCCUGCUCUAGCUCCAGCCGCCGCUGCAGCUCCCACCACUACCGCUGCUUCUGCUGGUCAUACUGCUCAUGCUGCUCCUGCAGCCACAUCUCCAGUAGCUGAUGUUGCUCCUGUGGUUGCCGCCGCUGCUCUAUGUUGCCUUCAACCUCAAAAGGUAAGAAAUUUAGUGUGCAUGAAGAGACUUAAACCUUGACCUUGAAAGGAGGAAAGCCUUGUUCACAAACCACAUCACCAAUCUUAUUUUUGUGGUAUUUUGUCAGUUACGCAAUAUUUAUAUUAAUAGUCAAUGGUUUUUUUUUUUAAUAAAAAAAAAACAUAUGGGCCUCCUCUUUAACCUAAUUCAAAACAAAAUUUCAUUCAUAGAUAUUAACACUACUACAUUUUACGAUUUGCGCGAUGAAGAAUAUUUCAUCGCGCAAAGUUACUUUUAGUCGCACAACUUUCAGCGCGACAAAAAAGUCGUCGCGCAAAGAGCGUGAAGAAAGACGUUGCGCGACCAAUAUUUUGCAUUGGUCGCGCAAAACAGAGCGACGGUUAACCUUCGCUGCACAAAAGGUUUAGGGAUGACUCAAUUAUUCGUCGCACAAACAUUUGCGCGAGGACAACAUGAUCGUUGCGAGUACAUUGCGUGACGGAUAAUAUUCGUCGCGCGAUUAGUGUCGCAACUACUUGCGCGACGAUAUUUUUUUCAUUGCGCAAUUCGUGUCUCCAACAUCUGCACGACGAAACAUUCGUUGUCGCGCAUAUCCAUUUCGCGAGACGAAUGCUUUUGUCGCGCAAGAAUAAAAUAUUUGUAUUUAAAAUAUAGUUUUUCGUUUUUGUAUUUUGUAAAAAUGAAUUUGUGCGAUGAAAAACAUUUCGUCGCGCAAAAUUAAUAUGUAUAUUAUUUAAAUUUAAUAUUACGUUUUUUUUAAUUUUGUAAAAAAAUAAAUUUGGUUUUUUUUUUUUUGGUAAUAAAAUGAAAUUGCAAUAAAAAAAAAUGAAUUGAAGAGAACAAAAAAUUAUAUAAAAUAAAAUAAAUGUAUAUACAAGAGAAAUGUUUAAAAUAUAAUUAUGAAAAUAAAAAACUAAUCAAAUAAUGUUGCAAAAUCUACUUGGUCGUUGCCUAUAUGCGGCUCGGAGGUCUGGGAGUCCACAGGGGCAGUGGUCUGGUGGGCAUGCUCGCGGUGGACGGGAUCAGAGGUCGACGCAUCAAACUGCGGGACUGGAAUGCCGGACCUCACGAGGGACUGCAGAAUCACUGACAUCUGACCUUGCAGCUUGGCCACCUUUGCUGUCAAAGCAGUCACCUGACUGUUUGACUACGCUGAUGAAAGGGGCUUGGUUCCCUCCGCCGAGCAUUCCCCAUCCCUCGACAAUAUGUCCCCGGCCUCCUUCCGAGAGUCUGAUUCAACGUCUCCGUCAAGAUCUGAAACCCAGCAUCCUGUGGAGGAUCCACAGACUCGAUCGGAGUAUCGGGAGGAAGUUGGGAGGCGGACUCCUGAAGAACCAACUGGCUCCUCUCCACCAUCGUCGUCUGUUUAACAUAACAUAAAAUAUAAAUUAAAACAUUCAUAUAAUAACCCUGAAACUUGAAUGUGUAACAUAAUAAUUAAAAUUAAAUAAUACUUACAUGAAGGGUCUCGGCCAACUCAUUCCCAGGUCGAACAUAAACGUCGCCAAAGACGUCGAUCUCUGGGAAUUUGGACCCCUCCUAAAUUGAACAAGAGAAGAAAAAUGUUAGUAUGAAAAAAAUAAAUUAAUAAUAAUGACAUAUUAAAAAUUAAAUAUAAACUAUUUUAUUAUUACCCGCCGCCGUGCAUCCAUCCUAUAAGAGAAGGGCCUGGAACCUGAAUGGUGGAGAAGAGUCUUCUUCUUCCUAUUGCCCUUAUUGACUUUGGCUUUAUUCUGUUAUACCAAAAAAAAAAAAAACGUAUUAGUUGAAAUUGAAAUGAAAUAUAAAAAAAAUAAAUAAACAUUAGUAAAAAAAAUGUAAUAAUUUUGAAAUUAAUAUUAAAAAGACCACAAAAUCGGGCGCCUGAAAAUGAGCGUAGAGCCACGCCCAACUAUCCUGCCUUCUCUCAAGUUCCUUCGGGCAACCCUCCUGAACAGUGACUUGCGUAUCAUCAAACGCCUCAAAAUGGUGGUGCAAGUCGCUCUUCCACUGCUUGUACCUCUCAGCGAAGAGUCCGUUGACGUACGCCAACGACUCGUCGUCCAGGUCCUCUAAGUUGUAGUUCGUCUGCAAUAAAUUAAUUACAUACAUUAAGUAAUAGAAACAUAUAAAGUUUGAAAGAAAAAGAAUUAAAAGGUAGGAUACAUACCGACAACUGGCCGCGAACCACCGUCCUAAUCUCGUCAGGCAUGACCUUCCAAGACUUCCAUUGCAUCGGUCAAUGGGUCCGAACGACAUGACCAAUGUUGUGGGCCAAGGAGCUAUGCAACUCCGUCGUUAGUGCAGCCCGAUGUCGCUCGUCAUAUCCGAUGUUGAUACGAAUGUUGGUCACUAGGGUGACCUUCGCCGUCUUCAACUGCCGACAUGGCCCUUGGAUGUUUUUCUUGGCUGCAAAGAAAUAUGAUAUUAAUGUUAAAUAAACAACAAAUUUAACUAUAAAAUACACAAAGGAAAAAAAAACUGGAGUUGAAGGAAAUCUAUACCUGGCUGUGACCCCGACGCACCAAUAGCGUCGGUCGAUGUGGUGUCUGUGGUGCUUGGCGGCUAGCUGCCUAGCGCUAAUAGGCUGCGCCACUGAUGAAGCCGAUGACACAGGGGCCUGGGACCCCCCGGGACCAACUGGCAAGUGGUCCAUUAGUGCUGGAGCAGUGGCAGCAGAUAACGGCUGAGCUGGGGAAGGCGAACUCUGUGCAAUCCUCAGCGCCUUACGACUUCUAAUCUGGUUUGACAUAUGCAAAAUUUCAUUAAUACACAUACAAAUUAAUCAAAUUUAAGAAUAUAUAAUUGUAAGCACAUACAAUUUCAUUAAGAAUUUUAACUAAUUAAUUAAAAGCAUAGCUUGAUUUAGGGUUUGCGAUUUCGGAGUAUCCAGGACUCCGAUCCACGAUCUGUCGAAUCUUACACGAUCCUAGAAAUAUAAGGUACAGCAUACGUGAGUUUGAGUUCGAUCCAACGGUCUGAACAUAUCAAACCCGAAAAUCGCACAAUAGGCGAAAUUCGUUUGAGACUCAAACGGUAACCAAAUUCAAAUCCGAGCACACCUACGUGCUCGUGACAACUAGGGGAUUGUAUUGGGACCCAAUGCCCCACUGCUAUAGUAUCUCACGGGCCACCACACGCACCGGCAACGCGUGAGUGUCCAAAGCGAUAACAAUCGCCGGAAAAUUCUAAAAACUAAGGGCCAAGGUUCCUACCCUAGGUUCAAAACAUCAAUUGGAGCCACUUUUGUUCUCGGACCUACCCCGAAAAAUGGCCGGAAGUAGCCGGAAUUUAAAUUCAAAAAUUGGCCAAAACUAAGGGUUUCAAUUCUAGAAACCUACUGCAACAAUUAAUCAAAUCUUACCCAACAAUCAGCUAGAGCACGAAAAAUAGUCCAGAAAGCAUACCUGGGGCGUCGGAUUUGGUGGCCGGAGGAGAGAGAAUGAGGCCGGCGAAGAAUUUGUGAAAACCGGGGAAUUUUCGGCGGCAGACUUGACGGUGACUGCGGCAGACUCGACGGCUUAGAAGGUUUUGGCCGCCCGGUCCUUUUUCCGGCAGAGCAGUGGGUUGAGGUGACGGCGGAGAGAAGAGAGUUUAGGGCAGAGAGACAAAGGGAGGAAGAAAGAAGGUUGUCGUGUGUUCUGAAAAUUUAAUAGAUCUUGCGCGACGCAUAACACAUGGCAUCGCGCAAGGUAUGUUCAAUCGACCUUGCGCGACCGAAAAACAAUAAUGACGUCGCGCAAGGUCGAAUUUCAGCCCAAAUUUUCAUUACAUUGCUCCAAAAUUUUGGUCACCUUGCGCAACGAAUAAAACAUAGUGUCACGCAAGGUUGUUAUUCCGCCAAAAAUUUGGGGUUUAGGGUUUAGGCGGGGGAGAGAGAGACUGAAAGGUCUGACUGAUAUUGUGUGACGAAUAAACAGAAUCGUCGCGCAAGAAAGUGUUCUGUGCACUUUGCGCGAUGAAAAAAGAACCCUUCCGUCGCGCAAGGUUGUUAUUCCGCUAGAAAUUUGGGAUUUAGGGUUUAGGCGGGGGAGAGAGAGACUGAAAGGUCUGGCUGAUAUUGCGCGUCGAAUAAACAGAACCGUCGCGCAAGGUUGUGCUCUGUACACUUUGCGCGACGGAAGAAAAAAGAAUGCUUCCGUCGCGCAAGGUUGUUAUUCCGCCAUAAAUUUGGGGUUUAUGGUUUAGGCGGGGGAGAGAGAGACUGAAAGGUCUGACUAAUAUUGCGCGACGAAUAAACAAAACCAUCGUGCAAGGUUGUGUUAUGUAUACUUUGAGUGACGAAAUAAGAUCCCUUCCGUCGUGCAAGGUUGUUAUUCUGCCAGAAAUUUGGGUUCAGGGUUUUGGGGGGUGAGAGAGACUGAAAGGUCUGACUAAUAUUGUGCGACGAAUAAACAGAACCGUUGCGCAAGGUUGUGUUCUGUACACUUUGCGCGACGAAAUAAGGACCCUUCCGUCACGCAAGGUUGUUAUUCCGCCAUAAAUUUGGGGUUUAGGUAUGGGAGGGGAGAGAGAGACUGAAAGGUAGGACUGAUAUUGCGCGACGAAUAAACAGAACCGUCGCCCAAACCCUAAACCCUAAACUAGUUUCAAUGAUCCAACUGGCAAACUUGUUUUUUUAUACUUUGAGAUCAUAUACGCAGGAAAUAAGAAAAAACAAACAUUCAGAGUUCAAGUAACGAGACAAAACUUUUCGACGGUUAUAAAUGAAAAGUCACGAUUUAACGGUUAUUUUAACUCCUAUUUUGAUGAUUUUUUACAGCUACACUACUUGCCCCUAUAUGAAUACAAUGACCUAAUUUGAUCGUCAAUUUAAGAUAUUUACACUAGUGGAUACCACAUAAUCUUAUGUUAUAUUUAACGAAAGUAUAAAUAAACUCUUAAUUGUUGGUGAAUAUAUUGUUUUGAUGGCAUAUGCAUUCUACGAAGCUAGUUUCAAUAAUCUAACCGUCAAACUUGUUUGUUUAUACUUUGAGAUCAUAGACGCCAAAAAUCGAAAAAAACAAACAUUCGGAGAUUAUCAAAAUGGUCAAAUUGUUUAGGUCAAAUUGUUUCUCAUUUUCAUUUUUAAAAAAUGUUUUGUCAAAAUAAUUAUCAAAAGGGUUUGGAUAUAUUUAUUUACCAAUGUUUUAUAACUAAAUUUAUUUUAAUUUCUCAUUUUCUUGUAUAGCUCAAUUUAUUUCAAUGUUUCAUUUCUCCACAUAUAUAAGGUUUGGAUAUAACAAUUACCUAUAUUCAAACAUUUGUAUUACACAAAAUCUGUACACUAACAUAAUAAAAUUACAAAAAAAUUCAUUAUUCAUCAUCAGAACUAUAAUAACUUUCGUUAUCGUCGCUAUCAUCACUUUCGGUCUCCCAAUCCUCCUCCUCCUCCUCUAUAACUACCUCAUCGUCGUUGCUCGGGCCCACUACAAUAUCGUAUCGCGGAAGAUCACUGAGGUCAAUUGUAAUUGACUGAAUCGGUAUUUCGAUUGAAGACACUCCUUGUAUUUGAAAUGGUUCUUGUAUAACAUUUGUAUCUCGAAGUGUUUCCGCAUCAUUUUCCAUUGAAGAUUCCAAACGUUGGUCAGCCACGUUGUCGACGUCGUUGUUAGUUGGGUGUAGUUCUGGUAUAGCAUACACGUUCCUAUGAUCCAUCUUCUGAACAACUUUCCAACCGCUCCCGGCUUUAGGGUCAUCUAGAUACACAAUUUGUGUUGCCAUGUUUGCCAAAAUGUAAGGGUCGUCAUCAUACCAAGUUCUGUUAAUGUUCACAGAUAGUAAGCUAUGGUCGAUUUUAACACUUCCCGGCCUAUUUGGGUUGGUAUCAAACCAUCGACACUUAAACAUGAUCACUUGGUAUCGAUCUUUGUAAAGCAAUUGCACGACAGUUGUGAGUUUGCCAUAGAAAUCAAUGUCCGUACUUUUGCCUCCACCUGGGACAUGGACACCGUUGUUUUGUGUACACAACUUGUCAUCUCGUGUAGUCCCUAAAAAUUUGACGCCGUUAACAUUACAACCUGAGAACAAUUUAGCGCGAAUCUGGCCGAACGCCAAGUUAUAUAACUCAUCACUGUAAGUGGGGGAAUUCAAUGAUUUCAACUUAUUCACCUAAUAUUAUACAAAACCAUUCACAUGUUAGUUUGACAAAAUUAAAUACUAAAAUAUAUAUUUGUCAAAUACAAAACACUUAUAACUUACAGAAUCCAAAAACCAUUGUGGAAACAACUCACGGUGUUUCUUGGCAUACAAAUGUGGUGGAUGUUCUCGCUUCAUCAUCUCUUCAUGCUCAUCUAAGUAUGCCAUUAUCUCAUCACAAUUGCUCUGUACGAACCAAUGCGCUACCUCCAUGUCAUUUCUAGAAAACGACUCUCCUCAUCUAGGAUCUCCAAAGGGUCGUGCGCUUUGGGCAAAAACAGAAAGUUUUUUAUUUCUCAUAGCUCCGUCAUUAUUGCGCUGAGGACGAUUGAAAGCCAUCUCCACAUCUUUUAAAUACAUUCCACAGAAAGUAAGCGACUCAUAUUGAACCCAAGCCUCUAUAAUUGAUCAUUUGGGCUUCGCCCUGUUGCGUACACUUUUUUUCAGCUCUCCGAGAAGCCUGCCAAAAUAAAAUGAUAUGAUACAAAUUAGCAAGCGUGUGAUAAUGAUGCAUACACAAACAAUAAGGAUCAUAUACCUUUCUAUUAGAUACAUCCAGCGAUAGUUGACAGGACCAGCAAGCAAUACCUCUUCUAGCAAGUGAACCAUCAUGUGCAUCAUACUUGUGAAGAAAGCUGGAGGGAAUAUCAUCUCAAACUUACAUAGGACUUGGACAAUGUCAUAGCGCAACUAAAACAUGUCUAUCUUUCGCAAUGUUUUUGCCGUCAGUUGGAACAAAAAUCUGGACAACAACAAGAUUGGCUUCACUACGUCUUCCGGCAAUAGGUGUCAAAUACUCACAGGAAGUAGGCGUUGCAUAAACACAUGGUAGUCAUGGCUCUUAAGUCCAGUAAAUUUAUCCCCGUUAACAUUCACGCAACGUGCGAUAUUAGAAGCAUACCCAUCAGGAAACUUUACAGACGAUACAAACUUUAGAAACUCUUUUUUGUCAUUCGGUUUCAUAGAAAAAAAAUGCAAGAUUCCUUCUAGAUUUAUCACUCUCCCUAUUCUUCCAUAAACCCCUUCGUAUGCCCAUUCUUUCCAAAUCAAGACGAGCUUUGAUCGUGUCCUUUGUCUUGCCCUCGAUAUCUAGAAUCGUGCCCACCAAUAUGUCGAAUACAUUUUUCUCAACAUGCAUCAUGUCUAGAUUGUGCCUCAAUUUUAGUUUCGACCAAUAUGGGAGCUCAAAAAACAUAGGCUUAUGCAUCCAGUUCAUAUGUGUAGAAGGUCUGGUUCAACUAACUGUUUUCCCAAACGGAGAAAAAUCCAAACGGUUUCCAAGAUCUUAUCACCUGACCAUUCUCUAGGUCUGAGGUGACGCUCUGUGUUCCCGUCGAACUCUUUAUCUUUUUUCCGCCACUCGUGGUCCCAUGACAACCAUCUCCAAUGACCAAGGUAAUAAACUUUUCCAGCGUGCCAACCAGAAGUUACAUCUUCCUUGCAUACAGGACAUGCCAUGUAACCAUUUGUGCUCCACCUAGAAACCAUUGCAUAUGCGGGAAAAUCAUUCACAGUCCACAUAACUGCUGCCCGCAAAGUGAACAUCUUCCUAGUUGAUUUAUCGUACGUGCGCACACCGUUUGUCCAUAAAUCCUUCAGCUCAUCAACCAACGGCCUUAAGUAAACAUCGAUUGACCUGCCAGGAUCCUCAGUUAUCAAAACAGUCAUCAUCAUGUAUUCUUUUUUUUUUUUUUAUGCAUUUACAAGGCGGCAAAUUAUAUGGAAAUACGAAAAUAGGCCAUGUGCUAUAUUGGUUUAGAACACCAUAUAGAUUGAAUCCGUCGGUGGCAAGUCCCAAUCUAACAUUUCGAGGAUCAGCAGCAAACUCGGAGAACAUUCGGUCAAACUCUUUCCAUGCCUUCCCAUCUGCAGGAUGCCGCAUAACAUCGUCGUCUACCCGUUUUUCCUUAUGCCAUCUCAUGUCUGUGGUAGUAUGCGUCGACAUAUACAAUUGCUGCAACCUAGGUUUUAGGGGCAGAUAACGCAUGAAUUUUUAUGGGAUCUUAGUCGUUCUAUUCUGAGAUGUUAUUUUGAACCUCGACUCAUUGCAUAUAGGGCAUGUAUCCAACGUUUCAUGCUCUUUGUAGAAUAACAUGCAAUUGUUUUUGCAGGCAUGAAUUUUUUCAUAUCCUAAUCCAAGACCUUUCAACACCUUUUGCGCGUGUUUAUGGUCUUUCGGCAAACAAUUGUCCGUCGGAAGCAUUCUCUUGAAAACCCCCAAAAAGUAAUCGAAACACAGGUUCGACAUACGUUACUUUAUUUUUUCGUGCAUUAGCUCCACAAUGGCCGUCAGAACGGAAAAGCUCUCGCACCCCAAGUAUAACUCUUAGUUGGCAUUUUUUAACCAUUUUUCAUAUUGUUCAAACUCUGCACUGUCUUUUGGUGUAGGUACGUCAUCUUCCCCUUGCUAAUUGAUGUUGGUCGAUUCAAAUGGAAAAGCAUCGUGUAUAAUAUCCAUGACUUGAUCAUUAUGAUCCACAAUAGGUUCAACAUUGUCCACUCUUGUGGCAUUUGAAGACGGAGCAUGAUCUAAUUGUUCCCCGUAAAGUUUCCAAAUGCUAUAUGUCUCAAUCAUUCCAUUUCUUACUAAAUGAAAUCCAACAUUUUCAAUUGUCUCCCACAACGUGUUGUUACACCUCCUAUAAGGACAACGGAUUCUAGUUGCACCCAGGUUGUGUGUACGUGCAAACUCAAUAAAAUCCUCGAUUUCAUCCAAGUAUUCGUCUGCACAUCUAUUCGGGUUUUAUAUCCACCUCCUGCUCAUAAUUCCUAGAACCACAAUCACAACACAACAAUUACAACAACUUCAUAUGAAGUCAUAAUGUCACCUUAUGCCUCCGGUAAGGGCCCUAUCCCAUUUGGGAAUGUAUAGUCAUGUCACGUAAUGUAUGGCUACAUGAGAUUAGAUUUCUACGUAGAUGAAUUUCGACAGUAUCUCGAUACAGUUCUUGAGGUGUGCCAUAGGUAUAAAUAGCUACGUACCACCCGAAGAACGUACAGAGAUAACACCGAAAUCUCUAUAAUCGAAACCUAAUCCUGUAACCCUACAUUACAUGAUAUAACUGUGCAUUCCCAAACUGUCCAAAUAAUGGGACAAUUCAAGAAUUAAUUAGACUGCAGUCAUGCUUUACGCAUCCAUGCACGAAAUCCAACUAAUCUCGAACGGGAAACUAAGUGUUACCAAAAAUUAAAAUAAAAGUAAGAAGUUAAUUUCAAUUAACUUCGUACAUCACAAUACAUUGUGCUACGUCACGUACAAUUUAACAACGUAAUAUAAAUAUAACUUCACAAAAAAAAUAUAAACAUAACAAACUAAGUUUAACAUAAUGUAAUUAAUUUAACAUUUUUAAUACAAAAAACGAAUAAAAUACAUUCUCAAUCGUUCUCCACCAAUUGCUAAUUACAAAUAUCCCUAACGAGAACGUUACAUUAAUACUUUUAAACUAACGACAAAAAACACUUAUCCAAUGAACGUACUGAAUUCCUAGCAGAGGCAGCGGCAGAAAGGCGUGGAGAGAGACUUUGGUUUUUUUUUUUUUUUUUUUUUUGCAUUCUGCCUCUGUAAUGGCAGAAUUCAGAUUGGAGAAGAAAGACUUUGCGCGAUGAAUAGAUGAUUUCGUCUCGCAAACUGCCGUUUCAAAAAUAAAAUUUUCGUCGCUCAAAACGACUUUUUGUCGCACAAAAUAAAUUUUUCGUCCCGCAAGCACGUGCCGACAUCAUACUUUUGCGCAACGCAAGGGUUGAUUCGUUGCACAAACAUUCGUCACGCAAAUUCUAUAUGUCGUUGCCCAAAAGCAAUCUUCCGUCGCGCGAAAGCGAUCUUACAUGGCGCAAGAAUGUAUCGACAUCAAACUUUACGCGACAGACUAUAUUUCCGUCGCACAAGGCUUUGGCGCCAAAAAAAUAUCCCCACUCCAAUAUUUUGGUGCCAAAAAAAAAAUAUCUCACGUUUUUCUUACGCGACGAUAAAUCUUGUCCCCGUGCUAAGUUGUCUUUCGCGAUGACAAAUGUCGUCGCUCAAGGUUUUGCCACCAAAUAACAAAACCCAAUGUUUUCUGUCCACCUUUACACGACGAAACAUCCAACCGUCUCGCUAGGUUUUCUUGCGAGACGAUUUUUGUCGUCACGCAAGUAUUUGUCGCCAAAAUAAAAAAACCCACGUUUUUCUUCCUCACUUUGCGCAACGAAUAAGUUUUCAUUUGUGCUAAGACUUUUUGCGCCACGCAAAUUUUGGUCGCGCCAUUUUUCGGUUGUUUGCGCGACGAAUAAUAUUUUCUGUCGCUGUAGUGUAUUUUGCGCGACGAAUUCUCAUUCGUCUCUCAAAAUAUCGUUGCGCGAAUAGUAAAACGUAGUAGUGUAAAACCCAAACAAAAAUACUCUGUCUCAAAUCCUAAUUAGUCUUUAUGUCUAAUACCUAAUUUUUCUUUAUUGUAUUCAAUCCCAAUGUGGCCUUCCCAAAGUGAGCUCCAAAUUGACAUUCUGUGAUACAUAUGGGACUUCAUCAUCUUCAUCACGUAGGCCUUCAUAUGGGACUUCAUAACUUAAGUCUUUUGGAUACAUCAUGUCCUUCCGAAUAUAUAUAUAUAUAUAAUAUUUAUGCUCACGGACAUACAAUUAAGAUUUUAGCUUAUGGGAUAAUUAGAGCUGCUUUACAAACACGAUUUGGUGGUCAGUGAGAAAAAAUUGAUGUUCUAAAGCAGCUGUAUCUCACCUAAAAAUAACUAAAUAAAAACACUAAUUGGGUAGAAACAACUAUUAGAAGAUUGUGAUUCACUGUUACAUGUACUCUGGAAACCUAAUUUGAAAGCAAGAAGUGCAUAGAAACAGACGACAGAUUGGCAAAUUUUCAACAAUUAAAAGGAUAACGAAACAAUACAGAAAUGCGCAAGAGAGUUUUGAACUUGAAUUUAAAUUGAGAUGAUGUUCCUUUGGUAUGUUUAUUACUGAGUAGCUCAAUCAGAGACUGAGAUUUGCUUUACUUCUCUCCUUUUUUUUCUUUUUUUCAUUUCAUUUUGUGUCUUGCAAGUUAUAAGUGCUUCCACUUGUUUAGAAUCCUCUGAAUUUGGACAUUUACUUACAUUGUAAACUUAAGUAAAUGUGGACAUUUACUUACAUGUUGAAAAUGGAAAUAAGGUAAUAUGUACAAUGCCACUGUCUGGGCUAAUAUUGAAAAUAAAUUAAAUAUAUAGGUUAUGUUAUAAAUCAAUGAGAAAUUGGAGGGAGAGAAUUGAGAUAUCAAAGUAGAGAAACUGAUUUCAGAAUGUUUCUGUUCUCUCAUUUUUGAUCUGUGUGUCUGUGUGUUCUAAAUGUAUAUCUUGAGUAGGGAAGGGGGAAGCCUUUUAUAGGCAUUUGGGGGCAUUUUGGGGACUCCACAUUUACAACACUCCCCCUUGGAGACCACAAAUGAUACAGAAUAUGCCUCGUUAAAAACCUUGCCAGUAAAAGAAAACCCAGUGGGACAAAAAAACUGGUCAAAGGGAAAAAGAGUACAUAAUCAUGUGGAACAUAAAAUUCUAUAUAUAUUGACGCGCGUGCGACACUGCCUCGUUAAAACCUUGCCAGGAAAAACCCAGUGGGAUAAAAACCUGGACGAAGGAAAAAGAGUACAGUGUUUGAAGAUCUGUAUUGAUAGUGCGCUCCCCCUGAUGCUUGGCAAAAUAUCUUUAAGUCAUACUGUUGAUUAGCUUUCUGAAUAUCGUAGUUGACAUUGCUUCUGUGAGUCAAUCUUGAGCGACACUGCCUCGUUAAAACCUUACCAGGAAAAACCCAGUGGGAUAAAAACCUGGAUGAAGGAAAAAGAGUACAGUGUAUGAAGGUCUUUAUUAAAACCAUGCUCCCCCUGAUGAAUAUCUCCCCCUGAAAACUUCAUGACUAGCUUUUCCAGUAUGCGACCAUAGAAAUUUCCAGAGUCCGCAUAUCUAAUAACACUUGGGCUAUUUGUAAGUUCACUCAAAAAAAAUAUGCCCGUAUAUGGUGUUAUGCUGAGAUAGCAUCAAAUAUGCCUCACAUCAUCCCAAAAUGAUGGUGAUGGAGUUGAGCUCUAUCUGGAAAAUACGAUGUACGGUCCAAUAUACUUUUGGAAAAUCCUUAAAGUGUCCAACGGAUAAUCCUCAUAAAAAUGCUUCAAUACUUUCUUAGUAUAAGCAAGAAUCUCGUUGGCAUAAUGCUCGAUCGAGACAAAUAUUUCAUGAAUUCUGCAGAAGCUUUAAUGUGUUGCAAUCACAUUAUAAUCAAUGUACUCACUGAGGUAAUUUAUGCAUAUUAAUAUUGAGUACAAAUUUUGUGCUUCAAGCACAUGUCCUUUAGGGACUUGCUUUAUGCAAUAUCAAUCCUCUCAACGGAUUUUGUCUAAAAGGGAUUAAACUUUAUGACACAUUAUAUAGCUUUAACCCAGCUAUUUAUACAUCUUUAGGGAAUCGCUUCUGGCGAUAUGCUCUGUGCAUUUAAUAACCCUUAAAGAUAAUAUGUUGGUCUCCGUAAUUGUGUAAUAAGGGGGGGCACAAUUGAAUCUGUAAAUAUGGAGAAAACCCAACAUUCCUUGUUUCUGCCAGAAACAGUGUGUCAUACAAAGUAGGUAUAUUCCCUUUUAUUCCGAACACCCAAGUAUAAAUUCAGUAUUAACAAAUUUUGGGGUUCGUAUUGUGGGUUUGUUCUUUCACGUUCAUUCUCAUUUAUAAUGGAAUUACCUCGUUCCAUUUUGGCCAAUGAUAUUGUCGACAUUUAAUAAUUGAACGUGGUUCCAAUCAACACAACCCAUUGAUGAUUUGAGUAGCUACUCCAAAACUAAAAAUUGUCAUUCAUCAAUUCAUAAUCUCACAAUUCUCAUGUGCAUGCGCAUGCAUCAAUUAUAAGCAUUUCUUUGCUUUUGGGUACCCAAGCCACUUCAGGGGGCUUUUAAUAUGUGAGAAUGUGGAUUAUAACCUCCAAUGGAGCGUUAUUUUACAUAGGGCGUGGAAAAUCUCCAUUUAGGGAGUUGGAACAUUUAGAACCCAUAUAUCUGUCAUGCUGCAGGCAUGCCACAGAUUAAUACAUACAUGUCAAUUAAUUUCUGGGACUUUAACCCAUAUUAUGGGACUUUAACCCAUAUAAUUUGCUACGCAUUAGGCGUGCAUAAUAUCAAUAUUGACAUGUCAAAGGAUUGUCCUUUCGGGACUUCAAUCCAUAUCAUUUGCUACGCAACAGGCGUGCAUCAUAUUGAUCACUGCUAUACCCAUAUUCUGUUCUUAUGGUACAUUAAUCUGUGCAGUGUAUUAUCAAUGUAUCCAACUUGCAAUCUGUAAAAUUUGCAUUAAUAAUUCAUGGAUACAUACAAGCCAUUCUUUUGGAACGGACUUAUCUUCCCAUUUGGUUACCUUUCAAGAUAAAAUAUCAAAUAAGUAUAUAAGCAAAAAAUAACACAAGUAUUGCUUACAUCCUUAGGUGGGAGAAACUUUUCUCAAGUAUCAUUCAAGCUUGUAUCGGCCCAGUAAAUGUAGCGCUUGAUGAUCUAGUUAUAUCCUGCACUAGUAAAAUCACAACUCUCUUCUCUGUCAAAAACAAAUAAUCCUCAGAGAGUUACAGAAAGAGAAAAAAUGCAAAAAUAAUGUGAUAUUGAUUGCAAGAGAAGGUAAGCAAUCAAGGAAGGAAGCUGGUGGGAGCAAACGACAAGCUCUCAUUUCUUCUAGUUUAGAAGAACUUCCAGAUAUUAGAGCAUAAGGUUGCCUUCACAGUUCCCUGAUGUGGCGGAAACGUGAUCAGGGAUAGCCACGCUUCCUGAAUGGAUGAUCAGAGAUAGUCUUGCUUCUCGGGCAUAUUAAGUGCUCACUGAUAAGAAAAACAAGUAGAUAUUGCAUCACUAGGUAUGGAGAAAACUAGAUGUCUUCUGCAAAGAAAAUUUCGUUAGUAACACAUUUAUACACAAAUACAAUGAAUAGAUAGAACCGGUGAAUUUCAAAUUAACCAUAAGAAAAUUGCGAGAUUCUCGAGAUACUUUUGAAAAAGUAGCUCCGUGAAAUCCGCAAAGCAAGAUCGGCUUUUGACGAAAAUAAUACUUUGAAAACGCCGAAAGUACCGACAGGCAUUAUCAGAGGCCACGUGAAGUUUUGGACUCUGGGAAAGAAAAAGAGAUAAUAUGGGGAUCUGAGAUAAUAUUGGGAUCCUGGAAACUGUAGCCAUAUUUCCUCCUAUAGAUAUGGCCUUUGCAAAACUUGAUUGGAGCAACUGCGUUUCAACUUGCUCCUUUCCUGUUAUAAUAAUUGCGCACAUUCUUAAAAUUUGCACCUGUGGUUUUUACGUCUUUUCAAAAUGACGGUUUGGAACCUUGUGCCUUAUAGGUUCAAAUAACCACAUUCUCUCUCCCAAAUUGCAUGGUAGCCCGGAACUUUUGGCCUGGGCACAAACUCAGAAUUUAUUUGCCCUUUUCAAAUGGACAUGAAAUGUGAAUUGAGUAAAAGCCAUGAUAAUAUCGCAAUAUAGUAGUGAAGAGCAUUAACUACUAUAUACCCACAACUUCAAGUUCAGGAUCUCUCAUAUAUUUGGAUCCAUGGGCUUCCGGCCCAGAUAUAACAAAAUAUGUGGGGAGCCUCAAUUCAUUAUUUGAGGUUUAUAUUGAUAUUAUCCAUUUCGCGGUGUAUUCUUAACAACUGGAAUUCACAAAAUAUAUUUCUUCCUUGAGGUGUCGAUUAUAACAAAAUCGAACUUUAAAUUCAUCAUCUUCUUAUGCCAAAGAAAUAUGUGGCAUACCACAAUUUGCAACAAUACCUCAAGGGUUGUCCAUUUAAUUAUUGGAACUUCAGGUUCUCAACACUGUUAAAUUUUGAACUUCAGGCCCAAGCCACAUAUUCUCAUGGUAUGGACAUUUUUAUAAUUUUCUGUACAUAUUUUGGGACUUCAAGCCCUUACAUAAUUGUCCAUAUUUUGAGGAACUUCUGGCAUCUCAUUUAAUUGCUCAUCCAUGAGUUUAAGGAACUGCAGGUUCCCUUUUGUAUAUAGUGACGGUUUACCCAAAAUGGUUCAUAUUUAUGCAUAUGUCACUAUUCAUGUGAAUAGUACUAUUCAUCAAGUCAUGAAUACGUAUCUAUUCAUCUGCCAGUACAGUUAUCAUCAAUGUGUACGGCACUAUGAACCAAUACGGUACUGUUACAUCAUUAAGGAACUCUAGGUCCUUAUUUACAUGUCAGGGAUCAAGGACCCUUAAAUCCGAUCACAUGUUUACAAAUACAGUACCGGAGAGACUGCCAGCUCUCAUAUUAAUAUCAUCAUCAAGGAUCUUCAAGUCCUGAUGUAAUUGUAUGAUGAGGAUCAAGGAACUUCUGAUCCUGAUCUGCAUACUGUAAAAACUCAUCAUACAGCACAAUUAAUCCAUAAAAUAAAUUGCUGAUAAAUAAAUUACUGGUAUGGACGAUAAACCCGCACCACACUUUAAAUAAAUGUAAAUGUGCGGUAAAUUAAAUUCAUAAAGUUAAGGUGCUUGUAUGGGCAUUAAUUCUGCUCCAUACAUUUAGAUAAAAGUAAAGGCGUGGACGAUAAACCCGCACCACCCUUUUAAAUAAAUACUGUUGUAUGGGUAAUAAACCUACACCAUACAGUAAAUAAAAUAAAUAUGGGGUAAAAACCACCACUAAACAAAAUAAGAAAAAUGUUAGUAUUAGUAACGGCCUCCCACUGAUAAUAUGUUUGGUAUUACCAAGGGUCCAUUUUUGUUAAUGGUUAGUAAAAGAAAAGCAGAUAAAUAUAAUAGGAAAUAAUAUGGAAGAUAAGGGAGCAGAAAACUUAUCGCUUAAUCCCUUGCUGAGUGAUCCCCCCUUUUUUUUAUGUAUUAUAUAUUAUUUAUUUAUUUAUUUUUGCAACUGUGAUCAGGCGUGGGUGUUGUUUUGUUUGAUGCAGACACAGCGUGCCAGCUUUCCCUUAUUUUUAAUCUCAAAAGUAAUCCUCAGCCCACGUUUUCUAGCUUCCUUCAGCUAGUUUUCCAGUCAUUGAUGUUAAGCUGCCAAGGAUCUGCUCAAGUCUGGCUAUGGCCGCUGAGGAUGCAUAGAAGCCAUUGGUUCCGGCUGCGCCACCAGCUGGCCACCGUGCCCGACUGCCAGAUUGUGUCGACUCUCCGGUGAUGACGUGGUACGUUCUUGGAGCGGCGCUGCCUAACGCUCCACCGCAGAGGGGGAAUAUCACGGCUGGUCUUGGACGGCCGCGUCGGCUCGGCGUGCCUGAGGAGGAGAAGAACGUCGACGACCGCCGCCUCGUCGUUCAUGGCCAGGUUGACCCAGCCGUCGUCGUCAGUAGCAGCAGCAGCCAUAGUGUCGUUUUUAUCUUUUGUUGGAGGAGGGCAGUUUGCUAGAGCCACUUGCCCUUGCGCUAGGGACAACUCGGGAGGAGCCAGGAUGCCGAUGACGUGGACACUGCCCUCCGGGAGGCUGAGGAGGACGCAGAAGAGCCCCGAUGGAGCUGCAAGUUCUGACGCUGGAACCCUUGCACAUGGCUUUGGCUGCUUCCCUGCACCACCAUCACGAAGGCUCAGGCCAAGGUCCAGACCCAGCUCAAGCUCUGCCUCAGCUGGGUAUGAGUUGAGUUAGAUGAGAGAAGCUUGACUUGCUUCAGUCCAACGACGACGAGGUUGUGGUUGUGAAUCGGUGUAUGGCAGUGAUGAUAAUGAUAAAAGUCAGAGACUUUUGGUGGAGAACCAUCUUCAAUUUGGGUUCGGAGGAAGCUGGGUGCUUAUCAGUCAUCAGAUUCGUCACCUUUCUCUGGUCUAGGUAUUGCUGCUUUUGCUCUCUGUGUUUAUUGGAGAGGGAUUUUAGUAGUGGCUUCGCUCUGCCUUCUCUUUCACAGAAGCAGAAAGAAAAAGGUGAAUGAAGCAGAAGAAGAAGCAGCCAUGGCUAUGUUUUUCUUUGUGUUUGUUUGGCUGGGUUUCAUCAGAGAAUUCAGCUGGUAUUGUUAAAGCGAAUUCGUGCUGAUAACGUGUUAUAAAUCAAUGAGAAAUUGGAGGGAGAGAAUUGAGAUAUCAAAGUAAAGAAACUGAUUUCAGAAUGUUUCUGUUCUCUCAUUUUUGAUCUGUGUGUCUGUGUGUUCUAAAUGUAUAUCUUGAGUAGGGAAGGGGGAAGCCUUUUAUAGGCAUUUGGGGGCAUUUUGGGGACUCCACAUUUACAACAGGUUAUACAUAUUUUUUUUCUUAAAAAACCACACUGGGCUGCAACCCACUGUAGCCCUUAAUGUGGUUCCGCCGCCCUUGCUCUUUGGGAAUCCAAAAUAUCAUUCUUGAAUCUAAUAGUCAAGUCCUUAUAUCCAGUUUAAACACCAGGCCUGAUGUCUAUGACUGGAGGAUCUUUCCUUUAUUGGACGAAAUUAGACGUCUUAGCUCUUCUUUCAACCAAUGCUCUUGGGGUUGGGUCUGUCGUGAAGCUAACGGUGCUGCGGAUGCGCCGCAAAGCUUGCCAAAUGGAGGCUGUGCUUUUGUAACUGGGUUGGUACCCCUCCACCCUCCUUGGUCUCGGUUCUGUCUCGCGAUGGGCUCCCUGGCCCCCCCGGUUUAGUCUUAUUUUUUUCUAGCUUUUUAGUUGUUUCUUUCUGCUGGCCUUCUCUGGCGCUUUCUGUUUUCUGGCUGCCUUUUUAUUUUGCUUUCUUGUUGCUACGUGCUUUGUUCUAUUGCUUGGCCUUUUUGGCUGCUUUUUUGUAAUGAAAGAUCUCUUUUUCAAAAAAAAAAAAAAAAAGCGAAUCUUUUCACUCAGGGUAAAAAAGAAAAGUUUAGAGAUUCAGCCCAUUGCAUUUUCAAAUCCUGGCUCUGUCACUACAACUGGGGAUGUAUUAUGUUUCUUGGUUAUAUUGUAGUUGGUUCAACCUCGCUAGAGUCUUGUUUAUCUUGCAAAUUCUAUAUAUACUAAAACCCAAUGCAACUAAACACUGUAGCUAAGCACAGUAAAAUUACGAAAAUGCCUUUAUUUAAAACUGUACAGCCAGCUUUUCCUCUCCUUUUGCACAGUAAAAUUGCCAUUUUGCCCUUGACUGAUUCUACUGUAUUUUUCCCAUUUUUCCCUCUCUUUCCUUGGGAUGUAACUAGCUAUUGUUUAGGGCUGAGAGGUGUCUGGUUGGAUUUCAACUAGCUGGUUGGAGAGCUACAGGGGUAAAAUGGGAGAGCUGUUGGUUCUUCACUGUUUAAAUAUGGAGGGUUCCACUGUUUUACAGAACCACCUUUUUUCCCAUCGAAUUGCUUGCCUUCUUCGUUUCCAUUCUUCUCAUCUUCCUCUGCUCUUCCAAAGUGCUCACUUUUCAGCUCCCUUGGGUUCUAUCAGGAAGGGGAUUAAAUCUUACAGAUUCGCUGAGGUAUUUCCAGCGUUGUUAUUCUUAAUUUUUUUGCUCAAUUGUCAAUUAAUUUUUCUACUCAAUUGUGAAUUAAUUUUUCUGACUUCUCUAUUCUCCCACCAAAGCAAUAUAUCACCACUGGUCUAAGAAAAACAUAGUGUAGUUUGUGAGAGAUGAUGCAAAGCCCAUUAAAUUGGUGACACAAACCAAACUUACAGCUAACAUUGGUGACAUAAACAGAUCAGUCAAAGCAUAAAAACCAAGUUUUUUCACAAAAACAAGAGUAGAGAAUUUAUUUCUGAAAACGAAAUCCAUCAAGCACACACCUCUAAUUUGAAGCCUCUUCCACUGUCACUGAUCAAAUGGGUUUUACGGACUAACCUCCUUAAACAAAGCACCGUGUGUUGAGCUAGAGACUAGUAUAGCUGGUGGACGCGAAGGGCUCUGCCCAAAGAAGAAAUUUCCUUAAAAUGGUAGACAACCAUGAAAUAGGCUAUUCCAGAUUUGGCCAGCAACCAUGCCUCAGCUCAACAAACCCAAUUAGAAAGAAAGAGAUUUUAUAGAGAGAAGUGAAGUGCAUGGGUCUCUCUGGUUAUGUGUGCCUCUGUGUGUGUGUGUGUGUGUGUGUGAGAGAGAGAGAGAGAGAGAGAGAGAGAGGCGUGUAAGAGACUUUUGAGUUUUGUUUUUGUGCACACAACAUAGAGUGAGCUGGAGAGAUGGGUCAAGAGGUGAUGAGUACGACAACAUUGUACUUUUCUUUUGUUGGGUCUAUCUAAGCAUUGUACUUUUGUUUUGUUGGGUCUAAAUCAUUAUACUAUUCUUUUUUAGUUGUGUUUGUGUCGUAGCCAAAAGUUACCUUAUUCUUCUCUCAUUAAAAUUCCAUAAAAUGCUUGAACAAAACCAAUCAGGUUUCAACAAAAUAGAAAUGGCAAUGAUUUUAUCUUAACCUCUAUUGGUUUUCUUUGGGGUUCUCAAGAAACAAUUCACUUGAUUUCUUGACUUGGUGGGCUUGAUUGAUUAUGAGUUUUGAGUCAAAUGUGCUCACUGUGCAUAUCUGUUUAACUAGGCUUGAUAUUAAUAUAUGCAUAUUGUUUGAUCGUUAUAGAAUUCAAUUAAUUCUUUGAUAUAAUAAUAGAUAUUUGUAAUUGUGAAGUUGUUUACACAAAACUAAAUUUAUGUUGGUGUUAAAAAUAUAAGCAGGAUUUCAUAUAGUGAUGAAAAUUUUGUCAUCUUUUUCUCAUCCUGUGAUAACCUAUAUUUCUCUAAAAAUGUGAUUCGAUCCAAAUGUAAUUCAAUUAUUUGUUUAUUUCACAGCUUGAAUACACCAAAAAGCAAGGGACUAGACAUUUGCAUUCUGCUGUCAUUUUCGAGGUAUAAAAACUCCUCUAAUUCAUUGUUUUUUUAAAUUGAGCAUUAUUAGUCAUGUUAGUCAAUUGAUUUUAAUUAUUUUGUAAGAUUUUAUAUUUUAUUUUCAUCGAUUAUGCUUGCAUACAAGUUAUUUAGAAGUAAUCUUUAUUUUGUUGAUUGAUACAAGUUGGAUAUGCUUUAUUGCUAAAAAUUUUCUCCUCUUUUAAAUAUUUUCCCUUUGAUGUUCUCAUUGAACAUUUUAUCUAAAUCAUUAAUCUGGUGAACUUGGUUGAUUAUAAAUUUUGAGUUCAAUGUCUCAAUUGUACAUAUGGAUUUAACAAGGCUUUAUAUUAAUAUAUAUAUAUAUAUAUUGUUGAAUCAUUAUGAACAAAAGUUGGUUGUCUGAUAAAAUAAUAGAUAUCUAGAAUUGUUAUGUUAUAUUUUAAUUUUUAUUCUUCUGUAGCUAUGUCUUUCUACAAAUAUAUUUUGAUCGAAUAAAAAUUAGUAUCGUUGCUUUGUAAUCAUGAUACAGUGAUAUAAAACAAUUUCGUACUAUGUACUUUCUUUAUAAUAUGUAUGCAUGUAUGUAGAUACACACACAUAUCCGAUCCAAAUAUAAUUCAAUCAUUUGUUUAUUUCACAGCUUGGAUACACCAAAAAGUAAGGGACUAGACAUUUGGAUUAUGCUAUCAUUUUCGAGGUAUAAAAACUCUUCCAAUUCAUUGUUUUCUAACAUUAACCAAUAUUAGUCAUCUUAAUCACUUGAUUUUAAUCAUUUUGUAAGAAUUUUUUUAUUUUAUUUUCAUCGAUUGUGCUUGCAUACAAGUUAUUUACAAGAAAUCUUUAUUUUGUUGAUUGAUACAAGUUGAAUAUGCUUUGAUGCUAAAAUUUUCCCCCUUUUUUAAAUAUUUUCCCCUUGAUGUUCUCAUUAAGCAUUUUAUUUAAAUUAUUAAUCUGGUGAGCUUGGUUGAUUAUAAAUUUUCAGUUAAAUGUCUCAACUAUACAUAUCGGUUUAACAAGGCUUUAUAUUAAUACAUAUAUACUGUUUAAUCAUUAUGAAACGAAGUUGGUUGUUUGAUAAAAUAACAGAGAUUUAAUUGAUGUAUAAAAUUAAAUACUUUUGCUUUAUCAAUUUAAUUAUUUGGAUUUGAACCUAUUAAUAAAAACUGUUCUUCUACUUAUGUAUUUUAGGUUGUUGCUAUCAUCUUACUUUUGCAUACGUGUUGCUACAAGUGCUUAACAAAUUCUCUCAUUACAGGUCAGUAUUUUCUAACUUUUCAAAAAAAACUGUGCAUAUCAUUUAUAACUAAUUGAUUAGCAAAUAUUAUAUCAUUUGAAGAUUUUCAUUUAUAUAAUUCUAUCAUCAUAUUUCUACAUUUAUUUUGCAUUCUUAGAAUUUAAAUGUUAUUAAUAAUGUGAAAUAUUACUUAUAUAUAUAUGUUUUUUUUUUAAAGAUAUCAAUCUGUUUUUGGGAAAUUGAAAUCUUCGUUGAUAAUGUCGAAGAGAACUAGAAAUACCAUGAGAAAACAAAUCAUGCAAGAACCUCAUAAUCUCAUCAUUUCAAAUGAUAUACAAGUCCCAAAUAAAAAUGUUUCUCAUAGUAAUGAUAAACAUCCAAGCGAGAAAAUUCCCAUCAAUAGUGAUCAAAACAUUUCUCAAGCUGAUAACAAAAGAUAAAAAUGUGUUGAAAGUACAUCAUCUAUCAAUGUGAAUACAGUUGAAACAGCAAUACAUGAAAUUGAAUUUCAUCGUUUUAAUCAAAUGAGUAAAGGUCAAGCGAUCUUUCAAAGAAAUAGGCAAGGUGGGUGUUUCCCUUUGCUUCAAAAUUUUCUACUAAACUUGAACUACAUUGUUCUAUUACUAAUAACCUACAUUUAUGUUUUCUAUUCUCUCCAUUCUACACCCCUAUAGGAAUAAUCCAAGAAUAUGCAGAUUUUGGAGAGAAGAAUCAUAAGUGCAUUUAUUGUGGUGCACUUUUUUGGUUACAAGAAUCCAUUAAACAAAGAUAAAAAAACAAUGAGCCUCUCUUUACUCUUUGUUGUCAACAAGGAAAAAUUAAACUUCAAAGUCCAAAACCAACACCCUGGUUUUUUAGAAAAUUUGCUUGAUCCUAAUAAAGGGAAAAAAAGUGUAUUAUUCAGAGAAAAUAUCAGGGUUUACAAUUCUAUGUUUGCAUUUACUUCAAUGGGAGCCAAAAUUGAUAAAUCAAGUAACAAUGGAUCAAGCCCUUAUGUUUUCAAAAUCAGUGGUCAAGUUCAUUAUUUAAUGGGUUCUUUACUGCCUCCUGAGGGUCAAUGUCCUAAAUUUGCCCAACUUUAUAUAUAUGAUACCCAUAAUGCGGUUAUGAAUGGGCUUGAUGCAGUUAAUUGUAAUAAAAAAAAUGAAAAGCUAGAUCAAAACAUUGUGGAAGGUUUAAUUCAAAUGUUUGAUCAAACAAAUGAAUUGGUUAAACUUUUUCGAACAAUUAGAGAUAAAUUUGAAAAAGGUUCUCUUCCUCCUCUAAAGAUCACAUUGUUAGGCAGGCAAUCCAAUGAUAGCAAACAAUAUGAACAACCAACAUGUGAUGAAAUUGGUGGUUUAAUAGUGGGAGAUAUAGGCCUUUUUUAUUUCAAAUAGAGAUAUUAUAAUAGAAUUUAAAAGUGGAGAGUUAAAACGUGUGACAAAAUUAAAUCCAAAAUACAUGUCUUUACAAUAUCCUCUUCUUUUUCCUUUUUGUGAAUAUGGAUAUACACCUGACUUAAAAUGGCAUUGUACAAGCCAUGAAUCUAAACGAAGAAGAAUUCCUAUGAGAGCUUUUAUAGCUUAUCAAAUCCAAGAAAGAGUGUUUCAAUUCGAUACAUUAUUAAAAGGUGGAAGAUUGUUCCAACAAUUUUUAGUAGACGCUUAUGCAACACUUGAAGAAGAUCGAUUAUAUUAUAUUAGGAAAAAUCAAAAAAAUUUAAGAAGUGAGGUUUAUAAAGGCAUUUAUGAUGCAAUUUCAAAGGGUGAUAAUGAUGCUAAUAACAUAGGUCAAAGAGUGAUAUUGCCUAGCUCAUAUACUGGAAGUGCUAGAUACAUGCUUAACAAUUAUCAAGAUGCUAUGGCAAUUUGUAGACAAUAUGGAAAUCCUGAUUUAUUUAUAACUUUCACCUGCAAUGUUAGAUGGCCCGAAAUUGUAAGAGAGUUUAAUACAAAACCUGGAUACAAACCAGAAGAUCGGCCUGAUAUAGUUUCAAGAUUAUUUAAAAUAAAACUUGAUGAUAUGAUCAAUUAUAUCAAAUCAGGAGAACCUUUUGGAGAAAUCGAAGCAGGUAAAUUUUAAAAACACACUAUUUAUACUACUCUCCAUUUUUAUCAUUUUAUUAAAUAAUGAAACUAACUAAGAAUUUUUUCCCUUUUUUCACCCAAUCAACACAGAUGUUUGUACUGUCGAAUUCCAAAAAAGAGGAUUGCCACAUGCUCACAUGUUGAUCUGGUUAAAACAAAAUUAUAAAUAUUAUUUAGCAGUUGAUAUAGAUUCUAUCAUUUCUGCUGAAUUACCAGACAAAACUGUAAAUUAUGAUCUUUAUGAUAUUGUGGCUCAAUUUAUGAUCCAGGGUCCAUGUGGACAAAUAAAUCCUCAUUCUCCAUGUAUGCGAGAAGAAAAAUGUUCUAAAUCUUUUCCCAAACAAUAUAAAAGCGAAACAAUUUUUGAAACAAAUGGUUACCCUGUAUACAAAUGCCGUGACGACCCAACAAAAUUUGUGAUAAAAAAUGGAAUACAAAUUGAUAAUAGUUUUGUAGUACCUUACAAUUCUAAAUUACUGCAUAGAUACAAUGCUCAUAUAAAUGUUGAAUCCUGUUGUCAAUCAAUGCUUAUAAAAUAUCUUUUCAAAUAUAUAAACAAAGGUUCAGAUAGAGCUAGAGUAGUUUUCCAAGAGAACCAACAAGAUGAAAUACUAUCCUAUCUAAAUUGUAGAUACAUAUCUCCAUAUGAAGCUGUUUGGAGAUUGUUUCAAUAUCCUAUUCAUUUUAGAAAACCCUCAGUUGAACGAUUACCAAUACAUUUACCUUUAGAACAAAAUAUUAUUUUCAAUGGUGAUCAAUCACUUCAAUCAAUUGUUAACCGAAAAAAUAUUGAAUAUACAAUGUUAACAAGUUGGUUUGAAGCUAAUAAAACUUUUCAUGAAGCACGAAGAUUAACGUAUGCAGAAUUCCCUUCAAAAUUUGUGUGGAAUUCUCGCACUAAGAUGUGGAAACCUAGAAAAAAAAAAAGGAUCCCUUGGUAGAAUAGCUUAUGUACAUCCUGCAUCUGGUGAAUUAUAUUAUUUAAGAAUGCUUUUGAAUUUGCAAAAAAGGGCUUUCCACUUUAAUGACCUAAAAACUGUUAAUGGUAUUAUAGAACCAUCAUACCAAGCUGCAUGUAAAUCCCUAGGUUUGUUAGGAGAUGAUAAAGAAUGGAUUGAAGCCUUAACAAAUGCUGUAAACACAGCCACAUGUCCUCAAUUAAGGCAAUUAUUUGUCACAAUCAUUUUAUUUUGUGAUGUAUGAAAUCCUCAAAUUCUUUUUGACACUUAUUGGCAAAAUAUGUCUGAGGACAUUUUACACAAAUUACGAUAAACUUUCGGAAUGCCAAAUCUAAUUGUAUCAGAAUCUGAAUUAAAAAAUUCUCUUUUAUUUGAAUUAGAACAGCUUUUCAAUGUAUCUUCCAGCUCUUCAAAGGAGCAUCACCUUUCUAUGCCUGAUGAAUAUAGAAUGUUGGAACUUAGAAAUAAAUUGCUUAGAGAAGAGUUAAAUUACGAUUAUAAUAAUUUAGAAAAAAAACACUCCAUUUUAGUUACAUAACUUAACAAAGGUCAAAAAGAUGUAUAUGAUUGUGUUAUAAAAACUGUUGAAGAAAAAAUGCCAGGCCUCUUUUUUGUCCACAGUCAUGGAGGAACAGGAAAAACUUUUUUGUGGCAUACUAUAAUAAGUAAAAUUCGAUCCCAAGGAAAUAUUGUUUUAGCUGUUGCUUCAUCAGGAAUAGCAUCAUUAUUAUUACCUGGUGGUAGAACAGCUCACUCUAGAUUUAAAAUUCCCUUAAUUGUUAACAAUUGCUCAACAUGUCAAAUAAAAAAAGGAACUCAUCUUGCCAAAUUAAUUGAAAAAGCCGCUUUAAUUGUUUGGGACGAAGCUCCUAUGAAUCACAAACAUUGUUUUGAAGCAUUAGAUAAAUCACUUUCUGAUAUUUUAUCACAUUUAAAUCCUUUAGAUAACAAUGUUCCAUUUGGUGGGAAACCUUUAUUGUUAGGUGGUGAUUUCAGACAAAUAUUACCAGUUAUUCCAAAAGGAACAAGAGAAGAAAUAAUAGAUGCCUCUCUCAAUAGCUCUUAUUUAUGGCCUUUUUUUAAAAAUAUUCCAUUUAAAAGAAAAUAUGAGACUCUCGAAAAAUGGAUUAAACACUGAAGAAAAACAAAAAAUAAAUGAUUUUGCUGCAUGGAUUUUGCGCAUCGGUAAUGGUCAAAUUGUUGAUAUAGAUGAUCCAAAUGAUAAAGAUGCAUCUUGGAUCAAAAUUCCUCAAGAUUUACUUAUACAUUCAUACACACAUCCUAUUCAUUCCAUUUUUUUUAGCAACAUACCCAAAUUUUGAAAGAAAUUUCAACAAUUUUACUUAUUUAAGAGAACGAGCUAUUGUAACACCUUGAAACACAACUGUAACUGAAAUAAAUAACUAUGCAAUUGAUUUAUUACCUGGACAAGAACGCAUUUAUUUAAGCUCAGAUUCUUUAUGCUCAUCAUCUGAAAAUUCUGAAAACCUUACUAUUUUAUAUCCUACAGAAUUUUUAAACAAACUUGAAUUCAAUGGUUUACCUUCAUACUAUUUAGCUUUAAAAAUAGGAAUGCCCAUCAUGCUAUUGAGAAACUUAAAUCAAUCUUCAGGUUUGUGUAAUGGAACACGAUUAGUUAUUACACAAUUGUAUGAUAAAAUUAUCGAAGCAAAAAUACUUGCUGGUAGUAACAUUGGUCACAAAGUUUUCAUACCUCGAAUAAGCCUUACAGCAACUGAAAACAAAUGGCCUUUCAUUUUUAAAAGGCGCCAAUUCCCAAUUAGACCAUGUUAUGCAAUGACAAUAAAUAAAAGUCAAGGCCAAUCAUUGAAACAAGUUGGACUAUAUCUUUCUCAACCUGUAUUCACUCAUGGACAACUUUAUGUUGCAUUAUCCAGGGUUACAUCAGGACAAGGUCUUAAAAUCCUAAUAGAAAAUAAUAAAGAAGUACCAAAUAAUUACACUAAAAACAUAGUGUAUAAAGAUGUUCUUCAAAAUUUAUAAUGAAGUUCCAAUUUUGAUGUAUCCAUAAUUAAAUAUUUGUAUAUUUUUUCUCAUGACUUUUAAUAAAUAUAUACAUGCAUUUUUAUGCUAACAAAAAAUAUAUUUUAUUUGCAGAUUUAAAGCACAAUGAGUUUCACUUAUAUCCGUGGUUUACAACCGUUCCAAUUUAAUAAGAAACUCAAAGAACGUAUCUGCAGAAUGUGGCUACCAAAACUUAUUGGAUCUAAUGAUCAAUUCGGCGGCCUUCAGUGUAUCCUGGUUGACCAAAAGGUAAGAAAAGCUCUUUUCUAUGUUAUUUCAAUUUAAUUUUAAUAACAUCACUUAAAGAAACCCUUUGUUUAAUAUCUGUUUCUAUUGAGCUCCCUUAGUUUUUGGUGGAUGUUGGCGUGUAAGUGUGUGUUCUUCCUGUUAUUGACACUGAACCCAUUUUUCUAGGAGGCCAUAACCAUAUAAAGUAGGUAUAAAUUCGGUCAAAAUGCUUCUGUAGAGAAUCUGAAUAAUGAACAAUAUUGCUGUAAACUGUAUUAUCUAUGGGCUUUGUUAGGUCUGGAUUCAUUAUAUAUGGUCUACUUAGUUUUUUAUUUUUUUAUUUUUGUUAAAUGAAUGUAUUAUCAUAUAUUUGUAUUUCCUUCCUUUUAAAUAUAAUUUCCCCUUAUUAAUUUUUCUCUUCCUCUUUUUUCAAUUAUGUAGACAUAUGCAAUACAAGCUAGCGUCAAAGAGAUCGACUAUGAUUUUGUAGCUCCAAAAAUUAAAGCUGGUUCCAUUUAUGAAAUAACACAUUUCCACACUGGUCGCAACAAACCAUCUCACAAAGUUGUACCACAUGUUGCACAAUUGUUCUUUACUGCGAGAACAACUUUCAAAGAACUACCAACCAUUCACCCACACAUUCCACGACAUCGAUUUUAUCUGGUAGAUUAUACUCAAUUGUCCACUCGCAUAGACAAAAUUGACAUCCUAACAGGUAAUACUCUAAAUAUUAUUAAAAACUAUGCAUAUAUAUACAAUAAGUAUUUAUCCAAAAAAUUUCCACAUUUUAAUAUCCAUAUGAUAUUUUUUUUAUCAUAUUGCAAGAUGUUUUUGGACACAUAACUGGAAUACAACCAUUGGAACAAAAAAUGGUGGGCAAUGAGAGGCUUGAGGAUAAAUGUGAAGUCUGCAUCGAAAAUAUCAGGUACAAAUAUUCAGAAAAUGUUUAUAAUUCAAAUUUUAAACUAUUAUAUCUCUUUCUAAAUAUUUUUUUCUCCACAUCUAAUCAUUCAGGAAAGAAAAUGUUAGAAUAACCCUGUGGGGAGAUACUGCAAAAACUUUUGAUUCCCAAGCUUUACAACAAUUGACAUCGCCAAUAUUUACAGCUUUUACAAGCCUAAAAGUUAAACAAUUUCAAGGUAUCCAAUUUAUUUUCACAUUUUCCUAUUAUUUAAACUUCAUUUCAAAUAAAAACAAAUCUAAUUUAUUAUUUAUCAAUAUGUAGGGAAAAUUGUUCUCAACAGUAGUGUCUCCACAUUAAUUUUUAUCAAUCCAGAUAUACAAGAAUUGGCGGCCUACAAAACGAUGUAUGAAUUUUUAUCAUUUUUGUUUUAACAUAUACCUUUGUUUCCCCAUUUUCCUAAAUUAACACCUCUUUUUUAUUAUACAAAAAUAACAAUAACCACAGCUUUAAUGACUCUACACAUGCCAUUAAAAUGAUGCCUUCUUCCGCCACUCAACUAAUGACACCUCAACAUUUAGAAGCUGCUAAAAAGCUAUCUAUCCAAGAGUGAAAUGUUCUUGAUCCAGAGACAGAUAAGGUAAAUACACUAACUUCUUUCUUUAAUCUCUUUAUUAUUCAUAUUUUAACAUACAAUUUCACAAAUUAUUUAAACUAAAUUUCACUUUAUUCUUCUCUUAUCACUAUAUAUUUUAUAAUUGUUUUUGCUAUAUUAAUAUAUAUUUUUUAAAUAUGUUUUAGGACACUCCCAUUUUAUGCAGAGCAGCUAUUACGCGUUUUGACACACGUAACGGUUGGUGGUAUAAAGCAUGUUCAUCUUGCUUUAAACAACUUAGAACUGCUGCACACCAUGAUGAACUUUUGUGCCCAAAACACAAUAAUCAAAUUCCUCUCCCUUGGUAAUACAAAUGUCAACAAUUUGUUUCAUUUUAUUUUUCCAUAAAAUUUAAACACAAUUAUUUUAAAUUAUUAAAAUAUUACAUAAAUUUUACAUACAGGUUCAAAGUUAGCUUNNNNNNNNNNNNNNNNNNNNNNNNNNNNNNNNNNNNNNNNNNNNNNNNNNNNNNNNNNNNNNNNNNNNNNNNNNNNNNNNNNNNNNNNNNNNNNNNNNNNCAAACAAGGGGACAAGUUAAAAUUUUUCAACUUCGAUUUGGGAGCAUGAGAAGUGAUUUCAACAGAAAUGAUCUACUCAUUCAAGCAAUCUUCGAUGACACAAUGCCACUUCUUGAACCAACAUCGCAAUCAUCUGACAAAAGUUUGGCUGCACAUGAUACAGAAAACAGUGGUACCCAAAUGGUUCCACCCAUUACCCCACUUCUCUCAAAGCAAAUUCCAAGUGCAUCUUCCACAAGCUCAGCUGAUGCUUCUAUAACAGAAGCUACCCCAAUUUCAAAAAAAAGAUACAGAGACGCUAUUAAAAGAGCUCUCUUUACCUUUCGUCCAUCAAAAAAACCAAAAAGGUUAGAAUUUAUAUAAUAAUUAACUCCUUUAUAUCAAUAUUUACGCAUAUUCUAACAUUUACCAAUAUAUUUCUUUCUUUUCCAUUUAGCAUUUCUUUAAGUCAUGUUCAAACCGAAAACGAAUCUGAAAAAAUGGUUGCAACAAAAAGCAUGGAGGAAACUGUAUCAGAUUCUGAUUUACCAAUCAUUGGCUUAAAGAAGAAAUCAAGCAUGGAGAGUUUGGCAACCAGUACUCCUACCCCGAAAUUAGAGUUUGUAUUCUCUAAUUCACUCAUCUCAUUUAAAUACAUAUUACAUGCAUAAUAUUCAAUUAUUCAUACCUUCUGUCAUAUUCUGAUUGAUGCUUUGUUUUAAUAUAUUAUAAGAUUAUCUCUACUUAUUAUAUAGGUCUAAAAACCAUUUAACCACUAUUGAAUUAAUUAUAAAUGAAAUUUUUGCAUGCUGAAUGUUCGGAAAUACAAUUAAAUUGUCAUAUUUACAGGUGAAUUUUUUUGGGAAAUGUCCGCUUUUCAGAGGAGGUUCUGCCCGUUUUUCAACAGAAAUGUCAAGUCCUUAAGUAAUUUUAACUCCAAAUAAGGGCAAAAGAGUCAUAUGUUCCUAAUACAUAAGAGAAUUAAAAGCCUAAACAUUAUAUUUACAUCAUUUUUUUCAAUUUUUCUUCAAUAUAUCCAACCAUGAUUAUUUUACCUCUCUUCAACUUUUCCUUUAGAUAAACACAGAAUUUAAAAUACGUUUACUUUGUGUUACUUCAAUUGAAAAACCAUCUACAGCUUGCUCAUUAGUUCUCUUAAUUUUGUUACUUUGUGUUUCCUAGAUUGGAAAACCAUUUAUAACUUUCUUAUUAAAUUGUUAAAUUAUAUUAUUCCUGUUUAUACAUAAUUAGAUGUUUAUGAUUAUUGUCCUAACUCAAUUUUCCCCAUUCAUCAACAUUAACAUUUACUAUUUUCCCACUUUUUUAUAACAGGGUCAAGACCUCCAUCAAAGAGAAGAAAAAUCAUGAAGAAAUUGCAAAACAAAACUCGCCCAAUUAAACAGCAUGCUGCUCAAAACUAUCCAAAUUUUGCUAUUUUGAUGGCCACUUCCCACUAUUAACAUCUCAAUGUAUAUACAAACAAGUCUACUAUUUUAACAUAACAAGUAGCCUGUAAAAUAUGUUAUUACUUCCUUUUUUGCAACUUAUACUCCCUUAGUUAAACAUAAUGCUACAAGUUAAAUCUCAUUGUAUAUAUAAACAAUCUUACUUAGUCUACGUAAUUUCAAAACCCGCAGCAUCGCGCGGGCUUUUCUGCUAGUUAGUUCUAGAUGACAAUUUUUUUAAGUACAAUCUACAUAACAGAAGAUAUUUCCCAGGAACUGUUUUUAGAAGAAAACAAAAAUUUAACAGUUGUGGAAACUUAAAUAUUCUCAAAAAGACUGGGCUGUGGAAGCUCAAAUACUGUUUGGUGGUUUAUGCUAUAAAUAUGACCUCUUUUAAUUCGUGGAAUAUUAUGCCAGUAUUUAAUUUCCCAUUCAUUGGUUCUUCAUCUUUGUUGGAAGUUGGAGUCAGUAAUCAAUUGUACAAGUAUAUUUGAUCGGAUUUACUUUUUGAAUUUUUAAACUAUGAUCCACAUCCACCAUUACUUGCUUAUAACUUAUUGAUUUUUCCUUGUUUUUAAACUCUUUCAAUUCUUUUUAUAAUUGUAUGCUUUUGUUUUGUACUUUUUCCUAUUUACUUUUAUUUUACAGUUUAUUACAACCGAUUACAAAUGCAAAAGCAAACAGUGGAACUAAUUCCAUUCCAUCCUAUUUCCCAACCAAACUAUGUACUAGAUUCUAUUCUUUGUUUAAUUCCAUUUCAUUGCCUUCCUACUCCCAUUGUCAAUCCCUUAAGGCCUGUUUGGUGGGCGGGCUUCGACUUGGGCUUCUCUCCCUCAGCCUCCAUUGCUUUCCUCUCUAGUUUGAGCGAGCUUCUCUUUUCUGAAUGUCUCUCUUAUUUCUCCACCAUGGUUUCAACGCCCCUCUGUGUCUGCUGUGAUGUAGCUUCUUUUUCUCCAUUUUCUUAUCCAUUUGAGUUUUAUUUUUCUCCAUUUCCGUGUUUGAUUCUAACAUUUGAACUCCGUUGAUUUGGCUGCUUCUCGGUUUACUUUCUAAAACUUUUUUCUGAAUCUAACUCGUUGGUUGAUGUGGGCAUUUCUGUUUGAUUUUUAAGUAUUGGGAUUUCCAUAUUUGAUUCUAUUAAGUUUUCACAAUUCAAAAACCGCACAAGACCACUGUGUUUUCUUAUUCUCGCUUUCUUCAGUUCUCUGUUCUUUUUUUUCUCUUCUGAUCUGAAAUUUUCUUCCUUUUUGACGGUGAAUUUGUCAAUAUAAUUAGUCACAAAUAUUGGGUUUCGUUGAAGUUUCUGUUUUGGGUUGUUUUUUCUCUUAUUGGGUAUGCACUGGAAGGUUUGGACAAUUGGGCCUUCUGGGCGAGUUUGAUUGUAUAGGCUGAGGCUGAGUCUUGUGCAUUUGAGGCUCUUUUCAAGUCUUGUGCAAUUGGGUCUUUUGCUUUUAUAAUAUGCAUCAAUUGUGUUUGUAUAUCACCUUCUGUGUACCAAUUAAGCUGUUUUUUAAUUGCCUAUAGUGAACCAGUGCUGUAUAGAUUUAAUUUUGGGAAGGAAUUGUAUGCAUCUGAUUGUUGGGAAUGUGCUGGUAGCUCCAUUGAGUUCAUUCAGAUCAUUGCUGAUUUCUAUUAUCUAGCCUUAGUGAUAUGAAUGUCCAUGCUUCAUCUGAGUUACCUGAUAAAAUUCUAUCCAACAUGUUAAUAGACUUGCUAAUUUUUAUUAUCCAGCCUUGGUUUACUUUAUUGGCCUGCUGAGUCACUAAUGUUGCAGUAACCAUAUAUGAGUUGCCAUUUCCUUUGGGUCAUAGGUAUUAAACCUUUCACUCUUAACUUAAUUUGUUGUCGUGAAUCAUGAUCGCCAUCUUUAAACAUUCAUCAUUCAUGCUUCUUUAUUUGUAUUAUUUUUGAAAAAGUUGUGUUCUUUGAUGCAAUACAGCAACAUAUGAAUGAAUAAUCUCUGGCCUUUUUUUUUUUUUUGUAACUUUCAUAUUGGGGUCUGCCAAUAGCUCAAUCAACUCUUAUGCAAACUCCAGAAUGCUAAUAUGAGGAAAUGAAAAUAUGAAGAUCCACUACUACAAUUUAGUUAAACCACGACUCAAAAUAGAUGACGGUUCACUUCGUUGUGUUUCAAAAGACAACGAUUUUACAAAACCGUCUUAAUAUAUCAUCUUAUACAACCCUAAAAUGGGUUGAUUUUUAAAACAUGGCGCGUCGUCUUUUAAAACACGCUAAACAAAAGAAGCCGCUUAAGUGAAUUCGCCCUCGACGUAAAAUUUAGAUUUCCCUGUGUCUAUGUGAAAACCUUAUCUCUCCCUCCAUAAACCUCCUGAGUCAUCUCUCUCCUUCCUUGAAACCCUCUCUGAAACACUCCCUCUCUCACCUUUCUACUCCUCAUACAUACCUACCAGCCAUCGACGCUAUUGACGCCAUGGACGCCGCGAUGCCAUCGACGCAGCGACGCCAUCGUCUUCUUCGCAUCAGUCAUCACUAGCCACCAUCGACGCCAUCUUCAUCCCAGACUUCGUCGACACUCGCAAACUGACGCCGUGAGGUUGACACCACCACCAAGAAGACAUACAACCUCUUCGACAGAAAAGAAAUCAGAGAGACAGAGGCGAAGAGGUGACGGUCAUCGUCUAUCUCUCGAUGGCUCUCUCUUGCCAUAGCUCUCUUUCUUAUUGUCUCUCUCUCUAGCUCGCUCGAUCUCUCUUGCUGGCUGGCUCCAUGAGAGCCUCCCUCCUCCAUUCCACAGGUAACAACUCUCCUUCUCUUAGGAUUAUUUUCUAUAAUUUUUGAAGAAUCAAUUUCUAUAUCCCUAAUAUGAUUUAGGGUUAAAAUAUUUGGGUGUUUAAUUGUAAAUUAUUUGGGUAAAUUGUUAUAUUUUUGUAAAUAUUUUCGAUUUAUAUAGAAAUUAAGGCAACUUCUCGGAUUUUUUUUAAAUUUUUAAAUUUUAUGUUUUAGGGAUUUAUAUAUGUGCGAAUCAGAAAGGUGAGAAUCUACAAAAAUAAAACUUCUAUCGUUAUGCUCUUCAAAAUUUUGCUUGACUUAUAUAUGUCCCAUGAUCUUAGUCCUCUAUUUAUGAAUUUGGUAUCCAUAAAAGGCCUUAUCUCCUCAAAGCUGAAAGACUUUAUGUUAGAAUUCACAGACUAUGAUCUGUUUUCAGGUUUUGGAUUAUUGGUAGAUGGAGCUCAUGUAGGAAGAGAAAACACAGAGAGAAAACUUGGAGAAGAAGAAGAUGAAAAAUGAGUCUGUUAUCUCUUACUUAGUCAUGCACAAGCUGUGCAGUGCAAAUAUAUCCGUUAGGAAUAGAAUAUUCCUCUUACAUCAUCCAAUCUAACCAUUGAUUAAACUAUCCUAUGAGAUAGCUACACUUGGCACAAUUCUACUAAAACUAAGAAUACAUCUCAGCUGUCCAUUGGACUGUGAUCCAAUGGUUCACAAUUAAACAAUACACACUCAGCUAAAAACACUUAUACUUUAACACUCCCUUCUAAGUGUUUAGUUGAGAUGACUCCAAGCUUGCCCCUUAGAUAUUCAAACCGAUCCCUUGCCAAUGCCUUAGUAAAAAUAUCUGCAUUCUGCUCUCCAGUUCUGCAGUAUAGCAGAUCAAUCUCACCAUUCUGCAAAGCAUCACGAAUGAAAUGAAAUCUUCUACUUAUAUGUCUUGUCCUGUGAUGAUGCACAGGAUUCUUUGUUAUUGCAAUUGCUGAAGUAUUGUCACAUAGGAUUGGAGUAGCCUCAACUUGUUCCUCACCAAAAUCAGAUAGAACAAAUCUUAACCAGACAGCAUGAGCUGUAGCUUCAGCUGCACUAACAUAUUCUGCCUCUGCAGUAGAUAGUGCUACACUGCUCUGCUUAACUGAUGCCCAAGAGAAAACACCUGAUCCAAGAUGAAAAGCAUAGCCAGAAGUGCUCCUCAUAUCAUCUUCACAACCUGACCAAGCACUGUCACAAUAUCCAACCAGCGUUGCCUCUUUUCCUUUCUCAUAUAAUAUGCCAUAGUCUAGAGUACCUUGAAUGUAUCUAAGUACUCUCUUGGCAGUUCCCAUGUGUUUCUUUGUAGGUCCAUGCAUAUAUCUAGCCAGAAGACUUGCAGCAAACAUGACAUCUGGCCUUGUUGCUGUCAGAUAUAGCAAGCUUCCAACUAUCUGUCUGUACACCUUUUCAUCAGCCUGUUCACUUCCAUCCUCCUUGGAUAAUUUCUCAUUCAUAGCUAGUGGAGUUGACACUGCUUUACAGUCUUUGAAACCAAACUUGUCCAACAAUGUUCUUGCAUAUUUUUUCUGAUGCAAGAAGAUGUAGGACUCAGCUUGUAUCACACCCAAUCCCAGAAAAUGGUGCAACAAUCCCAGAUCAGUCAUUUCAUAUCUUUUCAUCAUUUCAGUUUUAAAGUUCAUUACCAAUUCUUCAGAACUUCCUGUGUAGAUGAUAUCAUCUACAUAUAGUGAAACAAUUAGGAUUCCACUUUCUGCAGCUUUCACAUAUAAUGUAGCCUCACUAGGACUCCUCUGAAAUCCUGCAGCUGUAAAAUAUGAAUUAAUUUCUUCAUACCAAGCUCUUGGAGCUUGUUUAAGGCCAUAAAGAGCCUUCUUGAGUCUAUAAACUCUGUCUUCCUUGCCUUGAACCACAAAUCCUGGAGGUUGAUCCACAUACACCUCCUCUUGUAGCACUCCAUUUAAGAAGGCUGACUUUACAUCAAGCUGAAACAGCUUCCACCUUUUCUGAGCAGCCAGAGCUAUCAGUGUUCUAACUGUGUCAAGCCGAGCAACAGGUGCAAAUGUCUCAUUGAAAUCAAUUCCUGGCUUUUGAGUGUAGCCUUUAGCUACUAGCCUUGCUUUGUUUUUCUGAACAGAUCCAUCCAGAUUUAGCUUGACUUUAAAGAUCCAUUUGACUCCAACUAUAGGUUUAUCAGAUGGUCUUUUUACCAAAUCCCAAGUUUCAUUCUUCUCAAUCAUCUCAAGUUCAGCUUCCAUUGCCUUUUGCCAUGCUGCAUCCUUGACAGCUUCUUCAAAGGUUUCUGGUUCAAUGAUACAGAUGUUGCAUCUUUCAUAGAUCUCUGUAAGACUUUUGUAUCUCAAUGGAGUGUGGUCAAUAUCUUGUGUACCUGUGUCAACCACAGAUCUUUCUUCAUUGUCUUCUGUUAGCAACUCAUUCUCAACUGAAUGUUCUGCUUGUUUCACAACUGUGUCAUUGCUCCCUUUCUCCUUUUCAGACACAACUUCAGUAAAUGGCACUGAAACACUGCAUUCUUUCUGUGCAUUCCAAUCCCAGCUAGCUUCUUCAUUAAAUACCACAUCCCUUGAGAUAAUCACCUUUUCAGUGGCAAUGUUAUACAGUCUAUACCCUUUCUCACAGCUGCCAUAUCCUAGAAACACACAUCUGUUGCUUGCUGAAUCCAGUUUCUGCCUCUGUGGAUUUGGAACAUGUGCAUAGCACAAGAUCCAAAUACUCUUAAGUGUUUAAGUCCUGGGCUUUCUCCCACUAUNNNNNNNNNNNNNNNNNNNNNNNNNNNNNNNNNNNNNNNNNNNNNNNNNNNNNNNNNNNNNNNNNNNNNNNNNNNNNNNNNNNNNNNNNNNNNNNNNNNNGCCCAAAACUCAAGUGGCAUGCCCUUCCCAAUCAUCAUACAACUUGGCCCAUCUCCCACUAUGGUUCUGUUUUUCCCUCUCAGCCCACACCCAUUCUGCUGUGGUGAGUAUGCCACUGUAAAGCUGCCCUCUCCCAUUCCCAUUUCAUCACAGAAUUAUUGAACUCAUUUAGAGGUGUACUCUCCCUCCCCUAUCACUUCUUAGUUUCUUCACCUUAUAUCCACUUUGCAAUUCAACAGUGGCUCUAAACCUCUUAAACACUGUGAAUACCUCAGAUUUGCAUCUCAAAGAAAUAGAUCCAGCACAUUCUUGUACAGUCAUCUAUAAAGGUAAGGAAAUACCUGUUUCCUGCUUUGGUAACAGUUUGCAUUGGACCACACACAUCAGUGUGUACCAAUUCCAGUGGAGAUGUAGCUCUGCUGGUUGCUUCUUUUGGAAAUGCCUUCCUGCAGUGUUUUCCAAAAGUGCAGCCUUCACACACUGCAUUUGUAUUUUUUAUUUCUGGCAGACCAAACACCAUGUCUUCAUUCUGCAGCAGUUUCAAACUCUGCAAGUUUAAGUGCCCCAUUCUCCUAUGCCAAAGCAAUGUUGAUUGGCUAAUGCUUGCAGUUAGAGCAACAUGCAAGUCUGUUUGAAGUUUCAAAGGAAAACUUCUAUUUCCUUUCAUAUGCACUCUAGCCACCAGAUUUGAGAGAGAGCUAUCAUCAUAGACUUCUGCCUUGUUAUCUCCAAAGAUAAGAAAAUAUCCAUGCUCCAUCAUUUGUCCAACACUGAGUAGGUUCUCUUUGAGACCAGAUACCAGCAGCACCUCCUUGAUAUAUUUCCUUCCCAUUUUAGUUUCAACCAUCAAGCUUCCUUUUCCAAUGACAUCAACCAACUGUCCUGUCCCCAUUGCAACUUUAGCAGUUACAUUCCUAUCAAUAUCAAUCAAAACAUCUUCUCUGCCAGUCAUGUGGUUACUACACCCACUGUCCAAGUACCAUACCUCUUCCAUGGACCUUUUCUCAGUUGCAUUGUUAGCAUAGAACAUGGUUGGUGUAGAGAUAACCUGAGUAGCAAACUGAAGCUGCUGCUGCUCCACAGGUUUCUUGCUAUAGCAGUCUUUGGCAAUGUGACCAAGCUUGUCACAGUUAUAGCACUUCGGUUUGCCCUUGAAUCUACAUUCUCCAUAAUGCAAUUUCCCACAAUGUUUGCAAGGAGUUUUAGUUCCAUCAAUAGAUUUAUUAUCCCACUUCUUCCCCUUGUCUUUCCAAUUCUUCUGCUGCUUGGAAUUCUGAUUUCCAGUGGCCUUAGCUGAUUUGGUAUCUACACUCAAGCUAGCAAAGGCCUUCUCAGUCUUGUUCUCAUGAUGUCUUUCCAAUCUUUGAGCAAAGCUCUUCAAUGAGGCUACCACCUCUUGAACCUCAAUUACAUCUAGAUCCCUUGAAUGUUCAAUUACAGAACAGAUUGGAUCAUACACAGGCAGCAGACUAAUUAACAUUUUCUGCACAACUCUUUCUCUAGAUAACUCUUCUCCAUAACCUCUCAUUUGAUUUAUCAGAUCAAACAACUUAGUAAGAUAAGCAGAUAGAGAUUCAUCCUCUCUCAUUCUAGUAUAUUCAAAUUCUCUACGAAGACUCUGUAAUUUUACACUCCUUACCUGCUUAUCACCAUGAAAUUCCUGCUUCAGAAUGUUCCAAGCUCCAUGAGAUGAUUCUUCAUGAGAAAUCCUAGGGAAGAUCCCUUCAGAUACAGCUCCUUGAAUCAACCCCAAGGCCUUAGCAUCUUUCAUCAGGAUCUCAGCUAGAGCCAUCUUCCCAGCACCACUCAAUUCCUCUUUUUCCUUCUGCUUUGCAUCAGAUUCAUCAUCUCCCUUCGAAUCUGAGCUUCCUAUUCCUUUCUCAACCAAUUCCCAAAGCCCAUGAGAUUUGAAAAUGGUUUUCAUCCUUAUGCUCCAGAACUCAUAGUUCUCACCAUUGAAGAUCGGAGCUCGCAGCUCACCACCUCCAGAUCCUGCCAUGUUAGACACAGAUCUCCAAGAAAUCGCAGCUCACUUCCUUCACAGAUUCAAACGCCCAGCUAAAUAACCAACCAGGCAGCUGAUACCAUGUUAGAAUUCACAGACUAUGAUCUGUUUUCAGGUUUUGGAUUAUUGGUAGAUGGAGCUCAUGUAGGAAGAGAAAACACAGAGAGAAAACUUGGAGAAGAAGAAGAUGAAAAAUGAGUCUGUUAUCUCUUACUUAGUCAUGCACAAGCUGUGCAGUGCAAAUAUAUCCGUUAGGAAUAGAAUAUUCCUCUUACAUCAUCCAAUCUAACCAUUGAUUAAACUAUCCUAUGAGAUAGCUACACUUGGCACAAUUCUACUAAAACUAAGAAUACAUCUCAGUUGUCCAUUGGACUGUGAUCCAAUGGUUCACAAUUAAACAAUACACACUCAGCUAAAAACACUUAUACUUUAACACUUUAACCAUGGCACCCUCCCUCUUCUCUCUACUGCCCCUUUGCCCCUGCAUUGGUAUUCUCCAAAUUCCACAGUCCUGUAAAUCCAUAGUUUUUUGAGCUUCAAUACUGUUCAUUUUCAUUUGUACUUAAUUGCUAUGUGACGUCGUUGAAAUGGGUUUAUCCACCAUUGUCUCUGCAUAAAGUUAUUAAGUUUGUUUAGAUUAUUAAGAAUUCAUAUUUUUCUUGUUAUAUUUCUUUAGCCUGCUGGAUUGACAUCUGUUAUAUUGAUAGUUUGCACUGAACUGCUUCGUGGUGCAAAGGACAAGAGGCUCCGGGUUAAGGGACCCAUGAGAAUGCCAACCAAGGUUCUGCACAUUACCACCAGGGAGUCCCCUUGUGGUGAAAGUAUGUUUCACUAUGAAAUGUUCUUGUUGUUAACUUAUGGCUUGAUGCUUUAUGGGCAAGGCAAGGCUGAUGGCUUUUAUGGCCAUUUACUCAAAGUUGGGAUCUCUUGUUUGUGCCAAGUUACAUAAGUAAAAUUUGUUGCUGACUGUGGCCUAUUCAUGACUGACCAGUUAUUGAAGUACAGCGUCUUUGCAUUUGCAUUUUAAAGGGUUAUGUAUCUUUAAAAUUUUGUUUGUGAUUUUAAGGGACCAACACAUGGGACAGAGUUGAGUUGCGUGUCCACAAAAUGGUGAUUGACCUUUUCAAUUCUCCUGAUGUCGUCAAGCAAAUUACUUCCAUCACAAUUGAACCUAGUGUGGAACUGGAGGUUACAAACGCAUACUCUUAAACUGGACGUGUUUUCAGUGUAGCCGUCUUACUUAAAAAUGAGCUUGUUUGUUGUGUUCUAAUUUUGAAUUUAAAGACUUGGUAGUGUUGUUUACAAUUUUCUUGAUCUACCAAAUAUUAAGUCUACACUUCCUUGAAUGUGACUUUGGUAGAAAUAGUGUGAGCCAGUCUCAUCCAAGAGUGUAUCGUGUGUCCCCAACACUACAAGAAAAAAGUUUAUUCGUGGCUAGCAAGUUGGUCACAAAAAGUACCGAUUUUGGUUUUUGAAUAUAGUUAGUGUCCAAAUAGUGGUGGUCACUGGGUGGUCACUAGAAGCUCGUCACAAAUUCUAUUUAGGGCCAACAUCCAAAUAUUGGUCACUCAAACGCAAACGAUUAGUGACUACCUCUAUUAGUCACUAAUGAAAAUGCUAUUAGUCACCGCAAAUUUCAUCACUAAAGGCUUAUAAUUUAGUCACUAAAACACGCAUUCCAUAUCCUCGAGGUACUGCAACCAUUGAGUUCUUGCAUACCAAUUACUUACUGAAUACUGUAAUUUACAUAAUUUCAAUUUUAAUCUUUUCUGAAAAGUUGAACUUUAUUUUUGUUAAAGCUUAUAACUUCUAUCUGCUUGGUUGUGAGAAUCUGAAAGGUGAGUGAAGUUUGCAUUUCUCCAAUUCUAUGGUUGUAUUGUGUUUCUCUCAUUUAGUGUUGGAUAAUAUGCUGUUGUUGGACAAAAGAUCAAGCACUUGAUCUUUUACCCAUAACCCCUCUUGUUUCUUGUAAUUUUUUUUUUUUUUACAGGCUUGUCCUUAAUUUAUUUCUUUGUACAUAAAACAUGUGAGUGUCUCUGCCUUGAGUUUGAAUAUCCAAUCUUUUGUUUUGUGUAGUCAUGGGAAAUAGGCCAUGUGUGUGUUUACUUGAUUAGUGGCUUAGAGACAAUAGAGUGACUUCUAUAAUUAUAUGGAUUGUAUAUCUCACUAUUACAUUAUUUUGGCUUGUUAAGCAGUUUCCUACGCCAUGGAAGUGGUUCUAAAGAAGCUACUGCUAGCGUGGGGGAAGUAGUGUUGGUUCAACCUACGGUUAAAUGCAGGGGAAAAGUGGUGAUGAUGAAGGUAUAGCUCUGUAUACAUAUGGAGAACUUGACUUGAAAGAUAAUUAGGUAUAGGAAUUUUGGUGUAUUCUUGUAAUUAGGCUUGCAGCUUGCAGAUAGCGGCCCUAGAGUACUUUCAUUGUUUAGAUUUUAUUUUGUUCUAUUAUACUCUUGAUAUUCUAUUUAUGAAAGAAACAAUUUUUGAGUACAUAUGUGUGGCGUGGGUAAUAGCAUAUUUGAGUAUAUAUUUAUGAUACCAUUGGAAACAAGAACAAAAAAAAAAAAAAAAAGAAGCUAAAAUGUAAAAUUACUACGUCAAUUUUAUAGUUAAUAAACGACGGUUUUGUGAAAAAACCGUCGUCUUAGAGUUAAUAGACGACAGUAUUUCAAGAAAUCAUCGUCUUCACAAUUAAUAGACAACGGUUUUUUGACAACCCGGCGUUUUUUGAUAUAAUAAACGACAGUUCUUUCAAAAAAACCGUCAUCUUUACAUCUAAUAGACGAUAGUUCUUUCAAAAAAAAUGGUCGUCUUUACAUCUAAUAGACGAUGAUUUUGAGUAAAAGCGUUGUCUUUACAAAUAAUAGACAACGGGGUUUUACCGUCAUGGUUUUAUGCAUCAAAAGAUGUCGGUCGAUUUCACGACGGCUGAAAAACGGAAUACACGAUGGUGGAUUACUGUUGUCUAUUGUGAUUUUUGUAGUAGUGUAGAAUGAUAUACAAAGGUGCCAAAAAUUUAAAUCUUGAAACUGUUGGUGUGUAACAACAAACAAGGACCACAAAGUUGAUCCACUUUUUUCAACCCAAGAAAAAACACAAAAAAACUAAACUAAAGCACCAAAAGUCAUACGUUUGAUCACAGGACAAGAGUAAAGUUGAGUUUAGUUUCUAAAUGAGCUUAUGCUAUCACAGUUGAAUCAGUUAGAUGACUUAGAGAUAUAAGUUAGUAGUUGUCAUUAGUUAGAGAUGUGGUGGGAAGAGUGAAAUGGAUCCUGUAUAAAUAAGAGCACCAUUGCGACUCCACAAGAAUAAAAGACAAUGAAAAUACAAUUCCCAGUGCUAAGCACAUAAGCGUUGAAUUAUUCAAUGGGCAACUAAAAUCGCAAAAAACCAUUUCCAAUAUGUAAUGAAAGUGAUAGAAAUUGAAGGAUAAGCUUAAGAAACAAUAACAAAAUCAAUGGGCUAGGAAACCCAAAAGGAGAAGGAGAAGGAGAGAGAGAGAGAGAGAGAGAGAGAGAGAGAGAGAGAGAGAGAGAGAGAGAGAGAGACGGGAAAGCCAGGAGGUGGUGGAAUCUGCAGCAGACUUGCUAGAGUAAAUGGCCGAUAUCACAUACAAAGACGAGAAGAUAAUCCCAAUUAUUACAGUGGUGCAGAGUCGGCCCAUGACAUGUGCAGGAUGUGCGACCGCAUAGGCCCCUAAAAUUUAGGGGCCUCCAAAUAUUUUUAAAAGCCCAAAAUUAUAUUAUAUUUGUGGGUAUGUGUAGUGUUUUUUGUAUGUAAAAGAAAAUUGAAUGGAUGUGAGUAUGUGAAAAUAGACGAAGGAUGAUCUUGAUUCUAUUUGUGGGUUCUAAUGUAAUUGAUGCCACAUAUUUCGAUUUAAUUUAUGAUUUAUGAAUUUUAAAAUUUGAAAAAUUGUUGUUUUACUUGUAUAUAUAGGACCUCAUCAGCUUUCUUCGCACAGAGCCUCUAUAUCUAAUGGACCAGCUCUGCAGUGGUGUAUAUAGUCACGAACACUGGCUUCGCAUUGUCAAACGCAUUCCUCCACCCCAUUGUUUCGCUUUUGGGAUUGUUUGGUUGUUUGAUUAUCCAUCCCACGCCAUUAACAUAAUCUUCUUUCUUCUUUCUUCCGGGGAAGAAGAAGAAAGAAAACUCUAAAUCCAAAUGGAACCAAUCUGAAUAUGAGAGGUUUAUUUCACUUGUUUCUCAAUCAGCUCUGAGGCUCCCAACUGCUAAAGGUCAACUCGAGGUUGAGCCUCCAUGUUUGUCUCCUCCUUUAUUUCUCUCAUUCUUUACUCUCUUUGCCUAAUUUUUUUUUACCAAUAAGAGAAAGUUAUGUUAUUUCCUUAUGAGAAUGGAAGAUUCUGACAUAAUUGAUUGAACAGUUGAUUAUGAAAUAAUUGACUAAUUAAAACGUUGAUUAUUCUAUCUUGUAUUUGGUAGGUGAAUAUACUCGUCCUUCAAAUUUUAUUUCAUUAUUUAACAUUUACUAUUUUGCCCUCAUAUAUUGAAGAAUCAUAUCUUUUAGUACAUUUAUUUUUCAAGGGCAUUAAGGAACUUUCAAAUAUAUUUUGUCUUAUUGGUAAGAAGAUAAUAAAAGCAACUGAUGAAAAAAAAAAAUAAAUGAUAGAUUAUGGAUCAUAAAACCCAUAAAUAUAUUUUUUCUGUUAGGUACGUACCUGAUUCUCAUCCCCAGGAUCAGGAUCCUUUGCUUCGAUUUUCUCUGCUAUGGGAUCUGAAUCAUCUACUGUAAUAACCCAAAACAAAAUAUCUAAAAAGUAGGAUUAAUAUCUUCUAGCAAAAAGACAAUUUUGCCCUCGCAUUAUUUAAUAGGGAAAAAGUUGACUUUUUGAUCAGAAACGUAUUUGGCAAUUCCGCUUACGCCAUUGCGUAGAGCACGGCGAAACGAGUCCGUAGACACAGAGUAGACCCGAAUCGGACUUGUAACGAAGAAAAUACGAUCAAAAUACCGCGAAGGGCAAAAAUGGUAAUUUGGUCAAAAAGUCAGAUUUUUAUCCCUUCCUCCCCUUCUCUCUCCUCAUUUCUCUCUCCUCUCCCUCUCUCCUCCCGAUUUCGCCCCAGCCCAUGACCCCCGCGCCUUUCCGACGUCGCACCGGCCACCACACUUGGAGCCGAUCUCCGAGACCGGUGCCAAACGAACCACCACUCGACCGUCGUCAUUUCUUGACCAGCCGCCGCCCUUGCCGUGGCCGGACCUCGCCGGAAAACGCCAUUGUUGCCGAAUUUUCAGUUCAACUUCCAGCUCAGUUUUCUCCUUCAAUUCUCCACCAAAUCGAUCGAGUAAGGUAUGGUUUCUCAGCUAUUUUUCGUGUUCUAACUGAUGGAUAUAUGGGUUUCGAUCGAUUUUGGCUCUAGAACGUUCGAUUUUCAACUUGAAAAUCGGCCGAAACUUUGGCCGCCGUGAUCUACUGUUUCUGGUCCCUUUUUGGGGUAUGUCCAAGAACAAAAGUGACUCCAAAUGGGGUGUUUUACCUAGGAUAGGAGUUUGGAGUCCUGGUUCCGAGAUUUUUCGACCACCCGAAAUAGCUUAAGACACCCAAAUCUGCCCGCGCGUGCUGGGGCUCGUGGGCGAGGGUCGUGAAGUAAUUCUGUACAGUUUUGUGACCCUCGUGUCGUCACGAGCGCGUAGGAUUUCGCGGAUCUCAAUUCGGAGUCCGUUUGAGCCCCGAACGGAUUUUUCAUAUCGCGCGAUCCUUGGGUGCAGUGUCGUCAAAUCGUUGGAUCACACUGAAUUUUGGAUAUGUCGGUCUACAUGAUUUCAGGAUCGUGUAGGAUUCGACGGAUUGCGAAUCGGAGUCCCGGAUACUCCGAAAUCGCGAACCCUGGGACUAGGGUUUGGAUUUUAAGCGAUACCGCGAUUUCGGCUAAUCCGACCGUCCGUUUCGGACCAAACUCCCGGAACAUGGUUCCUUCUCUAUCAGGAACCUUCAGAGAAGCUCAGAUUGGCCAUUGGAGACCAUGGACCCACGGGGUCCCGGAUUGGCCGGUCUGGUGGUUUAUCGCUUAGUCAAGCGUUGAGUCUUCCAAAACUGAUCUAAGAGUCUGAAAGGCUAAUGUGGGCAUAGGAGUAACUUGAAACGAGUGCACGUAUUUCUAAGAGCCGGGGGCAGGGUGUUUAAUUUAAAUUCUUUUUAUUCAGCAGUUUAUUGAUUUAUUAUUCAUGGAUAAUCAGGCCCCAGAGAUCCAGUCGACCCGCAGGAGGGACCUUCGAAGGGUCCAAUUAGCUCGGACCAUCAGUGAGUGGACUUUCUUUCAUAAACGAUUUUAUAUGCAAGAGUUAUAUAAAUGAUUUAUAUAAAUGAGAUUACUUAAAUGAUUUUAUAAUGAUUUUAUACAAAUAAGCUUUUAUAAGUCAGUUUAUAUGCAUGAAUUUUAUUAUUUGAUUUUGAAUAAGUUUUAUUGAAAGUUUCCGAGCUUGAUUAGUACCGUGAUAUUUCUAUAAUUUCAUGCUGCUCAGUCACGUGCUAAAAGUUAUAGAAACAGAGUUUGAGGUCUAAAUCAAAUGAGAUAGCAGCAUAAUGUGAGAUUACAGUUAUUAAUCAAAUUUUCCUAAAGUUAUUUAUUUUUAAAACCACCACGUACCCAUUUUUAUUUGGUGAUUACCCUCAGAUGGACCAAUGUCUACGGACAUCCAGUCUGUUUACAGUUCUGUCAGUGCACUUGACAUUGCCUCACGAGUUUCGGGGACGCUCAGAUCGUGAGUGCCAGGAUUUGCGGCUCGGCAGACUUGGUGUCCCGAGACCUGCCAGGAUUGCGGCUCGGCUGACUCUGUGUCCCCGAGACCUGCCAGGAUUACGGAUCAGGCUGACUACGGUCCCCUGCAUCCUGCCAGAGCGACUCGAGCUGACUUGGUGUCAUCGAGGACCUGCCGGCGGAUCAGGCUGACCAUUGUCCCCUGAUUUCGCCAGUUUGCAGCUCGGGUAGCUUACGUGACGCCCGAGACCUGCCAGGGGAAUUGACGGAUUUUCAGGGGUACACUUAGGUGGUAGUUUUAAAGCAAUUUGAACACUUUUAUGCAGCUAUUGUUUUUCAAUCACCUUAUAUCAGUUUUCUCAAUAAACGUGCAUGUUUUAUCUCUUCAUAUAAUUAUUCAGCUUUACGAAUCUAUAUACACACUGUUACAUAUUUAUAUUUAGAGGGAUACUUUAUAUUAAACACAUGUGAACUUUAGUUUUACUUAUCAAGUUAUUUUUACUAUGGGGGUUAUUACGAUUGUAAACUGUUUUCCAGAACCUUAUGUUUGGUCCACUCACAUUUUUAACCUGUUUUUCGCCUCCAGGCCGUAGAAGUACGCAGGAUCCACCACCGGGCCAUUCAUAGCUUCCGCGCCACCAAGUAAGGUAGAGUUUUGUAGAAAAGCCCUUGAAACCCUACAAACUAUAGAAAAUGCUCUGAUAUCUAGUUUUAGUGGAAAACUGGAGCUGGUGAAUACUUAGUUAUUCUCUUCUGGCAGUUGGUGUAGAUUUAUUUGUUUGUUGGACAGGUGGAAAAAUCUGGGCUUGGUCAAAUUACAGGGGAGACUCUGCCGAAUUUUAGGCAGAAGUCUAAGGGAAAUUUUAAAAGAAUUUUGAACGAGAAGGGUAAGAAGGUCUUUUGUGCCCGACAUUCGCCAGGUGUCGGACACGCACAGGACUUGGCUCGAAUAUCAAAGCGGAAAUUGGGUCGGGUCCUGUCAUCUACUCUGAUUUCUCUGCCAUUAUCUGCUUUACUUUUGUUCUCAAUACGCCACCCCAUUAAAAUUUGGAUCCGGAUCCUCUGCUCUGAUUUUCUCUGCCAUGAUCUGCUUUACUUUUGUUCUCCAUAUGCCACCUCAUUAAAAUUUAAUCUAAGGGACUUAAAAAUUGACACAUCAUCCUUCAAACAAAAAUCCAAUUUACUCCUACUUAAAAAGGAAAAAAAAAAAAAACUCUAAUCCAACUAUUGGCAAAGUUAACGUUCUGUUCUUUUUUCUUUCUUCUUCCUGUCUCACGCCCUCUACGUCCUGUCCUUUUGUUUUUCCCUUCUUCUUGACUAUGCCCCAAAAUCUCAUCUCUCACCAACGUCACAAAAACAUAUUAACAAUUAUCAAAUACUGAACUUCUUGGCUUUACCCAGAAAUGACAAACAAUAAUUUAUUCUUCUUUUUCUUGUUUCUCAGAAAGCUUUAUAAACAUAUUAGAUUUUUAGGUUAAAAAUGAAUAAGUGGGUCAACUAUCUGAAAAAUUACGAAAGGCAUUAGAUUUGGAAGCCUCAUCACAAAUUUGGUUGCUAGAAUUCGGAGAAGGCUGCCACUUCACCAUAAAGCCCAAAAACGCAAAUAUCCCACCACCUACACUACAAUAAUAGUAAUACAAAUGUACAAAAACACACUCUCUCUUAAAACAUGAUUUUUCUUUUGAUAGGGGAAAAAGAAGGGAUUGUGAUUGUAGAGGUUUUGGAGAAAUGAAGGCUUGGUGUGAGAGAUAAGAUUUUGAGGCAGAGACAUGAAGAAGCGGAAAAAAAAAGAAAGAACAGGACGCGAGACAGGGAUUGAGUAAAAAAAAAAAAAAAACUGAUGUGAGAUAGGAAGAAGGAAGAGAAGAAAGAGAACAUGAUGUUAACUUUGCCGUUAGUUGGAUUAGGGUUUUUUUUAUUAUAAAUAUUUUUAAAUUAGGAGUAAAUUGGGUUUUUGUUUGAAGGAUGAUGUGUCAAUUUUUAAGUCCCUUAGAUUAAAUUUUAAUGAGGUGACAUAUGGAGAACAAAAGUAAAGCAAAUCAUGGCAGAGAAAAUCAGAGCAGAGGAUCCGGAUCCUUAAAAUUUAAUCUAAGGGAUUUAAAAGUUGGCGCAUCAUCUUAAAAGUAAAGCAUAUCAUAACAGAAAAAAUCAGUGCAGAGAAUCCGGAUCCCAUGGAAGCAUCCAUCCAUUCAGAGACAUAAUAUAAUAAGUAAUUAAUAGAUUCAAUUAAUAAUAGGAAACUUUCAUUUUAAGACACAAUAAUAAAAGACAAUGAAAAUACAAUUUACUGUGUAAGCACAUAAGCGUUGAAUUAUUCAACGGGCAACUAAAAUCUCAAAAACCCAUUUCCAAUACAGGAUAAGCGUAAGAAAAUCAAUGGGCUAGGAAACCCAAAAGGAAAAAGCGCACAGAGAGAGAGAGAGAGAGAAACUGACGGGAAAGCUAGGAGGUGGCACUACCACAAGAAAACAUGCCUUAGUUGACACUUCAUAGUUGACGUUUCUUGAAAAACCAUCAACCAUUCUACUAAACUUUGACGUUUUUUAAAGGGUUAACGUCACUUUAGUCCCUGUAGGUUUAGUGUCAGUAUCGAAAUGGGCCCCAAGGUUUGAGUUUUAUCAAUUUCGUACCCAACAUUUCGAAAUAUUACCAAUUUACACCAGCCGUUACAUUGACCGUCAAAGUCAGACGUUAAAUGUUGACGUGGCAGUCGUGGGACCCACAUCAUAACCAAAUAGCUGUUAGAAAGCGACGUCACGAUGGGCAAUUUCGGAAGAAAAAAAUCGAAGGAAACGAAGAGUUGGCACGCUUUCCAAGGAAGAGUUCGAUUACUGAGUUGGAAAAAUUGAACCAACUCAGUUUCUGAGUUGUGUUCGUACUGAGACAGACAUAGAGGAGAGGUUGGAGAGGUUUUGAGGGUUUGUUCGUGUUUUGGAGUGCAAAAAUUUGAAAUAGACUGCAAAAAUCAUACUGAAACGGAGGUUUCCGAAAAGAUCUGAAGAAUAUGAGUUGGGGACUUCGUCCGGAAGGAUAUGGAGAACCUUUCUAUGGUACGUAUGGCUUACUGUUCUAAGGUUAUUGGCAGAUGAUGUUUUCGAGUGAAAGUUUCAAAUAGAGUGAGUUUCGAGUUUGGUGUCGGUAUCACUGUGUCUAUUUAAUUGGUAGAUGGAAUGGUGUGAAUGGUAGGUGGUAUGCGGAAUUAAACGUUGGCUUUUAUAUGUGGUCCUACAACUACUGGGAAUCUUACCUUUUGUAUAUGUGUGUACUGACAUAGAAACAUGCAUUUGUAUAUGUGUGUUUGUAUUUGUGUGUUUGUAUAUCUGCAUUUGUAUAUCUGUAUAUGUAUAUGUAUUUGUAUUUGUAUUUGUAUGUGUAUUUGUAAACAGGAGUACAUGUAUUUUGUUUUGGGUAAAAUUGGUAAAAUUCAUGUGUGGUUUUCGACCUGCAGGGGAUGAGGCAGGAUUUUCUAUUCAAAUGUACCACAAUGGUGAAAUAAGAGGUAACUAUUAUGUGAAUGGGUCUAUGGAUUGGUUUGAUUAUUGUGAUAAAGAUAGAAUGUCAAUGACUGAGAUAGAUGCCAUGGUCAAGGAGUUAGGGCACGAAGGUUUGAUUAACUACUGGUACAGUAUUCAAGGUGAUAGUUUUGAUGGUGGCCUAGUUAAGCUGAGUGAAGAUACAGAUGUCUUAGACAUGCUAGUAUUUGUGCCUGACACUAGGGUGAUAAAUAUAUUCCUAGAACAUGUCUUGGCAUGCACUCAAGAGCAGUUUUACAGUCAAGUGGGUUCAAACAUAUUUAUAAAUUUGGAUGAUGAAUUUGGGACCAACAGUGGGGUAGUGAUUCAAGAGCUUGAUGACAAUUGUGGUGCCAUUGUUCCAGUGGGUGGGGGAGUAUCCCAGGUGCAAAAGGUGAAAAAAAACAAGUGUUGUAAUAGAAGAGUUGAAUGAAGAAGGGUUGAAUGAAGAAGCAUGUAGAGAAGGCAAAGAGUUGAAUGAAGAAGGGUUGAAUGAAGAUGGCUUGAAUGAAGAUGGGUUGAUUGAUGAAGCUUCUAAACAAGGCAAAGAAAAUGUCACUGUGAAUAAUGAGGAGAAUUCUGACAAAGGCAAAGAAAAGCCAAGUCAAGGUUGUUCUGAUAAAGGCAAAGGCAAGGUUGAUGACAUGUCACAUAGGGUGAAGCGUGCAUUUGGUAAAAAAAGAAGUGGCAGUUUGAGGAGGACAAAGACUGUUCACCAUAAAGACAAAGUUGUGGAAGGAAGGGUUGAUGGCUACAGGACCGAGUUUCAAAGGGAUUCCAUGAUGUUGAGAAGUGGAAGAAGUUUGGCAAAUGCUGCAAACUUUGAAGGCUUGGAUGAUGAUGCUUCUGAUAGUGAGGACUCAGAUUAUAUGAUUCCCAAGCACUUUAGUGAAGAUGAAGAUGAAGAUGAAGAUGAUGUUUUUUUUGAUGAAUGGGUGGAUGACCAAACUGAAUGGACAUGGGCUAAAGAAACUGGGAAUGAGGCUGCUCCUGAUUGGCCUACAGAUGUUGAAUUGGAUUCUGACGAUUCUGAGUGCAGGGAUUAUGCCAAGUAUAAUUCUGAUGAGGAAGUUGAUAAGAAUUGGCCAGAGUUCAAUGCUGCAACUGACAUGGCAGAUCCAAAGUUUGAGAUUGGGCUGUUGUUUAGUGAUUGUAAGGUGUUUAGGGCAGCUGUCAGAGAGUACUCCAUCUUGCAGAAUAGGGAUGUAGUGUUUAUUAGGAAUGAGGCUUUGAAGCUGAAGGCAGUUUGUGGGGACCCAGAUUGUGAGUGGAUGAUAUAUGCUUCAAAAAUGCAACAUGAGAACACAUUGCAAGUGAAGACAUAUGUAGGUGAGCACACAUGUACACAGCUAUGGGAGAACCCUACUGUGAAGUCAACAUGGAUAAGCAAGAAAUAUGUUCACAGUUUGAAGUCCAAUCCCCAGUGGCCAGUGAAGUCAUUCAAGGAGACUGUUGAGAAGGAUUAUAAUACAGGGGUGUCAAGACAACAAGUGUAUAGGGCAAAAUAUAAGGCACUAAAGCUGAUUGAGGGCAGUUUCAAUGAACAAUAUUCAAGAGUUUGGGAUUACUGUGAGGAAUUAAGGAAGACUAACCCAGGAACCACAGCAAUGGUUAAGUGUGAUUUCCAACAACAAGUGGGGCAACCAAAGUUUCAAAGGUUGUAUGUUUGUUUAGGAGCUGCUAAGGAAGGCUUCAAAGCUGGGUGCAGGCCUAUUAUAGGUUUAGAUGGGUGCUUUUUGAAGAGUGUUUAUGCAGGGCAACUGUUAACUGCUGUGGGUAUAGAUGCCAAUAAUGAAACCUGGGUAAUUGCUUAUGCAGUUGUGGAAUCAGAGUGCAAGGAAUCUUGGAUUUGGUUUCUGGAGCUAUUGGUUAAGGAUUGUGAGAUUGUGAAUCAAUUUGGCUUCACCUUUAUAUCCGACAAACAAAAAGGUUUAGUACUUGCUUUUGAGCAAGUGGUCCCUAAUUGUGACCACCGGUUCUGUGCAAGACACCUGUUUUCCAACUAUAGGGUGCUUUUCAAAGCAAAAAGCCUCAGAGACAAGUUUUGGGAAGCAUCAUAUGCAACCACUGUCCCCCACUUUACAAGGGCCAUGGAAGACCUGAAAAAACUGUCAAAGGAUGCAUAUGAAUGGCUAACCACUCCAGAUAAACCUCCAAGGCAUUGGUCCAAGUCACACUUCAACACUCAUUUGAAGUGUGACAUGUUGUUGAAUAAUCUUUGCGAGUCCUUCAAUGCUACCAUAUUGGAAUGUAGGGAUAGACCAAUUCUGUCAAUGUUUGAGUAUAUUAGAUGUAUGCUGAUGAGGAGAAUACAAGCAAGAAGGGACAAAAUGCUGACAUGGAACAAGCCUAUCUGCCCAAGGAUAUUUAAGAAGGUGGAGGGAAAUAAAGCCAAGGCAGGUGCUUGUGUGGCAAUGUGGUCAGGUGGAGGUAAAUUCCAAGUGUCAGCUGGUGGCCAUGCACAAUAUAUUGUGGACUUAGAAUUGAGAACUUGUUCUUGUAGAGCUUGGGAUUUGCAGGGAUGGCCUUGUGUUCAUGCUAUUGCAGCCAUAAAUUAUAAAGGGGGUCUUAAUGUCAUGGAUUUUGUGGAUGACUGCUAUUUGAAAUCAACUUACUUGAAGACAUAUGAGAAUCUCAUACUGCCUAUGAAUGGGAUGGAUAUGUGGGAUAAGAGUGACUUUCCACCAUGUCUUCCUCCGUCUUACUCUACACAGCCUGGAAGGCCAAGAAAAUGUAGAACCAAAGAACAGGAAGAGCACAAGGGCAAGAUGAAGAUGAGAGCAUCAAGAAACCAAUCUGAAACUGCAUUGUCUCGCAUUCCUAACACACAGGACUCUCUCAAAUGUGGGCAAUGUGGUAAAAAAGGGCACAAUAAGAGGACUUGCCAUAGGAAUCUUCCCCCAAAAGCUAAACCUGCAACUAAGAGGAAGAGGGGUACUGAAAAUACCCAGGUAUAGCAACUCAAUCUUUUUCAAUUCUAUCCCUUAAUAACCCUAAGUGUUUGUUGCAAACUGAUGUAGUUUUUAUGUUGUAGACCACUCCAUCUGACGCAUCCACUCUAGCUGGUGAUCCAAGCACCCUAAAGCAAAGAUCCAAGCCUCCAAGGCGUGUGCAAAAAGGGAAGCCAAAACCAACUAAGAAAGGACAUGCCACUUCUGAAGCACAACCAGCCUCAACUUUGCUUCCUCAUGCAUCAACUUCUGUUUCAACUGCAGGAUCAAAUGUUGUACAUUGAAGCUCACUGAAAAAGCUAUUUGAUGAUUCACGUUUUGUUGUUAGACUGGCAGUUUGUGAUUAGGAGGUUUUUGUUUUUGAACAAUUGGUCAUGUAUAACUAAGUGCUGACUUAUUUUGAUGGAUGUAAUUGCAUUCACAUAAGCCUCAACCACUGUGAAUGCAAAUACAUCCACUGAAACUGCCAUUUUAGAAUGAAUUUGAAUGGACAUGAAAUAUGUACGAUAUGCAAUGUUAUUAUCUGGUUAUUUUGAGCCAUUUUGAAUGCAGAAUUUUCUGAGUUUUUGGGUUGCCACUUUGCUUCAUUAUUUUGGUUAUUCACUUCAUUAUUCCAGGUGCAUCCAUUUUCUAACUUCCCUGUUACAUUAUUUUUGCCAUUCCAUUUUCUACAAAUUUUGCCAUUCCAUUCACUUCAUCAAGUUACAAAAAAGUCGGCAAUUAAACUGCUACAUAACAAUUAAACCUUACCCCAUAACCCUUAAUCCUAAAACCCUAAACCCUUAAACCCUUACAUAACAAUUAAACCAUUACAAACUGCUACUAACAAUACAUUCAUUCAAUGGCAGAAGCUAAUUCCAAGCUCCUCUUUUUGUUUACUCCACAUCCACACAUCCCUCCCAAAAUGAUGCUUGCAAAUAGAACCCACGAAGCCACCAACAACACCCAAACGACCUUUUCUCUUUGUCUUGCCAUUGCCAUUGACUUCUCCAGCUUAUUCCGCGAUUUUAAAAGCCCAGGAAUCACUGCCUUCGACCGUGCACACAUGGCCAGAUCAAACCAUGCCCAAAAUUCACAGCCCUUAAAACCCCUCUUAGUCUCACGUACCUUGGCUGCACACAUGGAAAAUCGCCUCCCAGGAUUCGAAUCUGUCCAAGAGGUUCGAAUUGUAGCAGCCUUUCCGCACCAACACAUCGGCGCCUCUUCAUCCAUUUCGCCCAGCCAAUCGGAUCUUCUUCGUCAGUUUCCCUCCACUUUUUUCCUCGCUCCUUUGCUCUCGAAAACACGAACACAAAUCAGAAACUGAGUUGGUUCGAUUUUUCCAACCCAGGUAAGCGAACUCUUCGUUUCCUUCGAUUUUUUUCUUCCGAAAUUGCCCAUCGUGACGUCGCUUUCUAACAGCUAUUUGGUUAUGAUGUGGGUCCCACGACUGCCACGUCAGCAUUUAACGUCUGACUUUGACGGUCAAUGUAACGGCUGGUGUAAAUUGGUAAUAUUUCGAAAUGUUGGGUACGAAAUUGAUAAAACUCAAACCUUGGGGCCCAUUUCGAUACUGACACUAAACCUCCGGGGACUAAAGUGAAGUUAACCCUUUUUUAAAAAACGUCAACUAUAUAACUGUUUUCUUGACAUUUUAUAAAAAAACGUCAGCUAGUGAAAUAUAACUUUGACGUUUUUAAAAAAGCGUCAACUAAAGAAACAAUUUCGUGACAUCUAUUAGAAAGCGUUAGCGACUCUUUAAAAAAAAGCAACAAUAAUCAUCCAUUUGUUUUUUAUUUUUAAAAGAAAACCUAAAAGCUAUUUCACUUUCCCUUUGCCUCUCUCUCUGCCUUGCGCCUCCCAGCCUUCUUUGUUUUUUUUUUUUAUCUCUUCCCUUUCCUUUCAAUCGUUCUUGACUUCUCUCUCCAAAGCGUUCAGUUCCUUGGCUCGCUAGAAUCUCGACGGCGUUACCUCCGACGACCUUGAUGAUGCCAUUCACAAUUAGGUUUUCAUCUUUCUUCAAUCUCCUACCUUUUUCGUUUUAUUUCUGUAUUAAUGUUUCUAGAUCUCAUGGUUUCUUUUGGUGCAGGUAUUGGGAGGUGGCGGAUCUACAAUUUUCUCUUUCUCAAAAUUGCUAUAUCGCUCAACUCAUCUAUGUGCUCUCAAUUUCUCGCUCAAUUCAUCUCUGCUCUCAUGCUUUCCCUUAGUCAUGUCUCUGCUCUUACUCUCUAAUAUGACAACGCUAACCUCUGAAACCACAAACCCACCGAAGUCCCAACUCUCCUCCCUCUACAACAUUUGGUCUCAAAUCAGUCCAAAUUAUCAAUUUUUUAUGUUGCUAUGUUUGGGUUUCAGGCACAGUAAGCAAAUUGUUUCUCCCGACUCCUAAUUCUCCUUCAGGUAAAACCUAAAACACAUUUAUUUUAUCUUAUGGGUAUGCAUAGAUUUUUUGGUUUAUGUUGUUGUCCUAAAUUCACUUCUCAAAACCCACGCCUUGAAUUUAUUGAGGAAAUUUUAGUAAAAUACUGUGAUGUCUUUUGUGUUUGGUAUCACUGAUUAAAAAUAGUUGCUUGCUUCCUUCGUUGUAACUUUCUAGCUUUGUUUUCGUUGGUUGUGAUAAGAGUUUAUUUAGAGUUUGAUUUUCUGAUAUUUCAUAUAUGUGCUUAGUUGUUGUGAGCUUAGAAUUUGUGUCAUCUUAAGCUGCAUAAUUUUAUACCACUGAUUUAAUCCCAGCUCCUUGCUUGUUUGUGUGUUCUGUCUUGUGUUGUCUAUGGUCAAGCCAACUUACAUAAAAGGUUAGAACAUGCUGUGACAUAUAUACUACUUUAAUUAUGCCAAACAAGUUCUGAUUUAGACACAUGGAUAUUAGUCAUGUUCUCUAUUAUUAAAGGUUUGAGUUUUCUGAUUCAUAUUUGGAGUUUGAAGUUUCAAUUUUAGGCUGUGAUUUUUGCAGAUUUUUGUUUUUUCAAUUUCUAUUUGGAGAGCAUAUGCAGAUAAGGUGAGCAUAUUUCAUAUUAUUUUUGGAUUAGUUGCUCAUUCAUCAGUUUCUAAUUGAUAUUGAGUUUUUUUUUUUUUUUAUAUAUACAUUGAGUUUAGGUUUCAACCUUGGUCCAUAAUUUGUGCAGAUUUUCAGUUUGAUUUAUAUUUAGAUGCACUUACAGACAAGGAUUCUAGAUUAGUUUUUGACUAGUUGUUGAUGUGGUUUUAUUUUUCGGUUUGGCUAUUAGGCUCUAAUCAUCGAUUUUAAGUUAUUCUUUGCUUUCCUCUUCUUUCUAUUAUUUUUUUUGUUUGUGCUAACAAAGAGAGAGAAACAGAGAAAAUGAUUGCUGAGAUUUAAGAAAUUGGUCUCAAUCUCUUUGACUAAAUAAUUACAAGUGGCCAUAGAAUUUAGACUUAAGUGUGAGAUUAACUAACUUAUCAUGUGCCAAUGCUUACUAAUUGCAACUUGUAAGAGUUUGAGCUCUACUAAGCUCUGUUAUUAGUUUGGAGUGGGUUGUGUUUGUAUAAUUUUUUUCUCUUAAAUAUUAGUUUGGAGUGGGUUUUGUUUAGAUGUAGGUGCAUAUUGGUCUAGAAUUUCUUAUUCAAAUUGUUUUGCCUGUUAUCCUACAUGCAUAUUGGUUUUCAUGGUCAUCAUAUGCUGUUUCAGGAUUAUUUAUAAAGCAAAGACCAGAGAGUAUUGGGAUAUAUAAAGAUGUGGAUGGUGGUACAACAAAUAAUACGGUAAUUGGUCUAGAACUACUUGUUCAAAUUGUCUUCCUUCUUAUCAUAUACACAUAUUGGUGAGCUGACUUAUGUUUUAGUCAAUUGAAUUUGUCUUUAUCCAAGAGAAUUCCCAAUUUGUUAGUUUCUUCAGUUUCCUUUUAGUCUCUAUAGUUUUUGGCUGACCUUGUGCUUUAUUUUUAUUUUUUGUGUGUACAUCAAGUGCAAGGCAAAUAAAAGCAACUAACUGAGAAUUGGAUGUUCACUUGGCGUUGUACUGCAGAAAGAGUGGUGAGCACCCCAUUGUUCCUUAUUUUGUAUUUUAUUUACAAAAAGAAAAUUACUGAAAUGGUUGUUUUGGUUAAUGUAAUCAUAGGGCAACUGAAAUCAGCAGCCCCAUUUGAACUUGUGCAACCAUAUAUGAAGAGGCAUCAUCCCCAUUCGAACUUCUGUAGCCAUGUAUGAAGAGGAGGAAGACACAAUUUUGAUGUGAUUUAUGUUGAUCAAGGUAAUAUGGGUUCUCUUCUUCUUUCUUAUUGCGUACAGCAUGUCUAAGGCAAAGGAUAACUAAUUGAAAAUAGGUUGUUUAUCAAAUUCAUUUAGGUUUGCAAUAUAGAACAAGCAUGCACUUUUAGCCACUUUGAAAGUCAUCCAAACAAUUUCAUUGUACGAGAUGAUUCAAUUACUAGCUAGUUAUCAAUUGUUGUAGGUCUUGAUAACUCUUUGAUCCAUAAAUUCAUAUUUUCUUAGAUUGGUAUGAUUUGGGUGACUCCAACCGUGAAGGAAGUGUUAGGCUGGUAAUGGGCAUUACUUGGAGCUGCUAUGAGGAAAGUGAAGCUUCUAAGGGACAAAUUCCUUAUAAUUGAGACUUAAUUACUAGAUACCUUGUUUCUUUUUAGUAUGUUUAAUUUUAAAUUUAAUUCAUAUUGUAAUUGUAAUAAUAGUUAUAGACAACUUGAAUGUUGUAACAUUCAUUUUAUAUUAUUACAGUGAAUGUACAAUUUCCAGUCUUUUUCGGGAAGAAGCUUUUUUUAUUUUUAUUUUAAAUAUUUGUUUGUUGUUACGUGACGGCUAAAAUCCGUCAAGAGAAGAGCUCUUAAAUGUCAACAAAUUGGUAAGCUGCCACUUAAAAAGUGUCAAGGCUGACCAUAACCAUCACAUUUUCUUGACGGACAAAAAGCGUCAAGUAUGUGGGUACCCUUUUCCUGACACUGGUAUUGACAGGACCCGCCCCCAAAUUUCCCGGAAACCGGAGCGGAUCCCGUCUUUUUAUCGACAUCACCCUGAUGUCGGGCCCACUUAUUAAAAACGAGACUACCAAAAUUUUGGCAGAAUCUCCCCUGUAAAUUGAACAUCCCAGCAAAAUCCAACCUGCAUAACCAACACAAAAUAAUCUCAACUAGCAGCAUGCUUUCAAGCGAAUAAACAAUUUACAACAAAGGCCUCCGGCCUCAUAAAUCAACCCUAACACGGGCGAUAACAGAACAUAACUAAGGAAUUCGAUUACAACAAAAACAAAGUUCAAAGGAAAUUAAAUGAAGGAGUCCUACGAAGGCUCAAGGCUCGGAAACACACGAUCCGACUCUGCUGCGGAGCUCAGUCAACUACUGGCUAGGGGGCGCAAAAUAGAAAGUUGUGAGUGGACAAAAAUAAAUUCAGUUCAGUGUAAACCAAUGUAAUAUAACCCCACCGUUUAGAAAACCAUGCAAGAAAUCCCAUACAUCUUAAAACCAUCAUAAUCAAGUAUAUAUAUAAAAAAUAUAUAUAUCAAGACAAAUCAAUACCAGAUGCCGAGUCCGAAAUCCAUAAAGAACACUUUACAAACUCACAUCCACACUUAUAAGUCCCAAAAACUAAACUCUCGAAAGCGUACCCAUUGGCACGACCGGCAAGGAAGUAUCCUCACCGAGAAACAAGAAUGAAUGAAUAGUUAUAUAUACGUAAAUUUAUAAUAUAAGAGAGAGAGAUAUAUAUAUAUAUAUAAAAUAUAAAUGACCAUCACCUAGUUGUAUCGGGGAAACAAUCCAACCGGGGGAUUGUUUCAUUAGUCAUCAUGGUAGAGUCCCAGUAAACAAAUUCCUCAAUUCACCAUGUGCAGACUACCCAAUCAAGGGUUUACAGCAACAUCCCGUCAAGGAUGCCCCGGGUUCCGACAAUUCCAAGUAUCUCAAGUUUCCGUAUCCAAGUUCCAAAUCCGGGGAGGUACAUAGAGUAGUGCUUAUAGCACUCCAAACUGACAUUCUAUACUCAAUCACUUUCCACAAUCUCAUCUCAAUAACCUAAGUACUCCACACAUAUUCAAACAUAUAUAGAAAUUCUCAAAAUCCAUAUAAACAUACUCAAGAUACUCAAAUAUGUCAAAACCCAAAAUAUAUUUCCAAUGCAUCAUAAACAUACCUCUUUCAACAAUUGAAUAAAUAAUAUAUCCAAUAUACCAUUUAAAACAUCAUGCAUAAUAUUUCCCAUCAUAAAACCAUGCAUAAGAUUUGAAAACAAAGUCCACUUACAAGUAGUCCCACGCUGCUUGACCCUGAGAGGGUCCCGCCUGCUGCGUAUGCAUAGUCGGCGUACCUAUUUCAGAAUACGCAUACGAGAUUAAUACGAGGAACGAGACGUUCUAAGGUCUAACUACCCAAUUCGAACGAUGGAAUAGCUUCGGGAGACACUAGGUCAACUAGCAGUCAAACUUUCCAAUUCGGGUCAACCGGGCCCAUGGGACCCACGACCUCCGUUUCACAAUCCGAAAGUUCCUAAAGGUUUCACAAGGUCUAAGAUACCCGUCUCACAAGUUUGGUCCGAAGCGGACGGUUAGAUCGCUUACGAUCGCACGAUAGAACGGUUAUCUUAAAACGUAAACUUUAAGUUAUUGAAUCGAAACAUCCGGGGCUCCGAUUCACGAUCCGCAAAUUCUUACACCAUCCUAGGAAGGUCUAGAGUAACAUAUAUUGGAAUGGAGUCGAUCCCACGGUCUGAACAUAUCGAACCCAAAUAACGCACAAUAUGCGAAAUCAGUUCGAUAGUCCAACGACAUCCGAAUUGGAAUCCAAGCACACCUACGCGCUCGUGAGGACCAAGAGAACACCUUGGGAUAAAAAUGCACCUUUGCUACAGUGCCCACGCGCCGCCACACGCGCCGGCAGCACAUGGGUGUCCAAAGCGAUAAAGCUUCACCGGAAAAUCUCAACAUCUCGGGCCAAGACUUCUAUCCUAAGUAUAACACCCUAUUUGGAGUCACUUUUGUUCUUGGGCCUACCCCAAAAAGUGACCGGACGUGGCCGGAAUCGGAAAUCCAAAAUCGGCCGAACCCUAAAUUGAAAAUCAACUGACCGAGGCUCAAAAUCAAAGAAAUCCUACCCAACCAUCAGCAUGGAAAAUAGGUAGAAAUCCAUGCCUUGCAUGACAAAUUUGGUGGAGAAUCAAGAGAGAACGAACGGUUUGAAUUUUUGAAAAAAUGGGGGCGAUUUCUGCAGAUUCCGGCGAUACCGGAGGCGGAUCGGAGCGGCCAAGGGCUAGGACUUGUAGAGGAUGACGAGCUGGUUCUUUUGGGACCGGUGCCGACGAAAAUGGCGGCCGGAAGUGGUGGUGGCGAGGAGAAAACCGAUCGACUGUUUUGAGAGCGAGAAGGGCUGUUCGCGAUGGGAGAGAGAGAUAGAGAGAGAGAGAGAGAGAGAGAGAGAGAGAGAUAAAAAUCAGAUUUUUAUCCAAACUCUUUUCGAAAUAUUUACAAGUUUGCCACUGAACUUAUUUUGUUCGUAACUUCUUCGUUACAACUUCGAAUCGAGCCCACUACGUGUCUACAGACUCAUCUCAGUACGAUCUAUCUAAAAAUACCAGUCACUGCCCCAAACUCUUUCCGGGUAAGAAAAUGACCAAAUUACCCUUAACCCAAGGGUAAAUUCGUAAUUUCACUUAAACAUAAUAAAAUGGGAAUUAAAUUUGGAGUCGGGGUGUUAUAGGUAUUCUUGACGCUUUUUUAGCCGUCAAUUAAACAGAUUCUUGACACUUUUUAACCGUCACUAAAGGCAGUCUUUCUUGUAGUGUGGUGGAAUUUGCAGCAGACUUGCCAAAGUAAAUGGCCGAUAUCACAUACAAAGACGAGAAGAUGAUCCCAAUUAAUACAGUGGCGUAUAUAGUCACGAACAUUGUCUUGGCAUUGUCAAACGCAUUUCUCCACCCCAUUGUUUCGCUUUUGGGAUUGUUUGGUUGUUUGAUUAUCCUUCCCAUGCCAUCAACAUCAUCUUCUUUGUUCUUUGUUCUUUCUUCGGGGGAAUGUUAGUACGAAAAUUGUAUUGGCAUUUCCUAGACUCUAGCAUAGGUUGAGAAUUAGUUCUCACGAGGCAUCGUCUCUUGCCGUGGGUUGCCCCUACCCAAUUUUCAGAUUGUUCGUGAGUUUUAUGGCAAUUUUCCCGAUGUCUCCGCUGCCUCUGCUACUCUGUCUGGACUGGUUCUGAGUGUGCGUGGGAUUGUGAUUCCGCUCAGUUUCCAUUUUAUUUCGGCUGCCCUUGGUCUGACUCCUAUUCACUCUGGCAAUUUGUGUGAGCCAGUUCCAGAUUUUCUUCCACGCCGUCAGUUGGUGAAUCGACUCUGUGUGUUUCCACCCGAGGUGCUCCCCACUGAGCUCUCCUCUGGUAUGAUGUCUCAAUGGACCCAUACUCUGUGUAUGCUUGUGCACAAUUAUCUGAAUCCCACUUCCCAGCAUGGGAAAGUGAGUUGGAAAGCUGCUCAUAUUUUCUUCCAGCUUGUGAUUGAGUAAUCUGUCAAUGUUGAUUUCUAUGUUUGUGAAAGACUCAUUGUCGUUGGUGCUGCCAAUGCCACCGUUCUGACAUCAAGUCUUGCUCUUCCACUGAUUAUCACAGCCUUGGCUGCUCAUGCUGGUGUCCUUGCACUGUCUACAGAUGAUAUUAGCUCAUCCGACACAAUCAAAGUCAACAACCAGGUCACUUUACACUGCAGCGAUGCUCACUGUACUUUUGGUGGUUUCUCCAUUGAGCAACAGGCUCUUUUGGAUUCUCUCUCUGCAUCCCAUCAAGUGACGCAUGCGCUUCUUCGUCGCAUCUGGGAUCGUCUUGACACCUAUAGUGAGCUGUUAUUGUCACUUGCUGGGCACAUUCAGCCCACUGAUCCUGCUCGUCCUCCUCGGGCUUGCAGCAUCUAAGGUUGAUCUACUCUGCUUCUGGAUUUGUUCUCUUUGAAGUUCUCUAUGUGUUCCUUUGGAUUUCCUAAACAAAAAGAGUGAGAAUAUUUUGUGUUACAUAUGAGAUUUAGGGGGAGUAACUGUCGAAAGUAGAAACAUGAAAUUUAGGGGGAGAUAACUUUUUUGUCUAUGGGAUCAGAACUUGUAGUACUUUGCUUAACCUCAUGACAUAUGAAAUAUUGCUAUUUAACUAUGCCAAGUUCUGGUUAGUGUUAUUUCAAUUCUAUCAAGCUUCACUAGCAGUCUGUUUGUUGGUGUGCAGACGUUACAAGAACUGGAUAUCUAUUUGACAAAGUAAAGUAGGUUGUGUAGGUUUUUCUUGUAAACGUGUUUGAUAUGUAAUCUAGUGUUUUGUCCAGGAAAUGACAAAGGGGGAGAUUGUUAGUACGAAAAUUGUAUUGGCAUUUCCUAGACUCUAGCAUAGGUUGAGAAUUAGUUUGUGAGGAAUUGUUACUAGACUUUUUGGCACAACUCUCUCAGCCCUAUACUUCCGAGGCAUGACCUAACCAUAUGAGAAACUUGACAACAGGUAAAUCAUGAAAUAAUCAUGCAUUCAAAAUAGAAUUUAUAAUUAAAGCUAUUUUUGAUGCCAUUAUGAUUUAAGUUAAAACAUUAGCGUUUACUAUUGUGACGUGCACCAUGCUUAUCUCCUAGUUAACUUGUUUUAGGAGAUAAUUAUUUCUUAAUAAUAGUGGCAGUUUAUGAAUCAGAUUUUAUAUUCAUAAUUGGAUAGUAUUGUUGCCAUCUGUUGGGUGUCUCAUGAAGAGACCUUUUUGCAUCAGGUUUAGGAGGCAUAGCUGAAUGGGUCUUAGAGUUAUAGUUGCUUUGGAAGUGUAGUCUCGUGGUUUUCCUUUCCAGUGAGAGAAACCUACUUUGCAUAAAAGCAUUGUUGUUUCUUUUUCAAUGGUUAAUCUUUUCAAUGCAAUUACAUUUUUGAGCAUAUUGAAUCUUUUUGAAAAAGCUGUUGUGCUUAUUUUCUUUGGUUAUUUAUCAAGUGCUCUUUUGUUGCUUGGUGAUUUAUCGAAACUAUUCAUCAUUCAUAUUGCAUACAUAUGCAUGUCAGUGACUCAUACGGUUGAGGGCACUGAGACUGUUGUGGCAUUUAUCCUUGAGUGAGCUUGAAGCAAUCGUGACCAGUAUUGCGUUCAACAUAAGGAGUGUUGAAGAUCAUCCCGUGACAAAAGUUGACUUAGGAAGAAGUGGGUAAACAUUAUCUAGAAUGUGUUUCGGAUAAGUGUGUGAGUACUUCUUGUAAUAUCAAUUUUAUAGUGGAUUUGUUUUGGACUAAGGAGUCCCGUGGAUUUUCCCCAAAGGUGGGGUUUUACCACGUAAAAUAAAUAUCUGCGUGUUCUUUUAUUUUAAGCUCUGUACAUUUCAGGAUUGAUAACUCAUAUCAAUCCUGCUUCGAAAGUCGAUUUCUAUUUAUUGCUAAAAUACUCGAAUUAGCCUAUUUAACACCCUCUAGGCAUAUAUAGACAUCCUACAUGUAAUUUCAGGGAAGAAGAAGAAAGAAAACCUUAAAUCCAAAUGGAACCAAUCUGAAUCUGAGAGGUUUAUUUCACUCGUUUCUCUCUCUGCAGCUCUCAGGCUUCCAACUGUGGAAGGUCAACUCCAGGCUGAACCUCCAUGUUUGUCUCCUUCUUUAUUUCUCUCAUUCUUUACUCUCUUUGCCUAAUUUUUUACUAGUAAGAGAAAGUUUGGUUUGGUUUAGUGUAAAUCUGUUAUCCGUGGCAAAAAAAAUUAUUUCCAUAUGAGAAGGGUAGAUUCUGACAUAAUUGAUUGAACAGCUGAUUAUGAAAUAAUUGACUAAUUAAAAUGUUGAUUAUUCUAUCUUGUAUUUGGUAGGUGAACAGACUCUUCCUUCAAAUUUUAUUUCAUUAUUUUGUGUACCAUUUUGCCCUCGUAUAUUAAAGAAUCAUAUGUUUUAGUACAUUUAUUUCUCAAGGGCAUUAAGGAACUUUCAAAUAUUAAAUUUGUUACGUUCCACGUCAAUUUCUUUGUUACAUGCCACUAUGUGACAAACGUAGUUCUUAUCUCUGACAAUAUUUACACAAAUUUGAUGUUUUAAUUAGAAAAUCUAUUUUGUUUUAUAAUUAUGGAAAAUUUGAGUUUUUGUUUUAAAAGUGAUGUGUCAACCUUAAAUUCUUUGGAUUGAAAUUUAAAUGACGUAGCGUAUGAAGAGUGAAAGUCAAGUAGAUUCUAGUAGAGAAAAUCAAAGAAGGAAUUUAGUUACAUGCCGCUCAGGCGGCCACUGUUGCUCUAUGUUGCCCUCAACCUAAAAUGAUAAGAAAUUUAGUGUGCUUGAAGAGCCUCAACCUUGACCCUCAAAGGAAGAAAGCCUUGUUCACAAACCACUUCACCAUCAUUGUCUUCGUGCUGUUUUGUCAAUUUCAUAAUAUUUAUAUUAACAGUCAAUGGUUUUUUUUUUUAAAAGAAAAUUAUUUCACAUAUGGGCCUCCUCUUUGGCCUAAUUCAAAACAAAAUUUCAUUCGUAGAUAUUAAAAAUCUAAACAGAAAAUACUCUGUAUCAAAUCCUAAUUAGUUGUUAUGUCUAAUACCUAAUUUUUCUUUAUUGUAUUCAAUCCCAAUGUGGCCUUCCCAAAGUGAGCUCCAAAUUGACAUUCCAUGAUACAUAUGGGACUUCAUCAUCUUCAUCACGUAGGCUUUUAUAUGGGACUUCAUAACUUAAGCCUUUUGGAUACAUCAUGUCCUCCCAAAACAAAAGAUAUGUGUGUAUAUAUAUAUAUAUAUAACAAAGAUAGUAAAAUAGGCGUAACUUAUGCAUGAAUGAAACUAAUGAAUAAAUGAAAAUAUGGAUAACUGAAAACAUACAAUUGUUGAGAAACAUACAAUUGUUGAGAAUGCAACAAACUUACAAAAAAUCUUGAUUGGAAGAUUUUAUUGAUAGAUAGCACUCAUAUUUUACAGUGGAAGUUUCCUUGAGGGAGUCUCAGAGAAAACUUUGAAAACUAAAAAAUUACAACUAAGUUACAUUCUGAUUACAACUGAGGCCGAAACCUUCUUAAAUAGACAAAACAACUAGAUAGUUGGCAUUGGAUGCUUGGAGAAAAUGACUAUUGAAGCACGGGCAGCCUAUUGGGGCUAUCAUGCCUGCUUUUGACUGCUUUUAACUUAUAAGACUUUUUUCUUCUGCUUUUACCCCAUUGCUUUUGUCGGGGAAAAAAAAGACUGUGUGACUUUUGACUUUAGGCGACUAAUUCAAAUUGAGAUCAUAAGGAUCUUGAUUGUCUAGGUAGUCUGCCCAUCGCAUUUUCUAAGUGGAAUCCUUUUGACUAGGUGACUGAUGAUGUUGACCAGUGGAUGACUGAGACCUCGGGGAGGCACUAUCUUCUUCAUCUUCCAUUUGAGAAGCCUGAAGAAUCAACUGCCGGGCAAUUUCUUGCAACUCUGCUUUGGAUUUUCCUUCAGUUGAGAGGGAAGCAUGAGAUGAACCAGAAGAGGAUGGCUUCUGGGAAGGCUUUGUAGGGAUGAUGAUUGGAGGAAAAUCAUUGUGGACAUAAGCUGCAAUUCUUUCAAUUUUAAACUUAUCCCACCAUUUGACUGAAAAUUGAAGGGAGAGGACUCUGGAAUCCCAAUUGACAUGAUACGACCAUUUUAGGAUCCAAGGAAUUUUAUACUUAGCAAUGAAGAUAUGCAGAUUAGGGAAAAAUAACUGACUUCUUGCAUUUGCUGGGGAAGAAGAUCAGUGAUUGGACCGUGUUUCUCCCACCAGUGAAGGAACCAACAUGAAAAAGGACUUUUGAAUUUACUGUCAAAAUUAAUGAACCAAGAAUGACUAAAAUCGACUGUUUGAUGGAGGAAAAUUGAAUACCAAGCAUCAAUAUAAUCGUAAUAACAAUAUGAAGUUCUGACUAAAGAACUUUUAGGUCAUACGGAUUUUUACUCCAUUCUUCUUCAUUGAGGAUUUGAUGAAUAUAAAGAGAAUGGAAAAGAAUAACUUGAGGGUUAUUGCGAUCUUUAAUGGGCUUAAUUUCAAUUGACUGUGUUUCAUGGAGGAUAUCUCUGUAGUAUUUAAGUGACUUGAAAGGAGCAGAAGGAAUGAAAUGGAAAUUCGGGGGAAAGUAUGACUUUGCGAUUGUAACUGGAUUAGUGAUAUUAUUGUAUUUGGGUUCAACAACGAAUAGGUGGCAACUACUUCUUGGCAAAUAAGGAGAUGACUUUGGGUAGGGAACUGGAGAUUGGGCAACUUGGGUACUAAUUUGAAAAGGAUAACGACUAGAAACUAAAGCUGACUGAAAACUAGGGCGAACUUGGCCGAUUGUGGACCCAAGUGAGGUGAAUCUAUUACUAAUUUGGAUUGGGGAACAUCCCGAGAAAGGGACGAUCUGAGAGGAUGACUCUGAUUUAACUGGGUUCAUUGAUGCCGGGAGGGCUCUAAAUGACUGGGACUCUUUUUGCUUUUCUGAUCUUCUUUCUUCCAUUGUUUUUCCUGUAGAAAUUCUCUAGUAAGAAAAUCACGAAUUGAAUUCUCACUUCCUCUCAAAUAUUCAAUAUCAAAAUAAAAAAUACUUAAAAUUGUUUGCCAUCGUGCAAAAAUCUGUUUUGUUGCAAUGUUUUGAACAUUCUUUUCUAAAACAUGUUUUGCACUCUUACAAUCAACUCUGACUAAAAAAAUUUGAUUUAAUAAAUCAUCUUGAAAUUUACUAAUGCAUAGUACUAUAGAUAGUAUUUCUUUCUUAAUAGUACUAUAUUACUUUGUGACCGUGUCCAAAUUCCAGAAUGAAAUCAAACGAUUUGCUCAGAUUGACUUGAAUUGACUCUUUGUUUAAGAAUACCUCCAUAACCAAUGUCAGAGGCGUCAGUUUCAACUAUUUUGAAGGAAUCAACUGAAGGGAUACCAAGACAGGGAAGUGUCUUGACAUGGACUUUGAUUUGUUUGACUAUAUCUGUAUGGGUGGAUGACCAAGGUAGAGGAUUACUCUGUAGACACUCAAACAUGGGCUUACACUGUUUUCGCAGAUUUUGAUAAAAAUCAUAAACAUAAUUAAGAGAUCCUAGAAAUCUCUGCAGUUGACUCUUGUCUAGAAUUUGAUAUGGGAAUUUUUCUGCAAACUGAAUGACUCGAUCAAUUGGACUGAUUUGUGACUGGCAAAUAUUGAAACAAAGAAAUCGAAUAUUAGUUUGGAAUAACUUAAUCUUUUUAGCAGAAACAACUAAACCAUUUUGUUUAAUUACCUGAAGAAACUUAUGCAAAUGUUUCCAAUGUUGUUCUAUUGACUGAGAGAAAAUAAGAACAUCAUCAAUAUAGACUAUGGAGAAGUGACUAAAAGGGUUAAAUAUUUCAUUCAUUAUAUUUUGAAACUCAAUGAGCGCAUUCUUAAGACCAAAUGGCAUAACAUUCCACUCAUAGUGACCGAAUGAGGUUACAAAAGUGGUUUUAUACCUAUCUGUAUCUUUAAUCUGAAUUUUCCAAAAACCACUCUUCAUAUCAAACUUAGAAAAGAUAACUGCAUUUCCUAACCUGUUAAUUAAGUCUCGUUUAUUAGGAAUUGGGUACCUAAUCCAUUCUAAGAUUGUAUUAAGAGGUUUGUAGUUAAUGACUAAUCUUGGGGUUCGUCGUUCUAACUCAGCAUUUUUCUGAAAAUAGAAAGCAGGACAUGACCAGGGUGACUUGCUUUUACGGAUUAUUCUUUUCUGAAGUAACUCUGUAAUUUCUGUUUUGCAGAAUUUCAUUAACUCUUGACUCAUUUGGAUUGGUCUGGCUUUAGUGGGAAUAUUCUUUUCAAUAAAGUUUUUGACAUAAGGUAAACUGACUACAUGUUAUUUCCUGUGCCAAAAAGCAGUAGGUAAAUCAUAACAGACUUCUGUUUUCAACUUUUCUUCGAACUUUUGAAUUUGUGAUUGUAAUGAUUCAUUACUAAGCUGUUGUUCAAUUCUUUUGAAUUUGACUUCUUCUUUAAGAAAAUCUAAUUGCUUAUUUUUACUUUGAAUUACUUUGACUGUUUUUUAAACUGCAUUUUAUUGUAAGGCUUUUAAGUUGUGUAACUCAGGUUUAGUUAGAAAUUCAAACUUGACUUUUUCUCCUAAAUGGGUAGAUAUAACUCCGUGGUAUUCUACUUGAAAAGGAUACAAGAGGGCUAUGAAAGGUAACCCUAAGAUGACUUCAUCAGUAAUAUUUUUGACUAAGACAAAUGAAGUUUUGAAACAAAUUUUAUUUUGGCAGACAUGGGCGUUUGGAAUCUUAUAAUUUAACUGAAGUGACUUUCUUGAGGCAAUACUUAACGAUUCUUUUGACUUUUUAUAAUACUUGGUAGGGAUGAGACCUUCUCUAAUAUAGUUAAGGUCGGCUCCUGAAUCAAAAAAGGCUACUGUGUUUAACUCAAAAUUGUUUACAAAAAUAGUGACUUUGGAAUACCAUUUUCUAAAAUUUACUUGUUUGAUUAAAUUAAUGGCUUGAUCAUUAUUGGAAGGUUCAUCGUCUGAAUUUGUAGGACUCUCUAAAUGAUUUUUAAACUCAGAACUUUCUUUUUCCAUUAAAUUAACUAAAUCUUGUUUUAUUUCAAAAUUCUUGGCUUGUAACUUGUGACUUAUUUGUCUUAAUUCUAUUAUUUCUUUUUUGACUAAUUUAACUUCUAAUUGUAAAUCCUAUAAAGUGACUUCUUUUCUUUUGUUAAAUUUUUCUAACGUGGUGUUUAGACUUAUUUUUUGAGGAAUGGACGGAUUGGGUUUUUCUUGGCUAAUGACUUUUCUUAAUUUCUUUAAAUACUCAGAUUUUAACUCUGGAUUUUCUACUUUACUAAUUAAAUCGAUUAAUAAUUCUUCAUGUUCUUCUUGUUUUGUGAGGACACUAAUGGAUUUACUGAGGACAUUACAACAUUUAUCUUUGCAACCUAAUUGGAUUCUAGGUGAACUAGGUUGUGAAUCUGAGGAACUAUAACCUGUUGACUCAGUAUUAGUUACCAUGGUUUCAUUUUCACUGGACUCGGAGUUUCUUAACUCUAAGACUUUAAUCAGAUUGUCUUUUUCUUCAUCUGUGAUUUUUAACUGCUUUAUCGUAUCUUUUACUUUACACUCAUUAGCAUAAUGACCAUUCUUUUGACAUUUCCAGCAUUUAACUUUUCUUUUGUCGGUGCUUUUCUUAAAGUGACUUUUCUUUUCUUUUCCGUGACCUUUUGACCAUUUUUUACUCAGGUGGAACUUCUUUUUACUAUAAAACUCAUUAUUAUAAUUAUUAUGCCUACAGGACUGUUUCCUGCGUGAAUAAUGACGACGCUUACUAAAUUGUUGGUCAUGAUAACUCGACUUGGCUUUCCUAGACGGGGGUAUUGACGCUAGACUAUAUUGUUCACAAAAAUUUCCUAACUCAUAUUCAGCUGAAUUUCUUUAUGAUUGAAUUUGUUUACCAAUUUUCAUAUCAACACACAUUUUCAUUCCAACUUGAUUAAUUGUACUAAUGAUAUUACCAUAAGUUAUAUUAUCCCAAUCUAUAUGGCCUUGACUAUUACUGAGGACUGUGUGUAUUUUAUGGGCAAAUAAAUUAGGGAGACCAUUAACAAAUUUUUCUUUUCAAAAUGGUUGGUUACUAUCAUCUCUAAGCAUGACUCUGGAAAUGAAAACAUCUUUAUACCAUCUAAAAUCAGACAAUUUAGGGCAUCUAAGGUUACUAAGCUGAUCAUGAAUUCUAGCAAUGGUAUUACUGGGUGUUCUGAUGAAAUGUUCAAUUAUUGUAUAUAACAAAGUAUUGACUUCGUCUUCUAUUCCUCGAUCUAUUUGUUCGUCGAAAAUGGGAAGACCUUCUUCAUUAAGUUUGAUUGCAUGAAUUAUUUGGGUUUUUGACUCUUCUAUUAAGUGUUCAUCCCACCAAGAACGUAAGGUUCCGGUGAAACCUGUUUCUAAAAGAGGGACUAUUUCUGACUGUCUGAAACUGUGAUUAGUGAUGUAACUAUUGGUUACCAUUGACAUAUGUUGGAGUUUAUUAAGAAUUUCUUGCUCAGAAAGACCAUCGAUAUUCCAUUCAUACAAUUUAUCAAAAGAGACUAAGAAUUGACUUUGGGCAUUUCUUUCUUCAAAUUGGAUGUUUGGAGGAGUCAGUCUAGGGUACCAAUUUUUUGUUAGGCUUGUGGGACUGACUCUGUUUGUUAAUCUUUUAACUUUCAGAUCAUUUUCUAACUCUAAAUUUUUAAAUGCACUUUCAAUUUUGGAGAUAUUACUGGUUUCUGUAUCCAUACUAGUUACUGACUCAGAAUCAGAAGUAUUGACUAAAGCAGAGGAUCCUAAAACUUUGUGACCAGAUUUUUCAACUUUUUCCUUUUCUUUCUUUGGGGUUAACUGUUCUAGCAAUUCUUCUAUUUUUUUUCAUUGUUGGUUUUGUCUUAAAGGUUGGGCUUGACUCUAGGUCUUGGAAUUUAAGUAAAGGCUUUUCUUUUCGUGACUUAGAGGUUGUUUCAGGAGGAGCUAUUUUAUCAAUUUUUGUUUCUAUUUUAUCUAAUUGGUUUCCUAUGACUAUUAGACUUUGGUUGGUGUAAUUAUUUUGUUCAACUAAUUUUCUAUCAUUUUGGUCGGGGACUUUGAAGGGACUGGCCACUAUUUUAGACUUUUUAUGGGUAAUAACUAUUGUUUCGACAGGAGGAUGACUGGCAAAGACUUCGGUGUUAUCUUCUUUUUCCCAUUUUCCUAGGUUAAAGUUUUUAAAUCAUUAGGUAAAUAACGACUUUCGAUAAAAUCAAGAUAGAAAAUUUCUGACUCAGCAGUGCGCAUAUAAUCUUUCCAUUCAUUAAAGAUUUGUUGUCAUUGACUUUUACUUGGAUAGGCUGUAUGGUAAUUAUCUCUUCUUCUUUUUUUUUUAUUCUCAGAGGCAUGUAGGUGGCUAUCUAGGCUUUUCCAAUUAAUUUUAAAUUUUUUACUAAGGGUUCGUAAUUGAUUAUCAACUUGAAAACCUGCUUCGAAAUCUGUUUGCGUGGGUGACUUUGAAGAUUCUGACUUACUAUCUUCUUUUACUGGUUUCUUACCAUAACAAGGCUGAUUAACUUGGGAAGUUUUCCUUAAGGAUUCUAACUUUAAAUCAAUUAAGGUUUUUUCUAGCUCUAGGUCUAGUUCUAGAAUGUCUUGCAGGGGCAUGUCUCUGGGAUUGGCUAGGAGUAGGAAGUUGGUGUAACUGAACUGAUGACUUUUGAGGGGGUUGAUUUCCAAAAUUAAUUUUGAUUGUGCCAUCUAGAUAUUGCUGAAUAUAGUCUAAAUUGUUUAAACUAUGUUGAAUGGGAACUGGCUGAUUUUCAAUGGUUAGUGUCCAAUCUAAUGGAAGGGUGACUUUUAACCACUUAAUUGUAUAGGGAACUCUUAUAUUGGCAUCGGCUUUGCUAUUUGAAUUAACAAGGUUUGAUCUUUUGGACUUUUAUUAAGGACUUGGAAAUUCAUAUUAGUUCCUGUAACUUUGUAGUAAAUUCGGUAAACUAGGGCUAAAGGCUAGGUGCCUGGUAAGACUUCAUACCCGGAAGUUUUAAUAUUCAAUGUGAGGGUUUUUAGAAUAUAGGGAUCACUAAGACUUACUGUAAAAUCUGGAUAACAAUCAAAAUGAAUUGGACCAUUAAACAGACUUGAUUCAAUUAUUCCUAAGGUGCUGUCACUAAAAUUGGUGAACCUAGCAUCUCGAAGACAGAAAAGGAUAGAAGCUUUUAAUCCUAAUCUGGUGAGAGGUUUAACUACAACUUGAACUAGACCAAUGUGAAGGAAAUUGUUCCCAUCAUUUUUAUGUUUCUUAAUUGACUCAAGAUUAAGCAACUGGAAAGUUUCAUGUUAUUUACUUAAGGCGUAAACUUGUUCGACUGUUUUCACAUGGGUAGUUGACUUGAAACUAGAGAGUGACAAUUUCUUCUUAUAAAUGUCUUGACUAGGAAUCUUAGGGAUAUUCUAAUCUUUAUAAUCUAAUUCAUUACUAGAAUCAAAUUCUACUUGUUCUUCAUUUACUAUUUCUGGAAGUUUACUAAUACUGGCUCUAGAACUGUUAGAGUUACAAGAGUUGGUUCUAAAUAAGCGACUCAUUGCUCAAGUUCUGGACUAGACUUCUGAAAGAGAAGAUCAACAAAAACUCCUAAUACUGACUCAUGACUUAACAAGACGCCUAGUGAUUCUCUCUCUCUCCGCUAUAUAUAUAUAUAUAUAUAUAUAUAUAUAUACAAAUACGAUGAAUAAAUAAAAAGGUAAAUUUCACUUUACUAUCCAGAGAAAGAUGGAACCAUAAUUUCCUUUAGAUAAAUUAAAUAUAAUAUGAAAGUCAAUAUAUUUAAUAAGGGUAAUCUUGGAAAACAAAAGCUAUGCAUUAAUGAUAUUAUUUUAGUAUAAAGAAAGUGACACAUGGCAUAAGAAGAAGGAAGAAGGUCUAAAGGAGAAGGUUAGAGAGAAAAUUGCUAGUAUUCCCCUUGAUGUAAAUCUAUUAUCCGUGGCAAAAAAGUUAUUUCUUAAUUGAUUGAACAGUUUAUUAUGAAAUAAUUGACUAAUUAAAAUGUUGAUUAUUCUAUCUUGUAUUUGGUAGGUGAACAAACUCUUCCUUCAAAUUUUAUUUCAUUAUUUUGUGUACCAUUUUGCCCUCGUAUAUUACAGAAUCAUCUGUUUUAGUACAUUUACUAGCAAUGUGUCCGCGCGAUUCUGUCGGUUUUGAAAUCGCGUGAAACGUGUAUAAAGUCGUGAAAAUAUGCAGGGAAAAUGGUACUCCUUAGUUUAGCUAGCUUAAGUUACAAAGAAUAAACUAAUAACAUGUUUUAUGUGCUGCUUGUUAUGUGAAAAUAUUGGACACAUUUUAAUAGAUCAAGCAGAUAUAAAAACAUCAAAAUAUGAGCAACUUUUAGUUGCUUAUUGUUCAAAAGAGUUUGGACAGGUGUUUAUAUAUAUGGUAUUGGGUGGUGGAAGGGGAUCUACAUCUUGCUAUCUCUGCUGUACAGGUGGCUUAUGUUCUUUCUCCUCCUCUGUAGAGGUUUUGACUCUGUUGGGAUAAACUUGGAAAAUAGUAGGUGUUAGUGUAUAUAAAUAGAAAAUUUUGGGUGAGGGCAACAACUAUUAUGACAUAAUCAAGUUAAAAAAUAGAACAUGACAAACAACAGUCUAGAUACAUCUAGCAUUCUAUUAAUCUGAUGGACAAAAGUAUAAACUCAAUCUAUUAAACCAACUGAAAACAAAUUCAGAACAUUUGUGACAAUUAUUAAAUAGGUAUCAGAGAAUUAUGCCAAAACACUUGAGCUUGGACAGAAUCAAAAUCAAGGGGUGUUGAUUUUAUUGCUAUAAAUUUGGUAAAUGGUUUCUUAUCUUGUUAGGUAUCAGUGUCAUCCGACAAUGCACAUUACAAAAUUUUGGUUUAAAAAAUGUAUAAUAGAUGUGAAGUUCAUAAAUUUGAUUUAAAAAAUACUAAAUCUUGAACAUGCCCGGUUCAUAACCAUAAUCAAAUCUUUAAUAUAACAUAUACUCAGUUCAUCAAUUCAAUGAAAAAUCAAUAGUACCACAUAUCUAAAUCAUAAUUUCAAUGAAAAAAACUUUUAUACAAAUACUAUUCUCCUACGUUUUUCUCUCUCUAGCAGUCAUUAACAUCCUCAGGUUGGUCUCUCACUCUCUCUUUAUCUUAACAUGUUCAUUCAUGUUCAUAUAUUGGCAGCAAACGACAUCAAAAAGCUGUUGAGAUAGUUUUUAACAUCUCUAACAUGAAAUCACCAAAUAUAUAUAUACUACACAAAAUUAAUAUAAAAACAUAUGAACAGAAAAACAGAAAAUAAUACAUAAAUAAAACUAAUAUUAACAGCAAUAGAUUAUUACACAAUUUAGAGUAACCCAUCAACAGUUGAUGAAUUGAUUGUUUUUGUUGGGGACGAAAGCAAGUGUUUCUAAAACAGAGAAUAAAAACAUAAAAGUUUUUGAAUCUUAGAUUCCCUUUUUUACUUUUUGUUCCUUUUCGUCUGUUUUCCCACAAAGCACAGGAAUAUUAUUGGGUAUCCAUUGCCAUCAUUUAUCAUAAACUACAACUAAACAAUGGCUCUGAAACGCAAGCAAAAGAGUAGAUAUACAAGAAAACAGAAGCCAAACACACAAAAUUUCACACACAUUCGAUCACAAAAGAAGCAGAAAAUAUGUAGCACCAAUAAAUGCUAUGACUCAAAGGAAUCAAAAUUCAGAUAAAAAUAAAAAUUUCUAAGAGCUAUAGAGAAAAUCUCACCAAAUCCAACACGUUAAUAAUUUCUUUUCCUUAAACACAGAAAUAGUAAAUAAAAAAUAAUAAUAAAAAAUAAAAAUAAAAAGAGGGAAAAAAACAGUUCCACCUUUCCUUCCAUUUGCAAUAUUAACCAUUUUCAAUUUUGAAAAAAGUUGGGAAUCCCAUUGCUCUGUUAGUGAUUCAAAAUAAGCAAAUUAAAGAAAACAGAGGAAAAGAUUGAAUGUCAAGAUGAAGAGUGUAUUAAAAGAAGACAAUAUCAUUUGGAUCGUCAAGAGAUGAACAUUUGUUGAGCACAAAUCAAAAUCCAAACAAAGCUUCAAACCCAAAGGACUACUCUUAACAAUUUGCAGAUAGCACUGAAUUGCAUUUAUAUAAAAAUAAAAAAAAUAGAUUGGACAAUGAGGACGGCCAGCUGAGAACAUUGGAAUUGCCCCUUCCCAAAAGAUUGCAGUCACUUUUAUGGGCAGUCACUUUUGGAAUCAAUAGAAGAAGGUGAUGGAUCCUUUACAUCCUUGAAUUGAUAAUAUUUUAAGAUUUUUCAAAAGAUAAAGGUUGGAGGGUGGUUCUGAUAUGGCAGUUCUGCUCACAUCAAGCUUCUCCAAACACUCUACAUUUUACUACAAACAAAAGAAACCCAUGUUCAAGAAAAUUUAAUAAUUAACUUUUUAGAAGCAAUACAAACGAAAAUCAGAGCAUGAAAGAUGUGUCUGUGUGGUGGAUGUACUAAUAUGAUAUGAAAGUUGAAAAAAGAAGACAGAAAAAAUACCCAGGAAUCCAAUAAAAGUAGCAGAUCAAUUGAAAUAUUAUAAAGUGAUUCUUUAGUUCUAAUCUUUGUAAACAAAACAAUAGCUAAUGUAUAUGGAUCCUCAAUUGAAAAUAAAACUAAUGAUAAAAUUCAGAUUAAAAACAACCAAAAAAACAACAAAAAAAGCGUACAUAUCAAAUUACAACCUUGUAAUCCAGAGGCCUUCUUUGCCUGUACAAAAACUCUACAAACUAAGCGAUGUGAAAGUCACAAAAAAAAAAAUAAAAAAUAAAAAAAAUAAAAGCCAGGAACCCCAUGCUGGGAGUUCUCAAGUACCCAGUUACCAAAACACUCAAAGGAUUCACCAACAUGCUCAGAUAUUGUAAACAUCUAAACCUAUCAUCACAACAACAAAUUAACAACCCAUUACAGCAGCAAAAUCAUUACAAAUUGUCGAAAUUGGCAUGCUUACUUUCCCACAACAACAAUAAUAACUACAACAGAUCAUCACAGCAGCAGAAUCAAUUUGGGCAAGGAAUCAAAGGAUUCAACAGCAUGCUCAGAAACCCAUCACCAAGCCAUUAAUCUGUUAAAAAAUUGAGGGGAUGCAAACCUGAAGAGAAACGAUGGAUGAACUCGUAGAUCGAAAAUCUCUCAAACGAACGUUGGGCAGAGGAUGAAAGAUGGCUAAACCAACGAAGAGCAGAUGAAAUGAGAUGAAGAAUUAGAGAAGACGACUAUCAUCUCUGAGGCCUUGAAAGUACCCAUGUCUGAGAAUUAGAGAAUAAGCUAUGCAGGCUUACCUUGAAAGUACCCAUGUCUGAGAAUUGGAGAAGACGACUAUGAUCUCUGAGGCCUCUCUCUCUCACUUCUAUUCGAUGAAGCAGCUUUGGUUUCUCCAAAAAGAAGCGAUCAGGCAAAAGGGUUAUGUCGCUGUGCAUCAGGGCAAAAAGGCCAUUGUACUGUUCAUUAGUCAACAUGAGUAAGAGGGCAACAGUUAAGUAGGGGCACAAACGUCAUUUCACUAUUCCUAAUGAACAGUAUGCAAACAGUAACUCGUAUUCAUAGCAAUGGUCCCUCAACUAUACCCGUAGUUACAGUUUGGUCACUCAAUUCAAUUAUUAGUUGCAGAGGUCACUCAACUAGGUGUUGUAGGGGACUUUUUCUUCCGGCAGCUGUAAAUGGGCUGGGCUGCCGUAAAGGGCAGACUAAUGGAAUUAUCCCCCUUGUCUGAAUUCAAAAAUUAAGCCCCGAAAAUACUUCGAAAGGGCAGCGGAGCCUUAGGAAGUAUUUUGGUUACCUUCACCAACCAAAAUAAUGACAGCUUACAGGUAAUUUUUGCAUGCUUACAGGUAAACUUUUGAGCUUGGCAUGAGAGGCAUGUGGCAUGGAAGAAAAAUCAACAUGAGUUUAGCACUGAGGGGAAAUUUAGGCUUUCUGAGGGGGAAAAAGGGAAGUGUUAAGGUGAGAAAGGGGAGAUUUAUAGGAGAUUUGGCUAGGAAGAGAAAUGAAGAACAAUGCUCUUCCAGCAGCUUGACAGAUACUCUGUCUGCCAGAAGAGAGGAAUGGAGAAAAGGGUGAACAAUGCACGAAAUUACUGGGUUUUUGCAAGUUAGAGAGAAAGCUUGCUCUCUAGGCGUGGGUUUUUUUGCUGCUGAGUUUUGUUGGGUGGAAGAGACCUCAUUUUAUAGCCGCUAGAAACCAUCACUUCCCAAGAAAUCUUAAUGGCUUCUACCCAUUUUGGCCAAGCUUUUCCCUUCUUUUCUCAUCUCCUUCCUUGACUUUUCCCUUCUUGAUGAAAUUCAUUCUGCCUAUUUGCACCAGAUCAGAGUUUGGAGCUCAAGGCCUCCUUUUUCAGCAGCUGUCUCUAUGGGAGACUUCCAUUCCCAGCCAUCUCUUUUAUCGCUUUCUUCCCUUUUUUCCAUGGCUAACUUUCUCCCCUUUUUUCCAUGGCUAGCUUUCUUCCCUUUUUUCCAUGGCUAAAUCUGAUGAGGAAAGGAGCUGGGAUAUAUAUGCUGGUUCGAAGGGUGCUUUUUUCUCUUUGCUAAUACCCCCUGGUUCCUUGGAUGUUUUGGCUUUGAAACUUGCUCCCACCAUGUGCUGGAACCUCCCAGCAGCUUUGUGUCAAUGAUCCUGCAGACUUUCUCUACCUGACUUCUAUUUUCCAGCAAAGGGCUGAGGUUUUUUGUGGCUGAUUUUGGGGUUUUGUAUGGGCCCAAGUGGUUCCUUAAGCAAGUGGGUUAUUUUUGUUAAACAUUGGGCUUUUUUGUUGUAUUAAUAAGCUAUUUUGCUUGGGCUAUUGGGCUAUUUUUCUCUCUUGUGCUCACCCACAUGUUUGGGCCUAAGAAAUUGGCUUGAGUCUCGAGGCUCCCAAGCAACCCUAGACCUUCCAUUUCUCGGGCCAUCAAUGGGCCUCAUGUUAAUUCAUUACCAUCCAUGCCACAACCCACUCAAGUAAGCCCCGGGCGUUUGAGUGGCUUGGGCCCACUUAGGCUUGUAGCGUGGUUGAGUGUGAGAUAACAAUUUUGUGCUUGGCAUGGCAUGUCGCUUGGCAUGUUUUAAUUAUGAUGCUUGGUGGAAUAACUAGCAUGGAUUUGUAGAACUAAUGCAUUUUAUAAUCGUAAUCUCGAUUCCUAGCAUGACAUAUUAUUUAUUUGGCAUGGCACGUGGAGUUUGACUUGUGCGUGGUGGACUUUCGUGUGCUCAAAAUUGGGUCUUUUCUCAAUAAUAUAUCGUUUUGGACCGAGAAUAUUUUCGGGCCCAACCGUGGAUUUUUUGGGCCUCAACAGGUGUUUUGUUGAACCAUUAAUCCUUCAGUCAAAUUCUGUUAAAUCUUCUGUCAAAAGUGAGGGUAAAUUCGGAAAUUCAUCAACAACCAUCUUCUUCAUCCACAACCCUCCAUUGUCGCAACCCAAUCCUUGCUUCUCCUCCCUUGUACCAAAAUCUGGGCAGAAAAAGGAAAAGAGAAAGACAACUCGAUUGCUUCUCCUCCCUUAUACCAAACUCACCACCCAAUCCUUCCUCCCACCCCAACCCAGCACUCACUGUAAACCAUCAAUCAUAAAAUACAUAAAUGUAGAGAGAGAGAGAGAGAGAGAGAGAGAGAGAGAGAGAGAGAGAGAGCGCUCGCCUCUUCCUUCCCAUAUAACAACUGUUAGAAUUAGUGAGGGAUAUGGAUUUGGGUUUGGGAAUUGUGUGCAAAGUCUCAAAGUCUCAACACCUUCUGUGUUUUGAAUGGUAGAUAGACAUGGAUGAAAGGUUUUUGCUGGUUUUUUCAUCAUUUCAGUAAUUAACUCCUUUGUUGAGUUUUUGCGCCAAAUACCCUUCUUAUUUGCCAGCACGAAGGCACACCGUUCAAUUUCUUUUUUUUAUCUUAAUUGAUCAGCCUCAAUUUUUCUGCCCUUUAAAAAAUUUCAGCAGUCAAAUGGUGCAAUGGUGCAAGAAUUGGAGGAAGUGGAGGAGGAAGGCGUGGGUUGCGGCAAUGGAGAAAGUGUAGGGUUGUGGAGGAAGGGGAGGGUUGUGGAGGAGAGGAAGGGUUGUGGAUGAAUUUCUGAAUUUAUCCUCACUUUUGACAGUAAAUUUAACAGAGUUUGAUGAAAUGACUAAUGGUGCAACAAAGAACCUAGUUGAAUGACCUCUGCAACUAAUAAUUGAAUUGAGUGACCAAACUGUAACUACGGGUAUAGUUGAGGGACCAUUAUUGCGAAUAACCCUAUAUAUAAUUUCUCAAGGGCAUUAAGGAACUUUCAAAAAUUUAACCCUUCUUUUGUCUGAUCGGUAAGAAGAUAAUAAAAGUGACUGAUGAAAAAAUAUUUUAUGAUAGAUUAUGGAUCAUAAAAUCCUAAAAUUAUGGAUCCUAUUUUAAAUGUUUCCAUUUUUUUAACCCUUUUGGAAAUAUUAAAUUUCUUACGUUCCACGUCAAUUGUUACAUGCCACUAUGUGACAAAUGUAGUUCUUAUCUUUGACAAUAUUUACACAAAUUUGAUGUUUUAAUUAGGAAAUCUAUUUUGUUUUUUAAUCAUGGAAAUUUUGAGUUUUUCUUUUGAGGAGUGAAAGUCAAGUAGAUUCUAGUAGAGAAAAUUAAUGUAAUUGAAAAAUAUCAAAAUUACACACAAUGUAACUACUUCAAAGUCAUGCCCACCUCCGUCAAUCCGCGAUCACUACCCGCGAAACCCGCCGGAGCCUUAGGGGGGCCUUCGAUAGCUGCAGCUGCUUCGGCUCCCGCUUUGGUAGCCCCGAUAGCUUCUCCCAUAGCAGCGGCUCUGGUAGCUGCUCCAGAUGCUCCCACAUCCGCCGCAGCUCCCGCUCCUGCACCCUCUCGCGCUCCUGCUCCCGCUCCCACUCCAGCUCCCACUCCCGCUCCUGCUCCCGCUCCCGCUCCCGCUCCCGCAUCCACCGCCAUUGCUGCACUAUGUUGCUCACAACCUGAAAAGAUAAGAAAUUUAGUGUGCAUGAAGAGCCUCAAACCUUGACCCUCAAAGGAGGAAAGCCUCGUUCACAAACCACUUCACCAACCUUGUCUUUGUGCUAUUUUUGUCAGUUACACAAUUUUAUAUUAAUAGUCAAUGGUUUUUUUUUUUUUAAGAAAAUUAUUUCACAUAUGGGCCUCCUCUUUGGCCUAAUUCAAAACAAAAUUUCAUUCCUAGAUAUUAAAAUAAAAACAGAAAAUACUCUGUCUCAAAUCCUAAUUAGUUGUUAUGUCUAAUACCUAAUUUUUCUUUAUUGUAUUCAAUACCAAUGUGGCCUUCGCAAAGUGAGCUCCAAAUUGACAUUCCGUGAUACAUAUAGGACUUCAUCAUCUUCAUCACGUAGGCCUUCAUAUGGGACUUCAUAACUUAAGCCUUUCGGAUAUAUCAUGUCCUCCCGAAACAAAAGAUAUGUACACAUACACACACACAUAUAUAUAUAUAUAUAUGUAUGUAUAUGAUAUGCAUACAAAUACGAUGAAUAAAUAAAAGGGUAAAUUUCACUUUACUAUCUAGAGAAAGAUGGAAGCAUAAUUUCCUUUAUUUUGUUCAGUUAUGCCCAUGAUAUAUAUAUAUACAAAUGACAACUUUUAAAUUAAUAUUUCAAGGUUAUAUAUGUGCAUGUCUAUAUAUAUAUAUAAAUGUUUUGGAAAUAAUUUACUUUAAAUCGUAUUUAAAUUGGUACCUCUACCUCCUGAUUAUCGAGAAAUGGUAUAUUUGCAGGUGCACAAUACUCCGGGAUUGGAUGCAACGAAGUUUCUUCCGUGCUACAAACCAACCGAGUGAGAAUAUUUUCUAUCAGUGGAAUGGAAGCCAUGCAUACAGAUGAAAAGGCAAACAGAGAAAAGAAAACAAUCUUUUACGACUGUCUUGUUUAUUUGAGAUAGAGAGCUAGCUUAAUUAGCCACUCUCUCUCUCUCUAUCUGCUCCCACUUGAGUCUUUACAUUUUGUGCUUAUUGAAAUAAAGUAGAAUUCCCAUGUGAUAUGAUAUCCAAUAAAAUCUCCCUUAAUUAUUUCUUAAAAUUUCCAUCUCAUCUACUUCCAAAAAUAAAUAAUUAAAUAAAUAAAGAAGAAAAAGCCUCCUUUUGUAUUAUCUCAGACUAAAAAGCUGCAAAAAGAUUUAAUAUGCAAAUUAAUUAAGCAGCAUAUGAGCAGUGUAAUUCGUGUUUACCUUGAAGAAUUUUCCGACAAGUCCAUGUUAUCAGUGGUAUUGGCGUUCAUUCGUUUAUUACUUAGUCUUGAACCAACUAAACAGAUAAGAAAUAUGGCAGGCAAAAGGGAUGCUUUCAAAGGACUAUCAGCAUGCCGAAGGCAGUAAACAUACUGAACUAUAGAGCAAAUGCACUGUGAGAUGCCAGCAACUAGUCCAAAAAUGUCAGGAAGAGUACCAAAAGGCGUAUAUGGAGGAAUUGGUGGAUGAUAAAACCACGAGCGCAUUCCCCGGCUCCUGAACUCAACGUUUUCCUGUUGACCUCUAUAAAUUAGCUCCCCAAUGGAAAUGAGCACAGCUGCAAUAGCCAACAGCAUCCCAUAUAGUGCAAAGUGGGGUCUUCUUGGGGAGGAAGCCUGAUCACAAGCAGCUGACAACAUCUCUAGGCCAAGGUUAGUGGCUAAAAAUAUCCACUCUGCUGAUUCUGAAUUGGGCCUCAUCCCUGGAACUCAAGGAGGGUCUGUAAUGAUUACUACUAGGUGUUAAAGAUGGGUUAGAAGAAGACUGAUCUCCACAACGAGUAUUUGCAAACCAGGAAACCAGUUGUUGCUCUCUCAAUUUCCACAGCUAAUAAGCCAGUGCUUUUCUUUGAGACAUAAACACCUCUGUUUGGUUACUGAGAAAACUGAGGAAUUUACAUAGAAAAAGAAAGGAACUUUCCCAGACGGAUCCUCUGCUUUUUUUCUUUAAUUAUCUGAUUUCCAUCCCACCCAAACUGAAAACAAUGAGAAGAAGAUGCUAUAGUGUUAUGGGAUUAGUGUAAAGGCAAUAACGGAAAGGAGAGAGCUUCUUGGAAAAUCGCAGUGUGGUGGAAAAGCUCUUCCCCGGUGGCCCACACGGUUUAUCUUUCACUUUCCCAGGUGGCCCACACCACACGGUCCCCUCCUUUUCUACAGAAGAAAGAAAAGCUUGUAGUCCCAAAAGAAAAGCUUGUAGUCCCAUAUGAAAAUUCAGAGAGCUGCAAUUCAACUUUGUGGAGCCCAAUUCAGAGAGACACAGGAGCAGAAGAAGAGAGUGUUUUGACCAACUGGUUUCGAUUUGUGGUGACGCCAUGGCUGGCCGGUUUUUCAGUCCACUGUAAAGUUGGGUUUUUUAGAAUUUUAUGGGUGCACUGAAUAUAUCAAUGGGUGCGUGUAUAAUUUUCUGUUCUCCACCCUUCUCUGUCCCGUGGUGCCGUUCACUCUCCUAGUUCUUCUCAUUUUCUAAUUUCAAUUCUGCUUCUUAUAAGCCUCAGAGCUUCACUGAGCCCAGGUAAUCGUCUAAUCUUCUUUUAGUUGCAGAUUUUUUAAAUCAACAUUUUAUUUCUCAGGUUUAAUUUUGGGGUAUAAUUUAAGGUGUUGUUUGAUUAGUAUUGUUAUUAUUAUUUUGUGCAUCAGCUCCUCAAGUUUUUCAUCGCGGUUUAUUGGUUUUGGAAAUGAUUAGAUUUGGUUCCUCUAUUUUCUCAAAUUCACGUCUGAUUUGGCUGUGGAUUAUGAAGGGGUUUGUUGGUUUUCAAUUAAUAUUUUAGCUUAUGGGAUAAUUAGAGCUGCUUUAUCAACAUUUAAAAGGAUAAAAGAAACGAUCGAGAUUCCAUUUCAUUGCCUUUCCUACUCCGAUUCUCAAUCCCUUAAGGCCGGUUGGGUGGGCUGGCUAUGUGUCUGCUGUGAUUUUAGCCAUUGUUGCAAGGUAGCUAGCUUCUUUUUCUCCAUUUCAUGGCUCUUUCCAAGACUAACCAUCAUGUACUUCCAGGCAAUUGGGCCUUCUGGGAGAGUUUGAUUGUAUAGGCUGAGGCUGAGUCUUGUGAAUCAUGAUCACCAUCUUUAAACAUUCAUGCUUCUUUAUUUUUAUUAUUUUUGAAUAAGUUGUGUUCUUUGAUGCAAUACAACAACAUAUGAAUGAAUAAUCUCUGGCCUUUUUUUAAACUUUCAUAUUGGGGUCUGCCAAUAGCUCAAUCAACUCUUAUGCAAACUCCAGAAUGCUAAUAUGAGGAAAUGAAAAUAUGAAGAAAUGAUAUACAAAGGUGCCACAAUCUUUAAAGCUGGAGACUUUGGUGUGUAACAACAAACAAGAACCACAAAGUUGAUCCACUUUUUUCAACCAAAAGUCAUACGUUUGAUCACAGGACAAGAAUAAAGUUUAGUUUAGUUUCUAAAUGAGCUUAUGUUGUCACAGUCGAAUCAGUUAGAUCACUUAGCAAUAUAAGUUAGUAGGUGUCGUAAGUUAGAGAUGUGGCGGGAAGAGUGGAAUGGAUCCUGUAUAAACAAGAGCACCAUUGCAACUCCACAAGAAUAAAAGACAAUGAAAAUACAAUUUCCAGUGCUAAGCACAUAAGCGUUGAAUUAUUCAACGGGCAACUAAACUCUCAAAAACCCAUUUCCAAUAUGUGAUGAAAGUGAUAGAAAUUGAAGCUAAAAUCUCUGCAGCUCUCAGGCUCCCAACUGCUAAAGGUCAACUCCAGGCUGAGCCUCCAUGUUUGUCUCCUCCUUUAUUUCUCUCAUUCUUUACUCUCUUUGCCUAAUUUUUUUACCGGUAAUAAGAGAGGGUUUGGUUUGGUUUAAUGUGAAUCUGUUAUCCGUGGCAAAAAAGUUAUUAUUAUUAUUUUUUAAAUUUAAAAUUUUCCAUAUGCGAAGGGAAGAUUCUGACAUAAUUGAUUGAACAGUUGGUUAUGAAAUAAUUGACUAAUUAAAAUGUUGAUUAUUCUGUCUUGUAUUUGGUUGGUGAAUGUACUCGUCCUCCAAAUUUUAUUUCAAUAUUUGACGUUUAC
rnacentral:lncRNA from 1 species